rnacentral:lncRNA from 1 species
CGGGAGGCUCCAGUCUACAUUCUUUCUACAACAUAUGGUCUCCAACAACACAAUUCCAUAGCUGUAAACAUCUGCUUUAACUGUUACUGGCAGUUUGCGAUGCCACUCAGGGGCAACAUAGCCCCUUGUUCCUCUGAUCCCGGUAAAGGUAUUGGUCUGGUCAUGCAUCAGCAGUUUUGCUAAUCCGAAGUCCGAAAUUUUUGCACGUUUAUACUCAUCCAUGAGUAUGUUUUGUGGUUUAAUAUCACAAUGUAUGAUCUGUGUCUCACACUCUUCAUGCAGAUAGAGAACGCCUCUUGCCACGUUCAGGGCAAUUCCCAUUCUCUCAAUCCAGCAAGGUUGUUUUCCAGGUGUGAAGAGCAAAUCUGCAAGUGAUCCAUUGCUCAUGUAUUCAUAUACCAAAAGCCUAUUUGGCCCUUCAAGGCAGUAACCCAGCAAUCUGACGAGAUUCCUGUGGUGUGUUCUCCCAAUUACUUUUAAUUCAUUCUGAAAUUCUCUUUGCCCCUCAGCUAACACCUUCUCUAGUUUCUUGACUGCUACAAUCCUCUGGCUGUUUGAUAUGGCUCCCUUAUAAACAGUCCCAGAAGCUCCCUUACCAAUCUCUUCCUUAAAACCGUUGGUAACCUUCUCAAGUUCCAUGUAGGUAAAUGAUCGCAGAGCAACGCCUUCAGUCAAUCCAACAUUCCCAGUCUCUGAGAUCUUCUUGUAUGCCCAUAGAUUCUUUCUAUGAAUUAGAACUCCAGAAAUGACCAAGAUAAUGAGAGCAAAAGAAGCUAAUGAAACACUGAUAACUAGGAUGUCUGUCCGGAUCUCUUUCUUGGUUCCUUGUUGUGAAACUUCUGUGGAACCCACCUUCACAAAGAGUAUGUUUGAAUUACUUAGCGAUCUUCUCCCAAAUCGCAAAGGAAGCCGUUGCUUUCUGCAACUUCCAUCUUCAAACAGGGCAGCUUCACAGUUACAGUCCUCCAAGCAGGCUUGUUCACAAUCUUCUUGGGUUGGUAAUGAUAGAGUGGAGUAGGAAGCAUCUUCCCACCAGGUGUUAUCCAAUGUUGACAUGGUGUAUUUGGUACUUCCAUCCUUGCUUUUGCAAAUAUCUUCUUCGAAAUUUCUUAUGCAGCCCGAACUCCAGUUGCUUGCAACAACAAAAUCAAAUCCAGGAAGACAGACACAGUCAGCCCUGUCAUCAAGCAGAACACAAAACCCAUUAACCCCACAUAGACCCUUAGGAGCACACUUGUCGGCUGAAGAUCUCCAUAAAAUUGACCAGCUGCCGUUCUGACCCAAAUCAUGUGAGUACAGUUUGAAGAUCCCAUCCGGAUCGAUUCUCAGACGAUAGAGGUUUUCAUUGUUAUAACCAUCUGUUAUAUUCUUUAUAUUGGAACCAUUUGUAUUGAGCNNNNNNNNNNNNNNNNNNNNNNNNNNNNNNNNNNNNNNNNNNNNNNNNNNNNNNNNNNNNNNNNNNNNNNNNNNNNNNNNNNNNNNNNNNNNNNNNNNNNAUUGAGCAAGUAGAGAUGACCUUCAUCAUCAAGAUUAAGGGUCACAUUAUCUCCUUUUCCAUCUGUACCUGAUGCAUAAUAAGCAUAUGUUGCCGUGUCUGGAGCUUCCACCGGGUACUGCACAAGGUUCCCAUCAUUUUGCAUCUUCAGGCGAAAUAAUCCAGUUGAGGGGUUAGUUUCUGACAUACUAGAAAGCAGCUCUUUCCCUGCUGAGAGACGUUGACCUGGUAAAAGGGUAUCAGUUGGGAGAUCAAAACUCUGCCAUACAAUGUCCCCAUCAGAAUUAUAGAGCACGAAAUUUCCCGAAUUCAGCAUGGAAGCAGAAUAAGCUGAAGCAGAAUUGGCGAUCUCCUUUUGCUGACCUUGCGUUUGCAACCUGAGCCUGCCUUCACUAGUGAAGUGCAAGGUAGCGGUGCUGGGGACUGGGAGAUCAUCUCGGUUGGCUGUCCACACUACAGUUUUCUGGGGAAUUCCUUUGAGAAAAAUUCCUAGAUAAUAGCCGUCACCCUGAUUGUAGAAUCCAAAGGCAUAUUGGCGGUUGGGUGACAGCCAAUAGGAGUUGGAAGUGGGAGUUAGAGAAGAACCUCGACUUAUAUUAGAACCUCUUUGUUGGGCUGCUGCUGCAACACAAAAUGCAGAGAGAAGAAGAAACAGUAAAGCAGUUGAAGCCAUUAGAGAUCAGCUUUCUCUAUCUUUUCUGUUUCGGCCCUUUCCCUACAACAGUCGAGGUAACAAGUAAAUAAGGGCAGGAUUGCGCGACUAGGAGAAAUGAAGAGCAGAUGAGUCAAAGUCUUUGGUCUGUUCGGAUGGAAAAGUAUGCAAAGAAAAGUCUCUAGUGCCAAACGCAUUAGCGUGGUGUGGCUCCCUGGUAAGUCCUUUCCUCAUUUUCUUUGCCUUGGGAGUAGAUUAAACUGCAUGUAAUGUGGUUAAUUCAUCUGGGCCAUCAAACUGAAGAACAACGCUUGCAGAUUACACUAGAUUUCACAAAUCUGAAAUGUUGGAUCUUCUUGAUCUUCCCCAGAAAGCUAUCUUCUGAAAUGGUAGCCUAGCCCUAUUUCCCAGAAUGAGUGGGCUGUUGAUUUGGUGAAUAAAAAGAAUGACGUAACAAACUUUGCUAUAUUUUAUUUUGAAUGUAAGCCAAACUUUGACAAGGAAAGGAGUGAGGUCUUUAAUUCUAAUUUGACUUGGCUUACCAACGUUAUUUUUUAAUUUGAUUAAUUAUUUGUAUAGUCAAUAGUAGGUGUGCUUCAUAUUUGGUUUAAAAACUCUAUUGACAGUCAUACUAAUAAUGAUAUAAAAUUAUAUUUCUUUGAAUCUAGUCUAACUCAACCUACAUAAGAUAGUUAUAUUAAUAGUGCGUUUGGUAAUGAUUCUUGAAAGUAUUUCUAACUUCUGUAAGACUUGAAAAUUUUCAUCAUUCAAAUAUUAAAAAUACUAAAAAUAAUUUCUAUAAUCAUUAUCAAACACACUUUAAUAAUAAUAUAAAGUUUAACUUAACUCUUUAGACACUAGGCUAAUUAAGGUGUCAUUUGAAUGCAUUUUUUUGUUUUUUAUUUUUAAAAUAAAAAAUAAUAACUUUAAAAUAGAAUAGAAAAGUUUUCAAACACGUGAUUGAAAAAAUAAUAACUUUUAAAAAAUCAAGAUAUUAAAAAAAGAAAAAAUUUAUUAUCCCAAAUUUAAAUUAUUUUAUAUAAAAUUUAUUGCUUUUUGUGUACAGAUUAUUACUAUUUUUAUUUUUUAAAAAUUAAAAAUUAAAAAUAUAUCCAAACCAACACUUAACUUUAUUCUUAUUAUUUGACCUUUUAUUAAUAUCUAGUGUCAAGUUAGUACAUGAACUUACAACUAUGUUAAGGUCAUUAUUCCAACCCACUAGAUAUGUGACACGUGGAAAUUUCAUUAUUUAAUUCUACUACUUUGAAUAUAGGAUCUUCUAACUACUUUAGUAUAUCUUUAAUAAUUUGUGACAUAUACUUAUACGUCCAUCCCAUUCUUCAACAACUUGUGACGUUAAGGUGUGACCUGGUCAACUCCUAUACACACGCUUUGGAAAGGAUGGAAAACACUCUCAGUUGGAAUGUCUCCAUUCCAAAAGUCUUCACGCGUGAUUGCCGCUCACAUUAAUAAUAAUAAUUUAUGUGACAAGUUUUGUCAAGAAGAAAAUUGCCUUCCUCUCAUGCAUUAUUUUCUCACACGUACAUUAAAAAUUCAAGAAAAUUUAUUGAACAAGUAGACGAGGAGUCAAUAUUAAAUGUGAGUUUGGCUUAGCUCACACGUAUGAUUUUUAUUUAUUUAUUUUUAAAUAUUAGUUAUCGCUUACAGCUAGUGUUGAGCUGUAGAAGAAUGUCUAGUCAUUUUUCAUGCGUUCUCUUUGUCAAAAUAUUUUAUUCUUUUAUUUUUUAUUUUUUAUUAAAUGCUGAGAAUCCGUAUUGAUUACAAAUAAUAAUACAAGUUUCUUUUUUCUCCUCAAAUUAAAUUAGCUACCCAUAAAUUAAUUCAAGUCAAAGAAUUAUUCAAUUUUGCUCUAAUAAGAGUUAAACUGCUUCUUUUUUAUUGCGAUAAAACCCACUCAUGCAUCAGAUGAGUUCUUUAUGAGUUUUUUUUUUUGUUUUUCACAAUUUAGUAACAAAAAAUCAAUUUGACAUUAUAUUUACAUAUUUUAUCUGAAUUUUGUUAGGUAUUUGAUAGCUAAAAGGAAAAUUGUAUAUUAGAAUUUUCAUAAAAAAAAAAAUUGAGAUAGAUGUCAUUUGGGAUUUUUUUAACUUCUAUAAGUACUUUAAAAAAAAAUCUUAAAAAAAUAUAAUUAUAAAAAUAGAAAAAUUAUGUAAACAUGCACUGUUUACAAAAUAUUGAUGAAUUCAAUACCAAAAAAGUAACUUUGAUAGGGACUGCAUUUUGGGGAAAAUAAUUCCCGGCAUGCACCGAAAUAGUGUGUUCUCCAUAUUACUUGAAAAUGCCCUUGAAUUUGUACAUGAUUUGCUAGCCAUACCAGCUAACAAGGCAAAUAGACAAUAAGGAAUGCCAUGUAAGGAGGUGCCAUAUUAGCCACACCACCUCAUGGUCCAGCUAUGUAUGUGACAAUCUCAUUUAACUUUAAAUUAAAAAGAAUACAAGGAAGAUGACUUAACCUAUCUUAUAAACAUAAUAAAACCUAAAUUAAAUAUAAAUUUAAAUGAAAACCAAAAUGAGUAAGUAAUACAGUAACAUUUGUUCUCUGGUAGAGGCCCAACCCCUAUGAAAGAGACUUCUUUGGUAGAUCCCUAAUCCUCACGUGUUCGAGAUAGGUUAUGCAAUGAAAGAGGUAACUGAGAAACCUUAAGCUAUUUGAUUUCGAUUAUUCAAUUCAAUGGUCAAUGAUAUAAUAAAUAGUAGAAGUAGACUUUUGAAAGUUGAAUGUAUGUAAGGCUUUUCCAAAUCCCUAUUUAAUAUAUGAGAAUUUAAUUCAUACAUCCUCAAUCUCAUAUGAUCAUUAGCAAGUUCAUCAAGGUAAAGAAUCAUUCCAUUUUGUUUUGAACCAUGAACAUGGAUUCAUUUGUCACAAAAUCGAAAUUCGUUUGAAAAUCAAUGGAAAGAUGCAUACCGAUUGAAAUUGGUUGCAUGUCUUUCAAAAAGGAUGAUUGUUUUAACCCUAAUGACCUAAACUGAAUUUUCAAGAAAAGUUGGAGGGUUGAUCUAUUUAGGAAAAUGUUUGAAAAAGAAAAAAAAAAUUAAAGACACUUAAAAACAUAAAAUACCAAAUACAAACAACCUUAGGAAACUGUAGGGUAUGAAGAUUAUUAUGUGGUUAUAAGUGAACAAUCUAAACAUCCCAAACUAAAAUAAGCAACUCAAAAAUAAGAUCAAAGACAAUAAAAAAUAGAUAGAGAAUUUCUUGGCCACUUAUUAUGUAUUGCUAAAGGGCCUCAAUCAAGUAAAAAUAACUCUAAAGAAAGCAAUCUUAACCCCAAUUCUAAUAGGUAUAUAUCAAUAUGAGAUCAAUCAACCAUUCAUCAAUCUAUUCAUUAACAUGUCAUUUACAAUAUCUAAUUAAUAACAAUCAAAUUGACCUUCAUUAUCCACCCCAACCAAAGAGAAUUCCUAUACCUAAGUAAGACGGGAGGAAAAGAAAUAAAUGGAGAGAUGAUCAGAAUCAAGAUAUGCAAGAAACUAAAAAGAGCAUACCUCUCCUCCAAAAAAUUGAAAGCUUGCUCCUUUAUUGCCUUCUUAACCUCUAAGACUUCAACUUUUCUUCUCAAGAUGCCUCCUUUCUAUGUAUAGAUGAAUUAAACAUAGUUGACAAUUCUAUUCCAUUUAUGCACCAAGUCUGAUGCAUCUUAUCUCCAAGGAUUUUACUAGUUGCAAUCAAUCAACAUCAGAGUUGAUUUUCUUUUUUUAGUUCAAGUAUGUGUGCAUUUGAAAUAAUUAGAGUUUAAGAAAUGACUACAAUAUAUUAGCUAGGUGACCACGCAUGAGAAUACUGCCAUCCUUAUCAUCUUAAUUCUCCAUCUCUUAAAGUUUUCAAAAGUGGUCUUAAAAGAUUUUAUCAAUGAAAAAUAUAGUAUACGAUCCAAGGGUUGAAGAAUAUGCUAAAAGCAUGAAGUAUUACAUCAAAGGUGUGAAGGAUUGUGUAAGUUUUAAUUGGUAUAAAACCCUAGAGAGUAGACGUAACGUAAUUCUAUGUACAAUCUCCUCCAUCGUUAAAAGAUCUUUACAACUAAUCUUCGAUCGGGUCAUGUCCUUAGAUUGGGUCGUGGGACAUGAUACAAUCCUAUCUGUUUUGUUCGGGUUGUGAAGGGGGUGGUCAUUGAUACUCGAGUCGUAGCAAUAUUAGAGUCAUUAGCAUUACAGAUUAUCCUGAGUGGGGAUCUUUCUCUCAUCAACCUGCCUCCACAUCAGAAAAACAACCUUUUUCCGCAAGGACAAGGGCCUCUGUUGCAUACAAGUCGGUUAGUUUAGCCUUGUAUUAGUCUUACUGCAUGGGUAAGCAAAGUGUGUCCUUUCCACAACCCACUUUGUAUGUAUUACACAUUAUAUCAUUUUACUUCUGACUUAUAGGUUACGGUGUAUGUUGAUCUUGUAUAGAGGAUAAGAUCAUCAUUACAUGAGCAACUCCUUCACGAAUGAUGUUAAAAAUUGGAUACAAUGGAGAAAAGAAACACUCUCAAACACUCUCUUGAUACAAUAAAACUCUCAAAGUUACAAAAUAAGAACAAGAAGAAGAAGAACACAAGAAAGGCUCAAACAAGUUCCUGGAACUUUGUCCAAAGACUCUAUUUCCUCCCACCACUAGAAAUCUUUUGGGAACUAAUGGAAAUAGUCUUGGGAUUGAUCAAGCCUUUUCACUUUUCUGCCUAAGAUUUCAAAAAGAAGAAAAGUCAAAUAUAGCACUCUUAGGGUUGAAAAAUGGUUACAAGGAUGAGAAAAAACUCAUUGUCUUCCUCAAUCUCUUCAUCUUUGUAACAUUCAAAAAUUAAAUCAUAUGUUUAAUUCACACAUUAAACAUGAUUUAAUCUCAAAUGUGUAACUCUCUUACACUUAACCUCUUAAGUUUUAUAAAGUUACAAAGAUGAGAAGACUCAUUGUCUUCUUUAACCUUUCAAGUUUUGUAACAUUUCAAAACUUAAUCAUGUGUUUAUUUCACACAUUAAAAAGUGUAACCCUUCUUACACUUUAUUUUCAAAAGUUAUUUUUUAAAAGUGUAACUCUUCUUACACUUUAUUUUUAACCAACAAUAUAUAUAUAUAACAAUCCCCCACUUGGUUAAAAAUAAACAUCAACCCUUAUAACCUUAACAAUGAAAAUGCAUAAAAUAAAAUAUCUUUCGAUUUGAAUUUUACCUUAGUGUAAUUGUCACAAAGCUCCGUUGAAAUCCCAGGUUGCUUGUAGCAUUGAACCAGUUAUUCCUUGUAACGAAACCGGUAACAACACACACACUUCCACUAACCACAUGAGUGCCCAUUAUUUUCUUGCUUAGCACUUUUAUGGCCAUGUGCUCAAUCCAUUCAUGAACUUUCUUGAAAGAAACUCCAACUCUCAUGAGAGGCGGCACCACCCCUAAGUUCACAUAGGUGAAAUUCUUCCAGCAUCCUUGUUACCUUUAAGAUGCUUGUCACACAUAGACUGAAUUUCAUUAAAAGCUUUAAGCUUAACCCUCCAACGGUAACAACCAGCAUUAAUCAUCACAGAUGGAACUCACAUGUUCUAAUGCUGCCACAACCCACUUAUCAAUGACUUGUUUUUACCCAUUGAACUUACGACUAGUCAUUUCUUAGUAUUAAGUUGGGUUACCAUCAUUGGUGAGUUUUAUUUAAGGAGUUUUAGUCCCAUCUCUCUAGAUGUUAUCCUUACUAAAUCUCUUGUAAGAGGUUUAGUAAAAGGAUCCGCCAAGUUUCCACUUGACCUCACAAAUGAGAUUGAGAUGAUUCCAUUUUGAAUCAAUUGUCUUACAUACUCAUGUCUAAUGCUUAUAUGUCUAGACUUCCCAUUGUACACUCCACUAUACGCACAAGCUAGAGUGGCUUGACUGUCACAAUGUAUUGACACUGUUGACACAUUAUUUGCAGUAAAAGGGAUGUCCAUCAUGAGAUCCCUAAGCCACUUAGCUUCUUUUCCAGUUGCAGCUAGAGCUAUAAACUCUACCUCCAUGGUUGAGUGUGAUAUACAAGUCUGUUUCUUGGAUCCCCAAGAGAUAGCCCCACCACCAAGUGUAAACACCCAACCUGUGGUAGAUAAAUUAUCUCCCACACUCGAUAUCCAGCUUGCAUCUAAAUACCCUUCAAUUAUAGCAGGAAACUUUGAAUAUUGGAGGCUUAGUUCUUUGGUAUUCUUUAGGUAACCAAGAACUCUACCAAUAGCUUUCCAAUGUUCCACACUUGGAUUGCUAAUAAACCUACUUAGUUUACUAAUUGCAAAUGAAAUGUCAGCCCUAGUACACUGAGCAGCAUACAUAAGACUUCCAAUUGCACUUGCAUACUCAAGUUGAGCCACUGAUCUACCAUCAUUCUUUUCAAGUUUUAUACUUGAAUCAAAUGGAGUAUUAGCAUCUUUAAUCUUGAGAUGACUAAAUUUGCUAACUACUUUCUCAAUAUAGUGGGUUUGGUUCAAAGCAUAACCCCCACUAUUUCUUUUCACUUUGAUACCCAAUAUAGUAUCAACUUCUUCAAGAUCUUUCAUCUUGAAGGUUGAGGAUAGAAACCUUUUCAUUUCUAUUAUUCCUUUCAUGUCAUCACUCAAGAUUAACAUGUCAUCCACAUAUAGACACACUAUGACCAUAUAGUUAUCACAAGUCUUAGAAUAUAAGCACUUGUCCACAUUGUUGUGUCUAAAUCCAUCCGAAAGAAUAGCAUGAUCAAAUUUUUUUGUGCCAUUGUUUGGGAGCUUGUUUUAAACCAUAUAAUGAUUUGACAAGCUUACACACUUUGUUUUCAUUCCCCAGUAGAACAAAACCUUCCGGUUGUUCCAUGUAGACCUCCUCAUUGAGAUCCCCAUUCAAGAAUUCCGUUUUGACAUCCAUUUGAUGAACAAAUAUAUUAUGAAUUGAUGCCAAAGCAAACAAUAUCCUAAUCGAUGUUGUUCUAGCCACCGGCGCAUAGGUAUCAAAAUAAUCAAUACCUUCUUUUUGUUUAAACCCCUUAGCUACUAAUCUAGCCUUAAAGGUUUGAAUCAUGCCAUCGGUGUGAUAUUUCCUUCGAAAUACCCACUUGCACCCUAUUGGUUUAGAUCCUGGUGGAAGGUCUACCAAUUCCCAUGUUUGGUUGGACAUAAUUGAAUCCAUUUCAUCAUUGAUAGCCUUUUUCCAAAAAGCAACAUCUCUAGAAGCCAUAGUUUCUUUGUAUGUUUUGGGAUCCUCCUCUAUUUGAAGUACUAUAGGAAUUUUUCUUAUAAUAUCUUCUCUAUUUCCUUCUACUAAGUAAGAGGAAAUUCUUUGAGAGUCAAUCUCAUCCGAUCCCAACACUUUCUCUUUUCUAGCUCUUUGGCUUUUCCGAGGCACAAUGGGUUGCUCAACAACCUUUGAAGGUGUCUCCUCUAGAGACUCUCCAACACUAGUAGGUACUUGAGAAUUGCUAUCACUCAACAAAUUCUCAAAGAACUCUACCUCUCUUGAUUCAAUUAUCACAUUAGACUCCAAGUCUAAUAGCCUAUAAGCUUUGCUAUUUGAGGCAUAGCCUACAAAUGCACACUUAAUGGCUCUUGGACCCAAUUUUGUUUUAUUUGGAUCCGUUUUCUUGCAAUAAGCAAGACACCCCCACACUUUGAAGUAACCUAUAUUAGGCUUCCUUCCUUUCCAUAACUCAUAUGGAGAUAUCUCAUUUUUCUUCAUAGGAAUUCUAUUCAAAAUAUGGCAAGCAGUCAACAAAGCUUCACCCCACAAAUUGAAAUUCAAUUUAGCAUGCAAUAACAUAGCAUUCACCAUUUCCAAGAAUGUUCUAUUCUUUCUCUCCGCUAUGCCAUUGUGUUGAGGUGUAUAGGGUGCAGUGCACUCAUGUAUUAUGCCAUAUUCUUCACAAAAAGAAUUGAAUUCACUAGAGAAAUAUUCACCACCUCUAUCACUUCUAAGCACCUUAAUAUUUUUUCCUAGUUGAUUUUCAACUUCGGCUUUGUAAACUUUAAAGGCAUUGAAAGUUUCACUUUUGUUUUUCAACAAAAACACAUAGUGUGGACCCGCAUUUUUCACGUGCGUCCCCACUCGAUCGACGAGACUUGCUUUUUAUUUGUGAAAAAUUAAUUUUUGGAAAAAAAGUUGGAGUCGCCACUUAUUUUAUUUUUAUUUUUGAAGUGAAAAUAAAACAAGAAAUAAAACCCUAAAAAAAAUGACUCCAUAAUUUUUGGAAAAGCGUGUCUUUGAAAAACCCGAGUCUAAGUCCGGGGAUCAGGUUACCUAUUGGGAAGGUACCUUUGAAAGGUAGCACCCCUCUAAGCCCUAUAAAGGUCUCUACUGACAAAGUUAAGGGAAGUGUGGCCAUUAAUCAGUUAAUUAUGGAUACCUAGAUAGACUAAGGUGAUUUCAAAAAAUAACAUGGCAAAUAGGAUCAAAUUACAAUAAAGGAGAGUUAGGAUGCGUACCCAAACCGCUUCUCAAGCGCUAUCAUAACACAUCAAUGGUUAAUUUAGACAAUAUAUGAUCCAACAUGUAUUUUAUUAGAAAUAAUCCAACAAUGAAACAUGUAUAUCAGAACACUCAAGCAUUAUUAGACAUAGGCAUUAUUUCACAAUGACAAGCAUAUUCACAUAAUUCAGAAAGUAGGUGAUAGAGGACAUACCUGGAUAACAUAGAUAAUUUGUAGCGUGCUUCCACAAGUUGUAAGGAGUUAGAUAACAAAUAAUAAAAUAUAGAAAUCCUAGCAUGCUCAUUAUCUAAUUAGCAUAGCAAAAGUGAUCAAAGUAUACAGAAUCGUCAAUUAUCACAUACAUCUUGUAUAUAAUUCCUAAAAAAAAUAGAUAGACAUGAUUCCAACAAGUGUCAAAUAUGGCAACAAAAAUAAAUUUUGAAAAGAUUUUCUUAUGUAGGGGUUUCACCAAUUCCCCAAAUUAAUAUACACGAAUUUAGCCUAGAAUUAUCCCAUUUAUUUGGGACCACAAGCUUUGAUUCGUGUUUUUUGUUCAAAACCAAAAUUUUUAUUGAAAACCGAGAAGGAUGCAAACCGAACAAGAUAUGGUUGCAUAUUAUUUUUAAAUAAAUAAAUAAAGAGAUUUUGAUCCUGAGGACUCUAAUGAGUUUUUGAAAUAGAUUUUUAAAAUGAUUUUUUGAGAAAAGUAUUUUAUUUUAAAAUAAAAGGAAUUAAUUUGGGAAAAAAAUAAAAUAUAAGAAAUAAAAUACCAAACAAAACAAAAAUGAAACCUCAAAGUAGAAUUUUUUUAGUAAUUAACAAAAAUGAUAAUGGUGAUGGUAGAGGCCAAUCUUCAUGAUUUUCCAAUGGCCUCAGAAAGAAAAUCAAAUUAAAUGAAGGAUCACUAACAGGCAAGACAUUCUAAAUUAGACAAACUAACAAAGUAUCAAUUCAUGAACUAACCGCUAGGAUUUUGAAAGCAUAUAAGCUAAGAUAAGGGUGAUCAAGAACUAACAUUAAUGAUUUUGAAAUAAAAACUAAAAAGGGAUCAAUUCGGGUAAGGAACUAAAAUUAUAGAAGUACCUAAACUAAUUAUGACGAGUUUGACUAAAUUAAAUUAAAAACAUGAACUUUCAAACAUAGAAUUAAUUUUACUAAUGAACCAAAGCAAACUAAAAAUAUGUACUUUCAAGCAUAGAAUUAAUUUUAUUGAUGAACCAAAAAUUAUAAAAGUGUCUAAACUAAAUAGAUGAAUUAAAUUAAAUCAAAGUACACUAAAAACAUGAACUUUUAAAUAAAGAAUCAAUUUUAUCAAUAAAUAAAUAAAACUAUAAAAACACAUAAACUAAUUAAAAGGAACCAAAUUAAAUCAAAGAAUACUAAAAAUAUGAACUUCCAAACAUGAAAUCAAUUUUAUUAAUAAACUAAUACUAUAAAAACACCUAAAAUAAUGAAUAUAAAUUAUUAAAUCAAAGCAAACUAAAAAAAAAAAAAAAAACUGAAACUUUCAAACACGGGAUCAAUUUUAUUAAUGAACUCAACUAUAAAAAAAUAUCUAAACUAACUAUAAUGAAUCAAAUUAAAUUAAAGUAACCUAAAAACGCAAACUUUCAAACAUAAAAAUCAAUUUUAUAAAUGAACUAAAACUAUAAAUGUAUUUGAACUAAAUAGAUGAAUUAAACUAAAUCAAAAGUAAACUAAAGACAUGAACUUUUAAUAUAGGAUCAAUUUUAUUAAUGAACUAAAAUUAUAAAAGUAUCUAAACUAAUUAAAAUGAAUCACAUUAAAUCAAAGAAUACUAAAAAUAUGAACUUCCAAACAUGGGAUCAAUUUUAUUAAGAAACUAAAACCAUAAAAACACCUAAAAUAAUGAAUACAAAUUAUUAAAUCAAAGCAAACUAAAAAAAAAAAAACUGAAACUUUCAAACAUGGGAACAAUUCUAUUAAAUGAACUAAACUAUAAAAAAUAUCUAAACUAACUAUAAUGAAUCAAAUUAAAUUAAAGCAACCUAAAAACGCAAAAUUUCAAACAUAAAAUCAAUUUUAUCAAUGAAUUAGAACUAUAAAUGUAUUUGAACUAAAUAAAUGAAUCAAACUAAAUCAGAGUAAACUAAAAAAAAUGAACUUUCUAACAUGAAAUCAAUUUUAUCAACAAAUAAAUGAAUGAAUAACAAGUAAUUAAAAGAAUAGCUAAUACAUGAAUAACUGAAUGAAUAAAAUUCAAACGUUUUCAAUCUGAAGCAAUCAAUCAAAAUUAAAUAGGGAUCAAAUCAAAAUAAUCGAAAUCGGAAAAACAAUAUGCAAUCUUUCUCAAGGUUUAACCAGACAAUUGAAUUAAAAUUAUGAAUAGAAUAAAUUAAUAAACCAAAUCGAAACCUAAAUUGUACCUAAAAAGAUUAAUUAAUUAAACUAAGAAAUCAAAAUCAAUAACAAAACUAAACUAAGGAGUAAAUUAAGACAAGACUAAUUAAAUUAAACUCACAAACACGUUUUGACUAUCAUAUGGAUUAAAACAAAAUUAGCAUGGACUUAUGAAUUACGAACAAAAAUAAUCAAAACUAUUUCAAAAACUCACCUCUAUUAUAAGAAAAAAUCUGUCUUUGAUGCGUUAAGGUGGCUCCCCUCUUGUGUGGAUCUCUCUGCUCUCCCCGAAAAAAAAAUCUCUUCCUCUUUCUCCUUCUAAAAACCCCGAAAUCCCUCAUUUGCUCCAGAAAAAUAAUAUCUCUCCGUGUGGAUCUCUAAAAAAAAAUCCCUUGAAAUAGAAAAGAACUCUCUUGCCUUUUUAUGUGGCAGCCUCCCUCUUUGGAAUAUUCGCUUUUUCCUUUUGGAGAUGUAGGUAGAUAUGGGAAGUAUGGCUCGCUUGGAGAUUCCCAAGGAUGCGCAUGUCCCGUUUGGUAAGCGUCUACAUCUAGUGGUCGCAUCAUCCGCCGUUGACUGGAUUGAUCAGGCUGGAAAUUGUGGGAUUUUAUCCUGCACCACCACGUACUGGAACAUCCACAUUGCAAUGCACGUUUCGCCGGAGAAAAGCAAAGAACAUUCUGGCAGCUUUCCAAGAUCGACAAAUCAAGAUUUCUCUUCUUUUCCCAUGGCGAACGUGUGGCGGUGGGUCAUGGUAUUUUCCAGCAUAAAUCUCCAUUCAUUUUCAGUGAUGGCUGCCGGAGUUCAACCUUGCUUGGGUGAUGUGACCACGACGUCUUUCCUCACUGGCAGCACCAUGAUCGCUCUCAAAUCUUCGCCAGAAAACAAACUGUCGAUGACGCUGGCUGUUGACAUCCUUUCCGGAGGAGAAACUCCAAUCUUAUUGACAGAAAACAUGCCGUUCACCGGAAAAUCCUCCCUUGACUCCUCAAUGACCUGCACCCGCAGUAUGAAACCUGACUGGUGGCGGAUUUGGUGCAGGAUUAUAUAUUUCCGACUGCUUGAGGUUGGGAACAACCUUAUUUGUUGAUUCUAUUCUCCGAGAAGUGCUAGUACCAAGAGAACUUGGAACUGGUUUGGAGUCCUCUCUUUUAUACUGCUCAAAUCUUCUUAUAUCUCCAAACGAAGAAUCUCGUUCACCAUCUAAGCCAUCCAUUACACUCUGCCUUGUGAUGUGUUCUUGACAAGAAUGGUGACCGUUAUUUUCUUCUAACCCCAACAAUGUCUUGGCUCUGACCGGACUAGUAGUAGAAAUACCGACCAUUUUCUCUGAACCAGUCUAGAAAAGAGGAUUCAAGAAACCACAUCCACUAUCUCUAUCAUGAUCUUGGCUUCCAGCACCGAAAUCAAUAUCACCAAGAAUAGAUAACGCUUUUGCUAUUGAAAAUUGUUUUACAGUAACUGAUUUUCCUAAUCCAGUCCAGAACGUUGGAGGGCUCUUAACACAGGGACCGCCAUUUUUCAGGACCUCUGAACAUUCUCGAAGCAACAGAUCCACCAUGGACGGGAGAUGGGGAGUAGAAUCGUAUGGUUGGAUCGGAGCACUGCUUGUUCCCUCUACGGGUUUGGUUAAGCUUUGUGCAUCUGAAAUCGGUUUCAGGCUUUCCCUACUUUUCAGGAGAGUGCAAUGGGACGCAACCCCCAAUAGCAUUCUCGAGAGUCCCUCCCCUCAAAAGGUGAUCUCUGGUCUUGUCCUCUUCCUGUACCUUCCGUAAAGGCAUCCUGAAAUCCCCAUAUCCAUAUGAGGAAUAUCCAGCUGUCACUUUGUGGUGCGACACGCAUGCUAUUCCUUGCUUCUUCAUGUACAAGUCAUUUAGAAUUUCAAUUCUCUAAUACCUUCCCCUCACGUGGUAGCUUCAUUGACUUCAUCUUUUGCCCUCACACGAGCCACCUAUUCCGGAAUAUGCAAUUCCUCUCCUCAUGCAAAAUAGAGUAGAAUAAUAGUAUAAAAAAAUGAAAAGAAAAUUAAAGAAACUAACGAAAUUAGUAAUAAAAUAGAAUAUGAUUUCAAAGAAAAAGCAAGGGAAUAAGGAGAGAUUAGAUAACAUCAUUUUCUCGUUCAAUAAUAGGGUCACAUGCGUAUUUAAAGUAUAAACAAUUCAAGCAAUUUUUUUUUAUUAAGUAAAUAAAUAAAUAAAUAAAAAUAAAUAAAAUGAAAUAUAUAAAGACAAUUAAAUACAUGAAUAAAUAAAUAAUAAAAAGUAAAAGUAAAAAUGAAUAGACAAAAUAAAUGUAAUUAUCAAAUGCAUGCCAUAAUAAUAAUAUUAUUAUAUAAAAAAUAAAAAAUAAAAAUAAAAAGUUGAGCCUCAAUGAAAUGUCUAAAUGGACCUAUUCUAAAAAAAGGUGUCUAAGUGACCUAGGUGACAUGUGUGUAAGUAAGGAGGUGUCUCGGUGCGAGUCAAGGUGAAUCUAGGUGGGCCUAGGGUGGUGCCUAAUGGACCAAGUGUAUCUAAAAGCUAUCCUAAAAUAGGGCUGCCAAAGGUCGCAAUAAGAGGUCAGAUAAUCCCUCAGCUAAAAUCUCCAGGGUGACUCAAAAAAAGGUAAGUCGUACGAGUAGUAAUGGGCCACCAAGGAGUUACUAUGGGGCACUGAAAACGAAUUUAAAGACAUGUGCUAAAGGGACAAAAUUGAGGGUCUACACAUAGGUAAAUCUAGAACAAUCAUCUAUGAAUGUAAGAAAAUACCUAUUUCCACCUCUUGUUAACAUGCCAUUAAGUUCACAAAGAUCACUAUGUAUUAAAUCAAGCAAAUUAGAUGAUCUCUCAACACUAUGAAAAGGCUUUUUAAUCAUCUUUGAUUUAACACAUAUUUCACACUUUUCAAAUUUCUUGGUAUCACAAGCAAUCAAACCACAUUUCACAAUCCUUUUAAUAGUGCUUAAACCAACAUGUGCAAGCCUAUUAUGCCACAAAAAUAAAGAAUUUGAAUCACACAUAUAAGCGGAAGUAUACGCCAUUUUAUUGAUAUUGUCAUUGGUACAAAGUUUGAUCAUCCCAUCACAAGAAUACCCCUUUCCCACAAAGUUCCCCGAUUUGGAUAAAAUUAGCUUACCAGAUUCAAACACCGCUUUGAUACUCGGUUUGCCAAGUAAAUUCCCACUAACCAAAUUUUUAUUCAUAUCGGGGACAUACAAUACAUUUAUAAGGGUAACCCUUUUGCCGGAGGUAAAAGCAACUUCAAUAGUGCCCUUGCCAAGCACCUUGGAUCUUCCUUCAUUACCCAUUUGAACCUUUUGAUCUCUCUUUGCAUCUUCAAAGGUCUUGAAAAGAGAUUUGUCAUAGGUAACAUGAACUGUGGCACAAGUAUCAUACCACCAUCCUUGCACCUUUCCUUGGACAACGCCACCUAGUGAAGUUGGAACCAUCAAAACGAUCCAACCUCACAAGGUCUUGGUUCAUAAUCUUGAUAGUCUCUCCUUCCAUUGAAUAUAGAGUCUUUGAUUGAUGGGAAAAUGGGAUACAAUGGAGAAAAGAAACACUCUCUUGAUACAAUAAAACUCUCAAAGUUACAAAAUAAGAACAAGAAGAAGAAGAACACAAGAAAGACUCAAACAAGUUCCUGGAACUUUGUCCAAAGACUCUAUUUCCUCCCACCACUAGAAAUCUUUUGGGAACUAAUGGAAAUAGUCUUGGGAUUGAUCAGGCCUUUUCACUCUUCUGCCUAAGAUUUCAAAAAGAAGAAAAGUCAAAUAUAGCACUCUUAGGGUUGAAAAAUGGUUACAAGGAUGAGAAAAAACUCAUUGUCUUCCUCAAUCUCUUCAUCUUUGUAACAUUCAAAAAUUAAAUCAUAUGUUUAAUUCACACAUUAAACAUGAUUUAAUCUCAAAUGUGUAACUCUCUUACACUUAACCUCUUAAGUUUUAUAAAGUUACAAAGAUGAGAAGACUCAUUAUCUUCUUUAACCUUUCAAGUUUUGUAACAUUUCAAAACUUAAUCAUGUGUUUAUUUCACACAUUAAAAAGUGUAACCCUUCUUACACUUUAUUUUCAAAAGUUAUUUUUUAAAAGUGUAACUCUUCUUACACUUUAUUUUUAACCAACAAUAUAUAUAUAUAUAUAUAUAUUUAUAUAAAUAUAACAUCAAUCCACCCCCAACCUCUUGAUAUGUAAGGCCUGUGCAAUGCCACAGGCCAUGCUCUAGUACCACCUCCCCACAUGCUCACUCCGCAAUCACCUACCCACCUCUGGGCAUGUCGGCAAAAUUUGGAACGAGGUAUGUUUUAAAGUAUUCCAAAAAAACAGUUGGAAAAACAAAGAAUACAUCUGACUUUUAUAUUAUACAACAAUGUAUAAUAUUUUUAUAGAAAAUAAAUUAAGAAAUAUAUUUGUCUCAAUGCAUUUUUAUUUUAAAUGUUUUUUAUAUAGAGAACAUGCAUGUUGCCCAAGUGUUCUUAAGACAUGACAUGAGGCUUACGAAGUUGCAUGGAAAAUGUGGCCAAUCGUGAACCUUUUUAAAAAGAUAAGAUAAAAUUAAAUUUUAAAAAAAAAUAAACAAAAUUAUAAUUUAAGAAAGGUUAUAUUAAAAUAAAUCUUUUUCUUCUCCAUAUUCAUGUUCAUUUUUUAAACUUCAACUUAAUUUUCUUCCUCAAGGUUGAUCUCCAAAUCCAAAGUAUAGUUGGUAAGAAAAGAGGCAUGAGGUUUUAGUAAUGCAAGGCCCUUCAACUUGAACUUCUCAAUCUUCAAAAGUAGUAAAAAAAAAAUGAGGACCUGAACACAGUUGGCUCUUGAUAGGGACAUUUAGAAGGAGAAAGACGUUCUUAUAAUGAAACUGAAGGUGAUGGUUGACGGUUGCUUGGUAGAACUACAUCAAGGCCAUAGCUUACAGAGCAGAGGUAGUGAAUGCGUGGAAGAUGGGAAGAGAUGGCCAGCUUCCUUUGUUUUAAACAAAGGCUGCAAAGUAUAACCAUGACAACGAGAAAUAACAAUGAAAGGAUAGAAGAAAAUGCAAGUGUAUUAGAAGAAACAGGCAAAGUUCUUGCAAGUUGCAGCUAUGAAGAUUACACUCAGUGGGGAAAGGAGGUUCCUACCUCUCUCUCUCCCUCACACACACACACACACUCCUUCAAUCACAUAGACAGAUACAUAACUUCAUAUCUAUUCAUUUGCAGAUGGGUUUGAAGUAUGGUUGUCCAGUGGAAGAUACCCUUACAGGGCUAUCAAUACAAUGCAGAGGUUGGAAAUCAAUCUAUUUCACAAUCUAUCCCAAACUCAUCAUUAUUAUUAAGAAUCAUACCCCCUUUCAGAUAUCAAGCUUGUGGGUGCUACCCUUUGCCUAUGUCACCAUCAAGUAUGCAUACAGAUUAGCCGAGUUUAUUUUGUUUGACAGGCGCAAUCCUUUGGGAAGAAGUUUUUUAUGUUUGAAUUCCAAAGUAAAAUUUUACCUUUAAAAAUAACAUCGAACUACUAUUAAAAAUAAUUUUCAAAAACAAAAUUUUGGUAACUAUUUAACAUAUUCUUAUUUCUUUAUAAAAUUGUUCCUGGUUUAAAUUCUUUUGAGGUGGCACUUCUCAAGGUUCAUCUCCACAUCCAAAGUUAUAUAUAUAUAUACAUAGACACAUGAAGUUAAAGAUAUUCUUGAGAAUGAUUGGUAAGAAAACAAAGGAAGAUGCAGGAGAUAUUCAUAAACACGCAAGACAAGUUUAUAAAGACGUAUAAACUUGUCCAUCUUGAAGAGGAGUACAAGUUUCUACUUAUAAUGGGAUAUUCUUUCUAAAUGGAAAAGACUCGUGAAGUAAAAUGGAAAAAAAAUGAAGACCUGAACACAGUUGACUCUUGAUAGGGACACUUAAAACUCUGAAUAAGAUGCUCUUUUAUUGAAACCAAAGGGUUGACAGUUUCCUGGUAGAAUUAUAUCAAGGUCAUAACUUAUAGAGCAGAGGUGGUGGAUAUGUGGAAAAUGGGAAGAGAUGGCCAGCUUCCUCUGUUUGAAACAAAGACUGCAAAGGGUAGAAUCCUCUUUGGAUUGUAUGCAGUUUCAACCUUUGUGGGCAUAUGUUUGAUUUGUGUUUACAGAAAAACUCAUCUACCAGAGGAAGGAAAAGUUGGAAGAUGGGCUUGGAUAGGAUUGUUCUAGUCAGAGCUCGGGUACAUACUCUAUUGGUUUAUCACUGUGACAGUUAGAUUGAAACCUAUCUACCGCUACACCUUCAAAGGCAGGCUUACACAAAGGUCCCUCUCUUUCUCUUGCUAAUCCUGACCUUGAAACAGGUAUGAGAAGGUUUUACCUGGGAUAGACAUAUUUGUGUGCACUGCGAACCCCAUUAUUGAACCACCAACUAUAUAUAUGGUCAUCAACACAGUUCUCUCAGUCAUGGCUUACGACUAUCUGCCCAAGAAGCUGGGCGUCUAUCUAUCCGAUGAUGGUGGGUCAUGUCUAACAUUUUAUGCUCUCCUAGAGGUCUCUCAGUUCUCAAAGAUAUGGCUACCAUUUUGCAAGAAAUUCAAAGUUGAACCCAGAUGCCCAGAAGCUUAUUUUACCUCUACUCCUGAACCGCAUCAUGAUGAUCCUCUAAUGGUUGAGGAAUGGUCAUCCAUCAAGGUAAAGUUUGCUUAUUUUAUAUUCAUGUCUUCCUUCAUAUCUGUCUGUUGCUCUUCCUGCAACAAUGGCAAAAUGGAUGAUUUUCUCUUUUUCUUCAAACAGAGUCCUGAAUUAUCACUCAAAGAGUGAGAUUGUAUGAUUCCAAAUACUUCAGAUACCCAUUUCCUAGUUAAGAUACCCGUAAGCCAAACAAAUUCUUAGGAAUAUAACAAUUUGAACAAAACAAUCAAUUUUGAGUGGUUCAUAUUCAACAACAAUGAUAAAACGGAUGAGCUCAUCUUUUUCUUCAAACGGAGUCCAGCAUCAUUAUUCAAAGAAUGAGAUUGUAUGGUUCCAAAUGUUUAGGUAUAAGAUGCCCAUCUCCUAAUAAAGGUAUCGUAAAAAAAUUAAUUUCUUACGAAUAUGCCAAGCAACAUCACAGUCAAUUUUGAAUGGUUCAUAUCCACCAAUGCUUGCAUUGGCUAGAGCCCAUCUCAAGCUCUGCAUCUGUCCACAGAAACUAUGUCCCACUCUAAUCUGGACAAAUUUUUUCAUCUGGACCAUAACCUCCGAUGCAUUGAAAUGUUCAAAUCAUAAAAAUCAUUGUCCUUUGAAAUAACAAAAGUGGCGUGUACACCAUCUCCUAUCAACUUCAAACUUAAAAGACUAAAAACUUAUCUUUUAUUUAUUUACUUAUUUCCGUCAUAGAAAUUAUAUGAAGAUAUGAGGAACCGGAUAGAAUCUACUAUGAAGGUGGGCCAAAUUUCAGAAGAAAUACGCAAACAACACAAAGGAUUUGGAGAGUGGGACUUGGUUUCCGAUCCACGGAAUCAUCAAACCAUUCUUCAAGUACUUCUUACCGUCUUUUAUGCUUUACAAGCGUAUCCUAUUAUUCUCAUCUGAUAUACAAGCAUAUACUUUUCAUUAUCAGAUAUAGAUCUUAGGAACUCAUAUCAUGAUGGGCAAAGCCUAUCAGAGGAACCAAAUGAUGUAAAAAAGAAAGAGAAUGAAUAAUUCUUCAUUUUCUCCUGAUGUUUGAUCUUAUUAAUCUUCUGCUAAUUUCACAUAUACUAAUUGAUGGGAGAGAUGGCAAAGCUAUGGAUGUUGAAGGCCAACCUUUGCCAACUCUAGUAUACUUGUGUAGACCCCCAUUUGGGGCUCAUUUUCAUGCAGCCCAUUUUUUGCUAGGUGCUAGGAUUGGAGAAGGCCAUGUGUCGCCUUAUGGUUAGCCAUCAGGGAAUCACAAUGGUGGAUUGAAGAAGCAAUAGGGUAGCGACACAUGUCAAGGAAUAUCUGGCAGAGGAGCGUAUUCCGUUAGGGGGAGAAGGCUUAUUUGGUUGCUGAAGGUGAGAUAUUUUAGGCAGGACAUAGAGGGAGGAGGGAGAGGGGGGUGGGGGGGAUGGCAAGGUUUUUCUUGGGGAGCAAGCGGGGGAAAAGAGGGACAAAGGGAGUUUUCGUUGGAGCUUGGGGAUAAAGUUUUCUCUGGUUAUGGCUUGAGAGAGAAACCUACUGAGAGAGCUGAAGCUGAGAAGUAGAGUUUUCUGGGCUGGUUCUUGGAAACAAAAGAGGGCUUAAGGACAAUUAAAUCUAGUUCGAAGAGACACUCCAGGUAUGUUCACUGUGAGUCAUGUAUUUUAUCAUUUUGGAUGCUAUUCUGCUGAAUGUUUUUGGGUCAUUUAUGCACUUUUCCAUUGAUUCACCCUCUGUUUCAUUGAUUUGGUUUGAAAAACCGGUGAGGUUUUGUAUCAUGUCCACUGUGGGGAAUCUCUAAUUGUUGGCUGCACUUUUGCUUUGAAUCGGUUUGUUUCUUUCUUUGUUUCCACUAGUAGGAGCCUAUUGAUUGAUCUUGAGAGGUGGUUCCAUUUGAUUUUUAUUUUGCAUGUUCGUUUUUUUUUUUUAGCUUUCUCUGUUUUUCUUUCUCCAUUACUCGUUUUUUUGCUAGUUCUUCCCAUUUUCUGGUAAUGGUUUCACAAAUGUUUUAUAUGAGUUGAGAUUUUGGGAGGACAAAAAUGGGUAAGCUCUAUGUCAGAGGAAGCUCAAGGGAAAUGCCAAUGAGAAGAACAGUACCCUGCGUUGUCUAUUAUUUGAGCUAAGAUUUGAAUAGAUUGUAAAGUCAACUGACCUUUUUAGUCUUGAAGCUGGGAAUGCAUUGAUGAGAUGCUUGUUGCAGAAAUAGUGGACAUUCUUCUUGAUGUUGCCGUCUACAUAGAAACUUAUUCUUUGAAGGGUGUCACUGUUUUGGGUUCGUUCGCUGAGUAGAUCAUUGUGUUUCUGCAUUUGGGUUUUGUUUCUAGAUUAGAACCUUGGUCUUUGUUACUGUGGAGAAGCUUGUGAGGCUUAUUACCAUGGCUUCUCUAUUUCUACAAAUGCUACUUGUUUCAUUCUCUUUUGCUUUUGUCGGCCACAACUAUGACUAAGCUUUGACCAAGGCCAUUCUCUUCUUUGAAGCUUAGAGAUCUGGGUACCUUCAUAGUAACCAGAGAAUGAAGUGGAGAGUUGAUUCUGGUUUACAUGAUGGAAAGGCUAGGGGGUGGAUAUGGUGAGAAAAUAUUAUGAUGCAGGUGGCAAUGUGAAGUUUGGCCUACCCAUCACAUUCACCAUUACAAUGAUGUCAUAGAGCAUAGUGGAGUAUGAGAGGCAAAUGAGUGCAAAUGGAGAGCUGGGUCAUGCCAUGGAAGUAGUGAAGUGGGGCACUGACUACCUCAUUAAAGCUCAUUCCUACUCUUAUGUCUUCUACGGGUGGGAGAUGGAAAUUCUGAUAAUUUCUAUUGGUAAAAGCCAGAGGACAUGCCCAUAGCUAAUACCUAUCUCAUUAUAUCCUUUCAUCUUUCCAUACCUCCAUCACUCAUUUCUCACUAGCCUCUAUCACCCAUUUCACUAAUCCCAUGUCCAUAUCCUCCUACACCAUUCAUACCCAUUUUCCAAUUCCACCAUCAAACCCAUUUCUUUCCAACCUUCCACUUAUUUCACACCCACUGAACCCCUCAUACCCAUUUCUCGCACCACUCAUGGCUCCAUCUAACACUAAUCCUUACGCGCAUGGCCACCUUCAUUCUUCCACCUUGCCUAUCCAUGAAACCCAUCCAUCAAGCCUACCCAUCUAACCCAUUUCUCACACUACCCAUAACCCUAUCCAAAACCACUUAUAUCCAUCAUCUUUCAUGCCUGCCAUGUCUUGGUUUCAUUACCAAACCUAUCACCCCUACCUUCCAUCUAACCACACCCUUAAACCCACAUUUCUCUCUAAAUUAUUUUCCCAUAUCCAUUCAAACCCAUUUUCUUAAUCUCAUGCACGUAACCUCCUUCAAUGGUCCUUACACAAUCAUCCCAUUGUAUCCAACCCAUGACCCGAUUUCUCUGUCAUAUUUCCUACUCCCUUAUCUAUGUGACAUGGAUGAAAUUUUCCAGCAUUGACAUAAAGGAAUGAUGGCACUUCAAUGGGUAUGUUUGGUGUAACCCAAUCAUCUUUCCUAUUGCCUUCCACAAUCACAUUGAUGUUUCAUCACCAUCGACUUUUGAAAAGUUUAAUGAUGGCUUUUGAAGCUACUUUUACUCUUGAUUUUGAUAGCUUGUCAUCGUCAUUUGUCACACCUUUGGUGUUUAGGCGACAACCUGAUUUUGGGAGUCUUGGGUCCUCUCCUACUCAAACAAAUCCUUUUAAAGGAAGGUUCGGAAAAGGAACCUUUUAAGGCGCACUAUAGUAGAUUUCCAGCGCUUGGGCAGAGGAUUUGAUCAUAUGCAUUGCGAAGAUCCUUUACUAGAAUCCAAUUACACGAGAACGAUUGGGCAUGAUGUUGAGCCAUUGACUGAGGGGUGCCAAUAGAUACGUGCAAUCUUAGAAUACAAGAUGUGGUUUUCCACCUUGUGGCUCUUCAAGACACAAUGCACCAGGCUGUAGGAAUGGUCCCGCCAAUAAUGAAAUAAGAUAUGCUGGUUGUAGUCGUUAUAGUGAAGUUGAUCCUGGACAUAGAGACACUGUCGGUGCACCCUACAGAAACCCAAAUACCCCACCCGCAUGCAUGAAUUUGGCCAUGUCAGAUGUCUCGUCUUAGAGAAGGUAGUCACGUCCUGUGAACUCCUAUGCAAAUAUUAGAGUUUUGGGUUUUUGGAUACAUAUCCUCAUUACGACAAGCUAAAACGUGAAUCUCAGUGUGUCUAUAGACCCUAUUGUUGCCCCUAUGCUGGACCAGAAUGCACUAUCAUUAGUGACAUUCCUUGUUUGGCAACUCACUUAAAAGAUGAUUGAAACUGGGUCAAAGCUAAACACUGAUAACUAUGCAAGCAUGUUGGGUUUCUUGAUUUUGAUGCCUUUGGCUCUCGUCUAUUUUGGUAGUUAGGUCUAUCCUUAGAAAUUUUCACGUCAAUACAGUGCUUGCUUCGAUGGGAGUUUUCUUCUUUUGAUAUUGUGCUCGAGAUCAAAUGAGCCACGACUUCAAUUUCACUAUCUAAAAUCAAUGGACCUAAGAUCAAUGUUCCCAAAAUCGGUGCUGCAAUCCCUAUAAACCUUAGAAUAUGAUGUAACGAUUAUGUUCAGGAUUGUUGUUCCUAUCAUUUGGAGGCUCAAAACCAAGGCAACUUUGAACGCAGUUGUGUCCCAUCAAGAUUCAUGUUCUAUAUAGAUGGUUUUAGGGGGUCGAUUUCUCAAGCUAGGUGUUGGAUGAUGUGAGAUCGAGUUUCUUAGAGCGCAAGACUACAAUGGAUGUUUCGAUCAAUGACUCAGAGUAUCGUUCCGAUUAUUUGAGAAUGUUGCAAAUUGAUAUCUUGGCGGGUAAAGGAAGAUUGGUUGCUUGUGUUGAUGUGAAUGAGAGGUAUAUCUGAUUACUACUCAAAAAGUGUUAUUUCAUAGCUUGUAAUUAACUCUUUUAAACACUUUUGAGUAGUAGUUAUUGCCUUUUAACCCAAUUAACAUGUUAAGGACCCUUGCAAUCAAUUCUAAUCAAAUUGUGUUAAGUUUUGGUGUUUUGAUAGCUUUUGAUCACCAAAGCAAUCCGAGAUUGAGGAGAGUUAUAUGGAAUCUUGGGCAAAGCAAUUGGAAGCUCAGAACAUGAAGAAGUAAAGCUUUGAAGUCCUUUGCCAAGAGUAAAUCCAGAAUGCAAGGAGAGGAAGAAAGAGAAUCUGCCAUGAAGCAUAUUCUUGAUGAUAGUCGUGUCAGCCACUUUUGGAGCACUUUCUGAAGUCCAAUUUAUGCAUACUAUAUGUCAUUUCGAAGCUCAGGAAGUCAACAAUCCAAUUCUUCAAACGGUAUAGAAUUUGGAGUUGAAAUGAAGGAGUUACAGCCAUUGCAAUCCGAUCACUCCAAGCUGAAGGAAGAAUUUUGCACAGCGCUGUGAAAUCACCCUUUUGUUGCGAAAUGAUUUCGCAGCCUUUUUGUACAAUGCUGUGGAUUUCCCCCUGAAGUUUCCCGUCACGUUGGAAGCCGAACACCGCAAGCUGAAAGACCACUUCACAGCGUUACGAAAUCAGCCGUUUGCUGCGAAGUUAUUUCGCAGCCCUUUUUGUGCAUCUGCGAAAUCUCGCAGACCUCGUUUUCACCUGCGAAAUGGUCCUUAGUGCUUCCCGAUAUUUGUCUACCGACUCUUUUAGAUCUUUUCUUCAGAUAUUUUUGUAUAAAUUUCCAUUUUCUCCUUGUAUUCAGCCACUCAUGUAAUUUCUUAGCUAGAAAGUAUCCAAGGAAGGGUAAAUUACCUUCCUAUAUAAACUCUCUUGUAAACACUAAAAAUGGGACUCUCUGGGAGUUUUAACCAGGAGAUCCAAUAUAGAUAGAUAUAUCAUAUAUAGAAUCAACGAACAGAGCACUUGCUCUGCUUUUCAUAUAUAUUCUUGUUUUCUCAUUAGUUUUUCAUUUCUAGCCAAUCAAACUCUGAGGAUUUUUCCUCAGAGGAUGAGAGGCUAGGCUUUUCGUCUCUUAGAGUGAGGAAAUCCGGGUAAGUUUCCACAUGCAUAAUUUGGAAGUUUUGUUGUUUUAGUUUUUAAUGAAGAGAAAGUGUGACCCGUUAAUGGUUUUUAUCUUUUUAGUUAACUUAAAACACCUUAGAGUCACCUGGGCUAACACUUGGUAAGGCAAGUGAUCUCCAACCAUGGAGAUGCACUAGUUUACCCCUUGCGAGCCUCUGGGAGGUGACUUUAAGGUAGGAUUUUCUGGAAUUGCCAACACUUGGUAAGCUUUUGGACUCCAAGGAGACAUCCAUUAGUUAUCUCUUGCGAGCUUGAGAAGGGAAGUCCAAGGUUAAAGAUCAUCUUGAAUGGCAAGUGCUAGGUGAGAGGCAUGAGCCAUUGCAAAGUGCAUCAGUGAGAGGGAUUUAGUGUUUGAACCCAUUAAUGGGAAGCAUCUGUACAACACCGGUUGGAGAAUUAACUAUAUGUUAAUUCUCUAAUGCGAGGAAAAGAAACAAGUGACCGGAACUCCCUUUUUGUAUGAGGAACCUGAGCCUAGUGAUCUGAACUCCAAGAAACACUUUUCUUUGUAAGUAAAAUCAGUUAUUAUUUUUGGUUAGUUUAAAACCAAACCUUUUUCAUUCAAACAUCUUUAUGUUUUCUUUUAAAGCUAACCUUGAAAUGAAAAGGCACCAAUUCAACUUUGAAUUAAUAUCAUUUGUGAAGUGAAAACCCAUCCCAGUGAACGAUCCUAGAGCCACUAUGUUAUAGUAGCUUUGUCUUUGCUACCCUAGUAUAUGGUGUAAUAGGUUAUAAAUUUUGUUGAUUAAUCCCUCAAUCAAGGAGCACCAGCUGCACACGAAUCAGCUGAGACACCAAUUGGGCACAAAUCAAUAUCUUUCUGAAAUUAUUCGAUAGUGAAGAGGUUGCUAACAGAUUGGAAAAUCUGAAUAUGAAGAGUAAAAUAAGAUUCAGUGAACACGAGGAAGAGAGAGAUUGGAAUCUUAGGAAGAAAGCGAAGAAAAUUCUUCAAUUAAUUGAAAAGUUGCAUCAAGACAGUGAAAUUCAAAUGAUCAAGAAGAUGCAUCGAAACAACAUCAUAUUCAAAUAACAUGUGAUUAAGAGACAUGUAAGUGGUCGGAUGCGAAAUUGAUUUUAAAAAAAAAAAACAGAUUGUAUGUAAUGACUGAGAAGUUCUUUUUUGUCUCGGUUAAAAAACACGGAACAAGUUGUGCGAGCCACUACAAUUCACUAGUGUGCGUAGAAGGGUCUUCUGGAAAAAGCUCAGUGGCAUGUUUUUCAUGAGUAGAUGGAGAGGACAAAGGCUGCCCAAAAACUUGUAAUACCACAUUCACUUAGCAUUGGGAAGUCAAACUGCAUAACACAAUCUUUAACAACAACUAGAGAAUGAGGCUCACGUUCGAGAAAUCGAGGAAGAGUGGUGUGACAAUGUAAGGUCUAUUGAAGAUAUUUGAGCCAAACUGUUAAAAGUGCAGGAGGCAACAACUAAGCGUGAGAGAGUCAUGGCCCAUGCUUUGGCUCAUAAGUGGCGGGCUGGAUCAAGGUGAUAGGUUGUCCCCUCUAUGUUUGAACUAGAUAAAAGCUACUGGAAGUGGGAGCUAGUUGGAAUGAUGGAUGGUUGUUUGUCCAUGUGAUAACCAGAUUUUGGACAUAAAUAUGAAAUAUGGAAUGGUGAUUCUUGAAAAUAGGUUGGCUAUAGGAAAGAGAAGUUACAGGAUAACACACUUUUUGCAUGGCCACCUUUGGUAUGCAGCCCCAUUAGCAGCGUGGCUUUCUUUCACCUUUUUUAGUCUUUGAUUUUAAAAAUCAUUCCCCAAACCCCAGUUUUCAAAGUAGUUUUCCAAGUUCUAGUUUUCAAAUAAUUUCAAGUCUCCAAAUUCUUCAUCCUUAGAUUUUUUUUUAGGGUCCCGAAAGUCCUGUUUUUAAUAAAAUUUGAUGUCAUUUUCUUCGACAUGCAAUUUUCAUAAUUUCCAUGAUUUUUAAAAAUGUUUUAAAUAAACAUGAAUUUAAUUUUGUAAUUUCAAAUGAUGGAAUUUAUGAAAUUAAUUCACGCAAAAAUAAAUUGGGCUUUGGUAGGGAUCCAACAUUAAAGAAGCUUUAUUUAAAAAUAAAUUUGAGUGAAGUGUGGUGUGAUAUCCGAUGACUUCUUACUCUGUUUAGUGGCUUGUGUGACAUACAUUGUGUUCAUAUUUGCACACUAACCCCAUUUCCUGAUAGCGCAUUGUCGUUUGCUGCUAAGGUAUGCAUCCAUUCUCACUUUGGCCAUUCUUUAUGCAUGUUUUAAUUUCCAUAUGUGUAUGAUCAUUUUGGGUAUCCACGUUUAAUCAAUCCAUUGCCAUGAUUGCUUCAUUUUACUAGUAGAGGGGUGCUACGGUCUUUACUGUACCUUCCCAAUAAGUAACCUAACCCCCGAACUCAUAUUUGGUUUUUCACAAGCCACCUUUUUCCAAAUAAGGAGUCAUACUUAGGGUUUUCUUUCUUAUUUUGUUUACCCUUUAAAAAUAAAACAAAAAUAAGUGGCGACUCCAAGUCAUUUUCUUAAUCAAUAAAUCAUUUUCAAAUAAAAAGCGAAUUCACUAUCGAGUGGAAGCGCAUGGGCAGAAAUGCAGGGUCCACAAAAUGGAAACUCCACUAGGGUUCGUUUAGAGAGUCAAGCUUGAACUUAGGAUGAAGCAAAUGUGACAUUUGAUUGGUCGAUCAGUGGGUACCUAUCUCUUGAUUGCAUGUUAAGAGCUUUAGAUAUCGUAGGAUGUAUGUUUGGUUAUUGUAUUCGUUUGGGACAUUGACAAGUUGAUUAUAUUGAUUGAUGAUGCGACUCUUGGUAGCUUAGCUUUAAAGGCGUAUCAACAAAAUUUAUACCUUAAAUACUAUUACUAAAGUAGCCAAGCUACUAUAGCAUAGUGGUUCUAGGAUCGUUCACUGGGAAGGGUUUUCGCAAACACAAGUGAUAUUCAAAUUAGGAAAAUAGGUGAUUUUCUUAUGGAUGUUAGCUUUAAAAGAAGAUGUAAAUGUUUUAGAAAGAUUUAAACUAAUCUAAGCUAACAUUAAAGACUAAAAUGAAAGGGUGUAAAAACAAGUUUCUCAAAGAUAGGAUAGCUAUGCUCUGGCUCUUAUGCAAAUUGGAAAUCUCAGGAUAGGCUCCUCGCGUUGGGGUUACAACUAUGGUGAUGCUUGCUUCCCGNNNNNNNNNNNNNNNNNNNNNNNNNNNNNNNNNNNNNNNNNNNNNNNNNNNNNNNNNNNNNNNNNNNNNNNNNNNNNNNNNNNNNNNNNNNNNNNNNNNNAGAGCAUAAUACAAACUCUAAGACUCAUGUAAUCAAGUUGAAACUCGACUUCUCUCAUUUAAUUUUGAGAGUUAAUCCUUAAUAUCCAUGGAGUUUAAAGCAAAAAUUUAAAAUUUAAACAAAAAGUAGCUAAUUUAACUAAGUAUGAUAAAAAUUUAAACUAAUACUUACUUCCUCAUCUCUCCCCCCAACCGAGAUGAACAUUGUCCUCAAUGUUUGAAUCGAAAAUAAGGAGGAAGGAAGUGGUACCUCAUGUGAUGUGGACUUGGAGUUGAGAAGGUUGAACACCUGUUUCAAAAUUCAAAAAUUGAAUGAGAGAGGAAUUUAUACUAAAUAUUUACAAAAAUGAUGAGUGGGCCCCACUUUGAGCAGCUGAGGACAAGGCUCAAAGGGUCCAUGCCAUGAUGGUAUAUUCAUAUAAGUUGCAAUGACAUUUGAAUGUAGCUUGCAGGGUGUUAAAAUUGGAGAUUUUUGGCUAAAACAGGGGAAAACAGAGGAGUGAACAGUGAGUGCCAAAAUUGGCACAGUCACUGUUCACCUCCUUUGAAGCCCGACUGUGCGUUUUCCAAGUUUUGGGAAAAAAUUCAAAAAUGGUUUUUUAAAAGGUAUGGUUAGGCUCUAAACAAGAUUCCUAAGGUGUUUGGGUAGUUUUUAAAUGAUGAAAAACAAAAUUAAAUGAUGGAAAAUGAAAAUCAAAGUGGACGGCCAUGCAUGGAAUGGUUUUGAAAAUUGAUUUUUAAAAAGUUUUGGAUGGAUGGGAUUUCUAAAAUUGGGUUUGGAUUUGAAAACAAAAGGUUUGGAAAUGCAUUCAUGAAUUUUUAAACUUGGAAAAACAUGGAAUUCAAGAAAAAGGCCUUCCCGAGAGCUUUGUUUUUAGAAAUUAGCUUGAAAAUCAUUUCGCACCAAGAUAAACAAGGUGCGAAAGUUUUCGCACUGGUAUUUUAGGUGCGAAGAUAGCAUCCCGGGAGGCUUGGCUUUCCAAAAUGUAUAGAAAUUCCUUUUCGCACCAUGCACUGUCACUGUGCGAAAAAUUCGCACUGAGUGUGUUCAUGGUGCGAAAUUCCACUGAGANNNNNNNNNNNNNNNNNNNNNNNNNNNNNNNNNNNNNNNNNNNNNNNNNNNNNNNNNNNNNNNNNNNNNNNNNNNNNNNNNNNNNNNNNNNNNNNNNNNNNNNNNNNNNNNNNNNNNNNNNNNNNNNNNNNNNNNNNNNNNNNNNNNNNNNNNNNNNNNNNNNNNNNNNNNNNNNNNNNNNNNNNNNNNNNNNNNNNNNNNNNNNNNNNNNNNNNNNNNNNNNNNNNNNNNNNNNNNNNNNNNNNNNNNNNNNNNNNNNNNNNNNNNNNNNNNNNNNNNNNNNNNNNNNNNNNNNNNNNNNNNNNNNNNNNNNNNNNNNNNNNNNNNNNNNNNNNNNNNNNNNNNNNNNNNNNNNNNNNNNNNNNNNNNNNNNNNNNNNNNNNNNNNNNNNNNNNNNNNNNNNNNNNNNNNNNNNNNNNNNNNNNNNNNNNNNNNNNNNNNNNNNNNNNNNNNNNNNNNNNNNNNNNNNNNNNNNNNNNNNNNNNNNNNNNNNNNNNNNNNNNNNNNNNNNNNNNNNNNNNNNNNNNNNNNNNNNNNNNNNNNNNNNNNNNNNNNNNNNNNNNNNNNNNNNNNNNNNNNNNNNNNNNNNNNNNNNNNNNNNNNNNNNNNNNNNNNNNNNNNNNNNNNNNNNNNNNNNNNNNNNNNNNNNNNNNNNNNNNNNNNNNNNNNNNNNNNNNNNNNNNNNNNNNNNNNNNNNNNNNNNNNNNNNNNNNNNNNNNNNNNNNNNNNNNNNNNNNNNNNNNNNNNNNNNNNNNNNNNNNNNNNNNNNNNNNNNNNNNNNNNNNNNNNNNNNNNNNNNNNNNNNNNNNNNNNNNNNNNNNNNNNNNNNNNNNNNNNNNNNNNNNNNNNNNNNNNNNNNNNNNNNNNNNNNNNNNNNNNNNNNNNNNNNNNNNNNNNNNNNNNNNNNNNNNNNNNNNNNNNNNNNNNNNNNNNNNNNNNNNNNNNNNNNNNNNNNNNNNNNNNNNNNNNNNNNNNNNNNNNNNNNNNNNNNNNNNNNNNNNNNNNNNNNNNNNNNNNNNNNNNNNNNNNNNNNNNNNNNNNNNNNNNNNNNNNNNNNNNNNNNNNNNNNNNNNNNNNNNNNNNNNNNNNNNNNNNNNNNNNNNNNNNNNNNNNNNNNNNNNNNNNNNNNNNNNNNNNNNNNNNNNNNNNNNNNNNNNNNNNNNNNNNNNNNNNNNNNNNNNNNNNNNNNNNNNNNNNNNNNNNNNNNNNNNNNNNNNNNNNNNNNNNNNNNNNNNNNNNNNNNNNNNNNNNNNNNNNNNNNNNNNNNNNNNNNNNNNNNNNNNNNNNNNNNNNNNNNNNNNNNNNNNNNNNNNNNNNNNNNNNNNNNNNNNNNNNNNNNNNNNNNNNNNNNNNNNNNNNNNNNNNNNNNNNNNNNNNNNNNNNNNNNNNNNNNNNNNNNNNNNNNNNNNNNNNNNNNNNNNNNNNNNNNNNNNNNNNNNNNNNNNNNNNNNNNNNNNNNNNNNNNNNNNNNNNNNNNNNNNNNNNNNNNNNNNNNNNNNNNNNNNNNNNNNNNNNNNNNNNNNNNNNNNNNNNNNNNNNNNNNNNNNNNNNNNNNNNNNNNNNNNNNNNNNNNNNNNNNNNNNNNNNNNNNNNNNNNNNNNNNNNNNNNNNNNNNNNNNNNNNNNNNNNNNNNNNNNNNNNNNNNNNNNNNNNNNNNNNNNNNNNNNNNNNNNNNNNNNNNNNNNNNNNNNNNNNNNNNNNNNNNNNNNNNNNNNNNNNNNNNNNNNNNNNNNNNNNNNNNNNNNNNNNNNNNNNNNNNNNNNNNNNNNNNNNNNNNNNNNNNNNNNNNNNNNNNNNNNNNNNNNNNNNNNNNNNNNNNNNNNNNNNNNNNNNNNNNNNNNNNNNNNNNNNNNNNNNNNNNNNNNNNNNNNNNNNNNNNNNNNNNNNNNNNNNNNNNNNNNNNNNNNNNNNNNNNNNNNNNNNNNNNNNNNNNNNNNNNNNNNNNNNNNNNNNNNNNNNNNNNNNNNNNNNNNNNNNNNNNNNNNNNNNNNNNNNNNNNNNNNNNNNNNNNNNNNNNNNNNNNNNNNNNNNNNNNNNNNNNNNNNNNNNNNNNNNNNNNNNNNNNNNNNNNNNNNNNNNNNNNNNNNNNNNNNNNNNNNNNNNNNNNNNNNNNNNNNNNNNNNNNNNNNNNNNNNNNNNNNNNNNNNNNNNNNNNNNNNNNNNNNNNNNNNNNNNNNNNNNNNNNNNNNNNNNNNNNNNNNNNNNNNNNNNNNNNNNNNNNNNNNNNNNNNNNNNNNNNNNNNNNNNNNNNNNNNNNNNNNNNNNNNNNNNNNNNNNNNNNNNNNNNNNNNNNNNNNNNNNNNNNNNNNNNNNNNNNNNNNNNNNNNNNNNNNNNNNNNNNNNNNNNNNNNNNNNNNNNNNNNNNNNNNNNNNNNNNNNNNNNNNNNNNNNNNNNNNNNNNNNNNNNNNNNNNNNNNNNNNNNNNNNNNNNNNNNNNNNNNNNNNNNNNNNNNNNNNNNNNNNNNNNNNNNNNNNNNNNNNNNNNNNNNNNNNNNNNNNNNNNNNNNNNNNNNNNNNNNNNNNNNNNNNNNNNNNNNNNNNNNNNNNNNNNNNNNNNNNNNNNNNNNUCCCUGGAGAAGUGGAUGCUUUAAAGGGUUCAAGUAACCCUUUAUCAUCUUGAACCUUAUGAUUUUCAAUGGAAGGUUGGUCCAUAAAGUUGUCAUAGCAAUCCCCCACCAAAGUGUCGAUCAUCAACACUUUCCUUGAUCUUUUUGCAUUGGUUCCUUGAAGGUUAUGGUGGGGUUGAGGAGGAAGCUUCCUUUUCCCCCUUGCUAUGUCGAGAUUGGUGAGCUUCUCAAUGGAGUCUUGAACUUUUUCUAUCCUUAGUGAUAGAUCAUUAUAAACCCCCUCCAUUCUUAUAUUUAUUGAACUCUCCAAAUUAUCAAUCUUUUCAUUAAGAUGAGAGUUGAUCUUUUGUUGCUCACCUACAAAGUCCUCCAUGACUUUGCUUAACUUCAAAAUGGCUUGCUCCAAUGAAGAUGUACUCAUUGAUGGUUGAGGUUGAGGUUGGGUUGUAAGGUUGGGAUGGUUUAUAUACUCAAAUGAAGUUGGCAUGGCUUGUGGUUGUGCUUCAGUAUGCACAUUCCUCAAUUCAAACUCCUCUAUCCUUCUAGCCAUAGAUGCUAGCUUUGCCUUCAUGCUUGUGUCUUCAUUCAAGGCAUACUUACUACCCCAUUGGCUUUGUUGAACUUGCCUUUUCCGUAACUCAAUCCGAUCCCUCAUGGAUAAGUAUGCAAAUUUGUCCUUCUUAUGAUCAUAAUGAGAGCUUUGAUAUUCAUGUGGAAUUUCCAUUUCUAAAAAAAAAUGAUAUUCAACUAAGCCCCUUUUCUUCAACUUGUACCAGGGUUCCCUCUUGGUCUCGAAUCCAACAAGGAAUGCACAAAUUGAAAUUAAAACAAAAAUAAAAGAAAAGAGAAUAAAAAAAAUUUAACUAAAUAAAAACUAAACUAAAAAAAAAUUAUAAGAAAACUCACCAAACUUGUGAUGAAGAUCACAAGUUACCCUUAAUGGUUGCUUCACUGUGCUUGUGGCACCUUCCCCGGCAACGGCGCCAUUUGAUGCGACUCUUGGUAGCUUAGCUUUAAAGGCGUAUCAACAAAAUUUAUACCUUAAAUACUAUUACUAAAGUAGCCAAGCUACUAUAGCAUAGUGGUUCUAGGAUCGUUCACUGGGAAGGGUUUUCGCAAACACAAGUGAUAUUCAAAUUAGGAAAAUAGGUGAUUUUCUUAUGGAUGUUAGCUUUAAAAGAAGAUGUAAAUGUUUUAGAAAGAUUUAAACUAAUCUAAGCUAACAUUAAAGACUAAAAUGAAAGGGUGUAAAAACAAGUUUCUCAAAGAUAGGAUAGCUAUGCUCUGGCUCUUAUGCAAAUUGGAAAUCUCAGGAUAGGCUCCUCGCGUUGGGGUUACAACUAUGGUGAUGCUUGCUUCCCGAACCGGUAUGGAUUUAGCAAAUCAAGUUUUAAUCCUUUAAAAUGGCAAAAGAGAUGGUAGUGAAUUUCAUCAAUGGUUAUUCACCUUAGACUUCCUUUGAAUGGCUCGUAAGAGAUAACUAAUGGUCUAAAGCCAAAAGCUUACCAAAUAUUGGCAACUCAAAGUCAUUCCAGGUGAUAAACUCACCUUUCAAUGGCCAUUGAAAUUGGUUCUAACAGAUUAAUGCAAAACUUGGAAUUGAAAACCUCACCUUCCAAUAGCUCGUAGGAGAUAACUAAUGGAUAGAAAUCCAAAAGCUUAUCAAGUAUUGGCCGUUGGAAGUUGUCCAAAGGAAAUAAAAACCAAACUUUGCAUUAAUGAACCGUUAAUGAAAAACGACUACCUUACCUUCCAGGUGCGAGAAAUUUUCAUGGGAUUGCAUCCAAGCCAUCACAUAACAUCCAUACUUUGAGAAACUAAAAGUUUUAGCCAAUCAUCCUCUAAGGAAAAGCCCUCAGAGGCUGUUUAGCUACUAAGAAAAUAGAAAUGGGGAAGAACAGGAGAAGAGAGAAAAACAAAGCUUUAUAUAUUUCUAAGUUAAUGUACAGAGGAUCGAUCACCCUAUAUCCCUUUCUCUUUUUUUUUGUUGGAGGUGUUGUGCACCUCUAUAUAUAGCAAAAUUACAAGAUAAAGCUUUAUGUCGGCUGAAUACAAGGUUACAAAAGGAAUUUACAUGAGAAAAUAUCAAGCUAAAAAUAUUUGGGAAGUCGGUGGUGCGUGCGUGGAGAAACAGAGGAUUCAAAGGAAUUUCGCAAUGUGAAUUUCACAUUGCGAAAUUUUCGCAAUGUGAAUUACUCAUGAUGCGAAGUGCCAUAUUUUCGCAUCAUGAGUUAAUUCACCUUGCGAAAUGGCAAAAUUUCGCACCAUGAAGAAAAUCUCCUUGCGAAAUUUUCGCAAUGUGAAAUUCACCUUGCGAAAUUGGUCAUUUGGCAUGAUGCAGUUGCCUUCUGAAGGCCAUAUCUUCCUCAUUUCAGCUCCAAAUCAUACACGGUUUGAAGCGUUGGAUUCUUGACUUCCUAAGCUUUCAAAUGGUAUAUAGCAUGUAGAAAAUGGACUUCGGGAAGUGCUCCAAAAGUGUGAAAGAAGACUGCAGCUGUUUUCUUCACUCUGUUUUCCUCUUCUCCAUUGCUUGUGCUCGUGNNNNNNNNNNNNNNNNNNNNNNNNNNNNNNNNNNNNNNNNNNNNNNNNNNNNNNNNNNNNNNNNNNNNNNNNNNNNNNNNNNNNNNNNNNNNNNNNNNNNUACUCAUGAUGCGAAGUGCCAUAAUUUCGCAUCAUGAGUAAUCACUUGCGAAAUGGCAAAAUUUCGCACCAUGAAGAAAAUCUCCUUGCGAAAUUUUCGCAAUGUGAAAUUCACCUUGCGAAAUUGGUCAUUUGGCAUGAUGCAGUUGCCUUCUGAAGGCCAUAUCUUCCUCAUUUCAGCUCCAAAUCAUACACGGUUUGAAGCGUUGGAUUCUUGACUUCCUAAGCUUUCAAAUGGUAUAUAGCAUGUAGAAAAUGGACUUCGGGAAGUGCUCCAAAAGUGUGAAAGAAGACUGCAGCUGUUUUCUUCACUCUGUUUUCCUCUUCUCCAUUGCUUGUGCUCGUGUUUCCACUUGAAAUUCAAGCCUGUAAUCAUCCAAAAUCCUUGCUUAACUCGCCCAAAUAGCUCCUCCAUCAAUUGGCAUGCUUGAAUUGGUUCAUAAGCUGAUAAAAACAUGUAAACUUGCCACAAAAAUGGUUAAAACCAAUUACUAAGGACCUUAAUGAAUUAAUUGGGUUAAAUGAAUAUGAUUACUACUCAAAGGUGCUUAAAACCAUUAUUAUUAGGUCUACAAAAUAGCACUUUUUGGUAGUAAUCAAUUGAUUAUCAUGAUUGAUGAUUCCGAUUGUAGCAAUUUUUCCUAUGCUUCAUUGCUAUAUUUGUUUGGGACAUUGACAUGCUAAUUAUAUUGAUUGAUUAUCAUGAUUGAUGAUUCUAAUUGUAGUGAUUUUUCUUGUGCUUCAUUGCUAUAUUUGUUUGGGACAUUGACAUGCUGAUUAUAUUGAUUGAUCAUUUUGCCUUGCUUAGCAUAGUGACUCUGAUUUUGUCAUGAUCGUCCCGUUUUUAAGGACUUAGAGGGGUGUUACGGUCUCUACCAUACUUUCCCAAUAAGUAACCUGACCCCUAAGCCCAUAUUUGGUUUUUCAUGACCCAUCUUUUCCAAACAAGGAGUCACAUUUAUAGUUUUUUUUUCUUAUUUUAUUUACCCUAUAAAAAUAAAACAAAAAUAAGUGGUGACUCCAAGUCAUUUUCUUAAUCAAUAAAUCAUUUUCAAAUAAAAAGCGAAUUCGCCAUCGAAUGGAAGCGCAUGAGUAGAAAUAUAGGGUUCACAAAAUAAAGACUCCACUAGGGAUCGUUUAGAAAGUCAAGCUUGAACUUGGGAUGAAGCAAAUGUGACAUUUGAUUGGUCGAUCAGUGGGUACCUAUCUCUUGAUUACACGGUAAGAGCUCUGGAUAUCAUUGGAUGCAUGUUUGGGUAUUGUAUUCAUUUGGGACAUUAACAGUUUGGAUUCAGUACUCCAUCUUUUAUCCUUCAAUUGAGAGUGCACAGAUAUCAGUAUGAGUUUGAGUUAUGGUCAGACAGUCAGUCUACACUUUGAUGUCUUGCUCAUUUCAGUUCAGAUUAGCAUUUCUUUUGUGUUUUCCUUGUGUCGUACCUUUAUUCUGCUUCUCAUGUUCCAAGAUCGACACUUUGUUCUCAGUCUGAAUUUACCUUCUUGGGUCAGAGUAGAUGAGAGAUUAGUUUGGUUUUCAGAGAGAUCAGAUAUAGAUCAGCAGGUUGUCAUGGUUGAUCAGUUUAUGGCUGUCAUGGCUUCUAUUUAGGAGGCCUUGGUCAGUCUCAGGUAGAAGAUAGGCAGUCAUCAAAGUAGACCACCCGUAGUUCAGGAUGAGAUGCCUUAUGACUCAUUGCCACCCCCACCACCACCAUCUGUUCUGAUAAUGCCUCAGGCCUCACCUUAUCUAUUACAUGGUCAUUCUGAGGUCGCCCCACCUGCAGUCAUUCAGACCACAGUCAUUGAUGAUGCUCACGCACGCAUGGACCGUAUUGAACAACAUAUGAGAUAGUUGAGAGUAUCUAAUGGUUCAACAGCUUAAGAUGAUCUUGAGGGUAUGUCGGUGGCCAGUUUACCGACCAAGUUUAGGAUGCCCGACAAUAAGAUACACAAGCAUUGGUUGUCCUCGCAGCCAUCUCCGACUCUACAGCACAUUGAUGAGGGCCCAUAGAUUGGAUGAGUCACAGAUGAUCACUUUAUUCCCACUAUCUUUGAGUGGAGCGGCCCAGCGCUGGUUUGCGUCUUUGGAGUCCUCAUGGCGCAAGACGUGGGAUGACCUGGCCCAGGAGUUUUUACUACAGUUUUCAUUUAAUAAUGUCGUAGAUGUAUCGAGGAGAGAGCUUGAGGCUCUGAGACAGAGGUCCAACAAGUCCGUUUCCUUAUUCAUCUCCCCUUGGCUCGGGAAAAUAGUUGAGAUCAUUGAUAGGCCAUCAUAGAGGGAUCAGAUACAGAUGGUUCUAAGGAGUCUGCAACCCAAGAUUGCCAAACAUGUAGUUGGGAUACCUUUAACAUAUUUCGAUUAUUUAGUUUUGGACCUAUAUGAUGUCGAGGAUGGCAUUUAUAGAGGAUUGUGGACAGAUUCUUCCCCCAUUGAUGUUAAGGAGAAGAAACCCUUUAGAGGACAGAGGUCAGUUGAUGUGAGCGUCAUUAGUUAUACCAGUCAGAGGCCUCCUAGGUGUCAUCAGCUAGUUCCAAUGCUUCCUGAGGCUCACUCUUCUUAUGCACCUCAGCAGUAUAGGCCACAGGUGCCUCAUCAAACUUAUGAUCAGACCUACACGCCACCUACAUUAUCAUUGCCUUACUAUGCCACCUAGGGCAUAGAGAGACCACCUAUUUCAUAUACGGCCAUAAGGCAACCAUGCUAUGCAGCGCAGUUUGCCGUGAGACCUACAUCAUCUUAUCCCAGGCCUAGAGCUCAGCAGACCUCUGCAUUUUUUGCUUUGAGAACAUAGAGACAAUUUUCACAGUUAGGUAUGCCGUUGAGCCAGGCUCUUCGAAAGCUUACAGAGGUUGGAUUGUUGACUGCUCUCACUCUCAGACCACCACUUUAGCCUAUUCCGCCUCAGUUAAGGAUGGAUCUAAACUAUGGAUAUCACUAGGGGCAUGUACACGAGACUGAUCAUUGUAAUGCUCUGAGACAUGCCAUCCAGGAUCUGAUUGACCAAGGUUUGGUUCACUUGGUUCAGUCGAGUGUAACCACAAACCCAUUACCAGCCCACACUACACACGCGAUUCACCCUCUGACUGAUGGCAUACAUUUCCUAGACUUUGCUAAGCUUGACGACCACAUUUACAUGCUGAGUUAGGAUGAUUCAGAUCCAGAACCCAUAGUAUCGGAUGGGAUUUAUGAGAUAGGCAAGGUGAAUUUAGGCCCUCAGAUGCCCACUCCAUUCAGACUAUUUUCCGAAGCGGCAUCAGUGCAAACGACCACUAUUGAUCCAUUGACUUUCCUUCAUUACAAUGUUACGAUGUCGUUCGUCUUGGUCUUGGAUAUUGAGGAGGUUCAGACUCCUUAUGUUGAUGUUUCUCAGGCUUUUGAUAUACAGUAUAUUCUUUGCGGGGGCAGGGUCUUGCAACAGCCACCUCCCACAACUGCUAGACCCUUGGAGGGUACAUCUGCUCCCAAGGAGGUUAGGAGAGAUGAUAAUGAGAUUCUGAGGCAAUUACAGAGCACACAAGCUCGCAUUUCUAUUUGGAGCUUGUUAGCAUCUUCCAACACUCACCGAGAUACACUGAUUCGAGUCCUGAGCCAGAUCAGAGUUGAGACUACCACCACUACGGAGGGGUUGAUCCAUAUGGUGAUGGCUGGCAGAGCCACAUGCAUAGUAUUCUCUAAUGAUGACUUGCCACUAGAGGGUUCAGACCACAUACGUCCACUUUAUAUAUCAAUUGGUUAUUCAAGCCCCCAAGUCCCAUCUAUCCUUUUGGACAAUGGCUCAGCCCUGAAUGUCUGUCAUUUGGCCACAUCCAUCGCCCUCAGCUACGCACCAUCUAACUUUGGUCCCUCCACUUAGACAAUUCGAGCAUACGAUAACACUUAGAGAAAGGUCAUGGGCACUCUGAAGAUUGAGCUGUUGAUAGGUCCCGCCAUAUUUGUCACUGUGUUCUAGGUUUUGAGGAUUCCUACAUCCUUUAACCUGCUUUUGGGCCGACUAUGGAUCCAUAGAGUUGGGGCCAUUCCUUCUUCCCUUCAUCAGAAGGUGAAGUUCAUUCACGAUGGCUAGGUCGUCACAGUGCAAUAUGUGGGAGAUAUGUUCAUUUCUUCUGAGCUAGUGCUUUAGAUUAGUCACAGUGAUGAUAACCUAUUCCUGAUUGGGUUCACGUUCGACGAGGUACAGACCCUGAAGAUAGAGGGUUUUUGUCGACACUUCAUGGCUAUGUCGUUUGACUAACACGGUAGCGCAGUGGUGCUUGACAUGAUGAGGAGUAUGUCUUAUUUACCCGACAUGGGGUUGGGGCAACGUCAGCAUAGGCCCAAUGAGUUCAUGGUUAUCCCAGAUCACGAUGUACCAUUCGGACUUGGAUUCAUCCCCAUUGAGACCGAUUAUAGAUAUAUGGUGUGAUUGCGCAAGGAGCGGGUGAGGGCCCGACUGACUUAUACACCGUUUGAUUAUCCUAUUCGUCCAUACACCAUGAGUUUGGCGGACUACUUUGUGAGGGCGUCAGAGCCACAGGCCCAUUUAAACAGUAUUAUUGGGGGACUCAACACUACUCAGGAGGCCGAGCUGCAACGUCUUAUCCAUCAGUUACAGUUGAGUGAUGGAGCCCCUGGCACUUCGACAUCUGCGUUGGCUGCCCUAUCAUCUCCAGAUCGUAUGAGCCUUAUGAUGCUCUAUUUCCCGGAUAAGAUUGAUAAGCAUGGGACUUUUGCCAAAAUUGGAGACAUUGUGGAUGAAGCUAUUCCACAUGACGAGUACAUUGACGAGAUGCUCGCUAUGAGUAUGAGCCAAAUUGAGGAGGUAGUCUAGCUUGAGCUCGCUUCACCAUUUGAUCUUUUCGGGGUGUCCGUCAUAAAGAUUGCUGAGGAGAUCCAGACUACCCCUACUCUAGAGUUUACAGGGGAUGUUAUAGUUGUUGAUGAUUUAUUUGAUGGCCUUAUUGGCCUAGUUGAGGGAGCGUCCAACUUUAUGGACCCACCUUUUUCAUUUGAUGUUUUAUCGGGAUUUGUCUCCCGUUCUGACAAUGUUCAUGACUCUUCAUUUAUGGAUUUAAGCAUUUUUUUAGUAUUUGCCUGUCUCUUGUGAUAUUACUUUAUAUGCACUCUUCACCCACAUCACAGAUAUUUGAUAUUGAUGAUGAGAUUGCACAGCAUGAUUUAGAUGAUGACUCAUCUUUUGCUUCUAAUUCAAACCCCAUUGAUCAGAAAGUUUCGUCUGCUAUAGGAGACACAUAGAUUGUUGAUUUCGGUGCAACAUAUCAGCCUAAGGAGUUGAGGAUCGGAUCGAAUUUAUCCACAGAUGAGAGAGAUAGCCUCAUCUAGCUGCUUAGAUCCUACUUGGAUGUUUUCGCAUGGUCUUAUGAGGACAUGUCAGGCCUUGAUCUAUCUAUCAUCCAACAUCGUUUGCCAUUUCUACCACAUGCCAGACCGAUUAAGUAGAAGUUGAGAUGAUUGCACCCUCGUUGGAGUUUGCAAGUGAAGGAGGAGAUCCAGAAGCAUCUUAGUGUAGGAUUUUUGUUAGUGAUUGAGUACCCAAAGUGGCUGGCUAAUGUCAUCCCUGUUCUAAAAAAGGACGGCAAGGUGAGAGUCUAUGUUGAUUUCCGAGAUCUCAACAAGGUCAGUCCUAAGGAUGAUUUUCCUCUCCCACACAUCGACAUGCUAGUCGAUAGUAUGAUAGGUCAUUCGAUGUUGUCCUUUAUGGACCAAUUUUCUAGGUAUAGUAAGAUUCUGAUGGCUCUAGAUGACAUGGAGAAAACGUCCUUCAUUACCGAAUGGGGUACCUAUUGUUACCGGGUCAUGCCAUUUGGAUUGAAGAAUGUAGGAGCUACCGAUCAGAGAGCAACGACCACCAUCUUCCAUGACAUGAUGCAUCAGGAUGUCGAGGUUUAUGUAGAUGACAUGAUAGUGAAAUCCCAAGAUAGAGCAGAUCAUUUAGCAGCUUUGGAGAGGUUCUUUAAGAGGAUCAGGCAGUUUAGAUUGAGACUGAAUCCUAAGAAGUUCACUUUCGAAGUGACUUAUGGGAAGCUCCUAGGAUACAUGGUUUGUAAGAGAGGCAUAGAGGCAGAUUCAGAUAAGAUCAGAGCCAUCCUUGACAUGUCUGCACCGAGGACUGAGAGAGAGAUCAGAGGCUUCUUGGGUAGACUUCAAUACAUUAGCAAAUUCAUUGCCAUAUUCACAGACAUCUAUGAGCCCAUUUUUCGACUCUUGAGGAAAAGUCAACCUACUAUUUGGGAUGAUCAGUGUCAGCGCACAUUUGAGAGGAUCAGAGAGUACUUAUUGUCACCUCCAGUUUUGGUGCCUCCUAUACUAGGUUAUCCUUUACUCCUAUACCUAUCAGUCUCAACCGUAGCUUUGGAUUGCAUGUUGGCUCAGCUUGAUGAUUCGAGCAAGAAGCCAUUUAUUAUCUGAGUAAGAUGAUGCUAGAUUAUGAGACGAGAUAUGUCAUGAUAGAGCACUACUACUUAGCAUUGGUUUGGGCCACUUGCCGAUUGAGACAUUACAUGACCAAGUAUUCAGUGUACUUGAUAUCCCAUCUAGAUCCUCUGAGAUAUUUGUUUGAUAGGCCCACUUUGAUCGGUCGCCUCAUGAGAUUGUUGGUACUUCUGAUUGAGUUUGACAUCCAUUAUGUCACUCAAAAGUCUAUCAAAUAGAGCAUUGUUGCAGAUCACCUAGCCUCAUUACCAGUUUCUAAUGGUAGAGCUAUUGAUGAUGAUUUCCCAAAUGAGGAUGUUGCUGCUGUGACUAGUUUGUCAGGUUAGUGCAUGUACUUCGAUGGUGUAGCUAACCUUUCCGGAUACGGGAUGGGUGUCUUGUUGAUAUCCCCUCAUGGUGAUCACAUCCCUAAAUAUGUUCGUUUGGCAUUCUCAAAUCGACAUCCUACCACGAAUAAUAUUGUUGAGUAUGAGGCUUGUAUCUUGGGAUUAGAGAUGACUCUUGAGUUAAGGAUUAGACAGAUGGAGGUGUUUGGUGACUCCAAUCUGGUAUUAAGACAGAUUCAAGGCGAGUGGAAGACUAGAUAUGUGAAGCAUAGGCCUUACCACGCAUACUUGGAGCUACUGGUUGGGAGAUUUGAUGAUUUGAGAUACACACAUUUGCCUAAAGCAUAGAACCGGUUUGCUGAUAUCUUAGCUACUCUAGCUUCCAUGAUCGAUAUUCCUACUGAUGCCAUUAUUCGAUUUUUACUAAUUGAGUCAUGAUCCGUUCCUGCCUAUUGUUUCUUGAUUGACGAGAUAUAGUUAGAAGAUGGUUUGCCUUGGUACCAUGACAUAUACCAUUUUUUGAGACUUGGUGCAUAUCCUGAGGCCGCCACGACCAAGGAUAAAAAGGCGUUGAGACAGUUGGCCAUCGAAUUCGUGAUUUGUGGGGAGACAUUAUACAGACAAUCAGCUGAUAGGAUGUUAUUAUUAUUGUUAGACCGCGCCUCUACCGAUUGAGUAAUGAGAGAGGUUCAUGCGGGAGUCUGCGGACCACAUAUGGGAAGGGAUAUGUUGGCCUGUAAGAUCAUGAGGACUGAUUAUUUCUGGUUGACCAUGGAGAUGAAUUGUUGCCAGUUUGUUCAGAGAUGUCCAGAGUGUCAGAUACACGGAAACCUCAUUCACAUACCCCCUUCAGAGUUACAUGCAUUGACUUCACCAUGACCAUUUUUAGUAUGGGGUAUCGACAUCAUUGGAAAGAUUUCGCCAAAAUCUUCCAAUGGUCAUGAGUUCAUCUUGGUUGCCAUCAAUUAUUUCACCAAGUGGGUGGAGGUCGCUUCAUAUGCAAGAUUGAUAUCAGUUAGGGUUGCUAGUUUCAUAAGAUCACACAUUAUUUGUCGCUAUGGAGUCCCUCAUGAGUUUAUUUCGGAUAGAGGGAUACAUUUCAAGGCAGAGGUUAACACCUUAGUGUAAAGGUAUGGUAUCUAGCAUCAUAGGUCGUCUGCGUACAGGCCACAAACAAACAGGGCAAUAGAGGCCGCGAAUAAGAAUAUUAAAAGGAUUUUAUAGAAGGUGGUUGAGACUUCUCGGGAUUGGUCAGAGAAGCUUCCAUUUGCAUUGUGGGCUUAUCGGACUUCUUUUCCCACCUCUAUAGAAGCCACACCCUACUCCUUGGUGUAUGGUGUGGAGGCAGUGCUACCAGUUGAGAUUAAGAUGGGUUCAUUGAGAGUAGCAUUAAAGCAACAUAUUCCAGAGGCAGAUUGGGCUCAGGCCUGAUUAGAUCAGCUCAAUCUCCUAAAUGAAAAAAAAUUGAGGACAGCAAACCAUGUUCAUGCAUAUCAGAGGAAGAUGGUCCGGAUUUUCAAAAAGUGAGUCAAGCCUAGACCAUUACAAAUAAGUGACUUAGUCUUGAGAGUCAUCAGAGGCUUGAUUAUAGAUCCUAGAAGGAAAUUCAGACGCAAUUGGAGCGGACCUUAUUUCAUCAGGGAGUUGACCCUAGAGAGUGUUGCAUGGUUGAUGGAUUUAGAUGAAAACCAAUUCUCAAAGCCGACCAAUGUGGAUCAGCUAAAGAGGUAUUAUGUUUGAGACCAUGGUCGCAGAAUGGGUGGCCAUCAUUUCGGUUAGCCAUAUCCCUUUAUUGUUUUUUGAUAUAUAAACUAUUGCUAGCCCAUUGAGCCUUGCAUGCGCAUUAUAACAUUUUUUUCUUAUUACCUUACUUACACUUUCACAUCGAGAUAGGGGCAUUUUUAGUGUAUGCAUGCAUUGUUUGGGAGUCUCAUGAGCCUUGGACCUAGGGGCACAUUCUUCUCAUUAUCUUUUCCUAUCACAACAUUACUGCAUUUCAUCACACUUCAUUAGUUGUGUUGUUAAUCUCAUUUUCUUUAUUUUAUCUGCUACUUGUUUUGCAUCAUCUUCGUCCACCCUGAGUGGUGAUCCUCCUCAAUUCAUUACAUGGAGGGUAGUCAUGUCAUUUCCACUAUCUAUCCUAUGGACAUUGAUCCAGGGAUCCUUAGUUCAAGAAGGUCACCUUGUCAGAGAGAGUAUGUUUAUCCAUUUUUGACCUCAUCUUGGGAGCUUAUUUGUUUGCGUUCAGAGCAUGCACGUUUGUAUAUAUGUAAAAAAAAAAUGAAAUGAAAAAGAAAGAUUAAAAAAAAAAAAACGCAGGUGUGUAGUAUUUUCUAUCAUUAAAUGUAUAUGUUGAUGUUCGAGGGUCACUUUAUUGAGUAUGUUUGUUGAUGGGAGUUCGUAUAUGAGCUUUCCAAGACCCUUCAUUCUUUGUAUUCAUUUUUUCGUAUGUUUCGAGAGUGAGAUGAGUGACCUUCUUUUAUGAGCUCUAGGUCAUUGUUCCUUCCAUCAUUGCAUUCGUUAUUGAUGUGACUUCCCUUCAUAUUUGAUUUGAGCGGAUCAUCACUCAUUCUUGUGUUCUGCGUUUCAUCAUCAUCCUCACUUUCGCUUUUGAUUCAUCAUUUUCAUUUCACCUCUUAGUCUUUUCUUACAACAACCCAUUUUCGAGUUUGAUACUCUCUUUGCAUCAUCAUUACACAUCUCAUUAUCAGUUUGAUUUGCUUCAUUUGUCUCCUCAUUGACAUUAUAUUCACAUUAGGCUCCCUCCGAUCUAUGGAUCACGGGAUUUUCUAUACAUGUUGCAUUUCAUACAUGAGGGCAUAGGUUUAUGUUCAUUGGGUAUUUGGGCCUAGUUUCCCUUCAUUUCUAUCACCCUAUCACCCUAGCCUACGUUACGUCUUGUGUCUUGAGACCACCCUGAGGCCAUGAGACCAAAUGUCAUCUUCUACAACUUCUACUUGGACAGGUGUUUGAGAUCUGGUUGAUAUUUAGAUAUUGUCAUGCUUCUUCUUCUGGGAGACACCACUCUAAUGUUUAGAUUCGUUUCAUCUGUGGAUUUGGAUUACUAGGAUCACACGUUUGAUGAGGGAUGAUUUGAUGUCACCUAACUUUUCUGGUCUAUCACUUAUUCGACACCAUACUAGGGCAUAUUUGAUUUCGGUUGAGAGUUAUAGAUCUUCAUAGAGCUACUUGAUCACCCCCACUUAUAGGAUGCGCACUGAGACGACGACAUGUUCGUUUUCUUAUCAUGAUCCCUUAGUGGAGCCUAUUUGGAGUCAUUAAGCCAAACCCACAUUUUUCGGCAUUUGGUUGCCAUCAUGCUUCUUAUUCCGGGAGACGUUUCCUAAAUGUUUGGGUUUGACUUGGAUUAUGGAGAUCACAUGUUUGAUGAGGGAUGAUUUGAUGUCACCUGACUUUUCUAAUCUAUCACAUAUUCGAUGCCAUACUAGGGCAUAUUUUCGUUUCGAUUAAGAUUUAUGGAUCUUCAUGGAGUCACACAAUCAUCUCCACUUACGAGAUACGCGCUAAGACGAUAACAUAUUCGUUAUUUUAUCAUGAUCCUCCAGUGGAGCCUUUCUUAAGCCAUUUAGUUAUGCCCACACUUUUCAGCAUUUAGAUACCAUCAUGCUUUCUUCUGGGAAACGCCUCUUUGACCUGUGGGUUUGAUUCUGUUAUGGACAUGGAUGGCUAGGAUCACACAUUUGAUGAUGAAUGAUUAGAUGUCAUUCGAUUUUCCGACCUGCCACAUAUUUGAUUCCAUACUAUGGCAUAUUUUCGUUUCGUCGAGAUUUGUAGAUCCUCAUUGAUUUGCAUGAUCAUCCUCAAUUAUGAGAUACGUGUCAAGUUGAUGAUUCGAUUUUGUUUUGUCCUGAUACUCUAAGGGAGCAUUUCUUGAGUCAUUCAGUCAGGCUCAUACUUUCUAAUAUUAUUGUGAUUCUUGGAUGGAGUUAUCUCAAUCAUAUAGGUUCCCACAUCAUUAUUUCAAUGGAGUGCAUGUUAGAUCUUUUAUAUAUCUCCAUUGAGUUAUUCACGAGUGAUUCGUGCCCAGUCGGUGUCUCUUGAUUUUGGUCCUCAGGGAGUAAUCAACAAAAUUUAUAACCUAUUACACCAUGAACUAGGGUAGCAAAGACAAAGCUACUAUAGCAUAGUGGCUCUAGGAUCGUUCACUGGGAUGGGUUUUCACUUCACAAUUGAUAUUAAUUCAAAGAUGAAUUGGUGCCUUUUCAUUUCAAUGUUAGCUUUAAAAGAAAACCUAAUCUUUAGUGGAAAAGGUUGGUUUAAGCUAACCAAAAAUAGUAACUAAUUUUACUUACAAAGAAAAGUGUUUCUUGGAGUUUAAAUCACUGGGUUCAGAUUCCUUAUACAAAAAGGGAGUUCCGGUCACUUGUUUCUUUUCAUCGCAUUGGGGAUUUAACAUAUAGUUAUUUCCUGAACCGGUUUUGUACAGAUGCUUCCCAUUAAUGGGUUCAAACACUAAAUCCCUCUCACUGAUGCAUCUUGCAAUGGCUUGUGCCUCUCACCUAGCAUUUGCCAUUCAAGGUGAUCUUUAACCUUGGAUUACCCGUCAAAAGCUCGCAAGAGAUAACUAAUGGAUGUCUCCGUGGAGUCCAAAAGCUUACCAAGUGUUGGCUGUUCACUCCAAGAAAAAGGCCUUUCGUUGACAGUUUUUCACCAUCAAGGUAAGGUAUAUCUGUCAAGGUAUAUUAUAAUUUAUAUAUGUCAUCUAUGCCAGUGUCAAGAAAAGUUUAAAUCUACCUUAACAUUUACAUAUGUCAAGGUUGUUUCUAUUUUUACCAAUGAUGGAAUAUUUGUUAGUAUGACAUAUGUUAAUGUUUCUUUCACUUUUGUCAAGGUUGGAUUCAACAUAUGUCAAGAUUUCUUGAUCUUACGUCAAUUUUAACUUGCUCUUCUAUUAAGGUUGCUGCAACAAAUGUUAAGGAUAAGUAUAAUAUGUCAAGGUUUCUAACUAUUGCAAUGUCAAUGUUGGGCAUUGGCCAUCUGUGUUGCCUAUGACAAAUUUAAAAUUAUUUUACUAUGAUUUUUAGUUUUAAUGGAAAAUGAACCUGUUACCAUAUGAAACUUGUUUCCAAAUUAAAUUUGAUACAUAUUUAAUUAUGAUAAUAAUAAAUAAGUCCUAAAACAAUGUAAAUAAACUAUUACUCAAGGAAAAAAAUUAUUAUAUAUACAUUUGAAUAUUAAAAACACAAUGGAAUAAAUCUUUUUCUACUUAAUCUUUCUUUUCUAUAUACAAAAAAAAAAAAAAAAAACUAAUUGCAAACAUUCAAUUAAGAUAAUAUAUAAACUUAAAUUGAAAACUACAAUACUAUCUUCACAAGAGAUGGUCACUAAUUCUUCAUCAUCUUCUUCUUUUUGCUAUAUUUCUUGAAUACCUAGUAGGAUAGACACAACAUUAAUAGAAAAGUAAGCAACAAGUAUCAAAAUAACAAUUUUCAAAUCAUAAGGUACUUUCAAUUGCAAGAAUACAUCAAACAUAUAUGCAAUUUGUAGAUACCAUAUCUCUAGCAUUAAUCUUCAAGCAUUGCCCUCUGGAAAGACCCCAAAAUUGUCAGCACCUCUAUCUCAAACCUAUGAUAGAAAAAACAAAUGAUGUUAACAAAAAAAAAAGCUCAAAUUGAGAAAUUAGAUAUCUAACUACAAUGAAAUAUUUUUAAGAUUGAAUUCUAAGUUUAAUUAUUGUGUUUUUAUAUAAUGGACCUAAAUAACUAUAAAAUUAUACUUCUUUUUAAUUUCUAAAAGGAAUGCAAAAAGGAAAAGAGAAAACAAAAGUUUCAAAUAUAUCUUUCAUGUUAUUUUGGCUUCUAAAUAGAUAAAAACUCACAUUAUCUAAGAAAUCGUUAAAAUUAAAAUUGAGCAUAAAUUUUAAUAAUCUCAAUCAUAAAUAAUGAAAUAUCUAAAUUCAAAUUCAUAGAAACCACACUAACUAUUAAUUUCAAGCACCAAAUGCAUCUAAACUUAACAAAAUAAAAAAUCAAGGAUAUUUUCCUUCAAUUCUAAUAAGAUAAUAGAUCUUAUGUGUGCAAAUUUUGUCUUUAUUUCAAGAACUAAUAAAUGCACAAGCUGUCUAGUUGAGAGAUUAAAUCUAUAAAUUUUUAAAAGAAAUAAAUUAAUUAAAUAAACAAAAAAGGUCUAAGAAAUGGAAAAUCUCCAAAAUUAAAGAGAAAAUCAAGCACAUUUCAUAAAUGGGAAAAAGUUAUGCAAUAUGCUGCUAUUCUUUUUCAACUAAUGUGAAAUUGAAAACAUAUUUGACACAAAGUUGUGUGAGAAUACAUCUAUAAGGUUCAUAGAAAUAAUGUGUAGAUUACCAUUUAAAGCUAUGUAAACUAAGAAUGACAAAUAGCAAAUUAUAUUAUUUAUAUCUAUCAUGCCUUCUUAAAAUACAAUGUCAAAUAUUCCAUAGAUAGACAACUAUGCAUGAGUAUGAAAAUGUUGUCUAGAUGUUCCUCUCAUAGGCAGCUAAUGCAUGAGUUCAUCAAAUUCAAAACUUAACAACAAUUAAAGCUGACAAACCACCCAAUUAUCAAUUAUUAAAGAACUCUUAAUCCGAGCAAAAACUAAAACUAAUAAAGCAACUAAUAACAAAUAUAAAAGUUGCAUUGGCACCCAAUAUAAUGUUCAUCCUAAUGUAAUUGUGCUCAUUAAAACAAAAAAUUUCAUGGCAUAAAUUAAAUGAAGAGACCCCAUAUAAGCAACAAGAAAAUACUUCAUACCAUUACAGUGGUAAUUAAGGACUACAUAAAUAAUUUUAGUUGGCUUGUGACUAUGAAUUGAAGAAUUAAAAUUUUGUGAGGGUUGAUUUAUUGCUUAUCAACCAAAUAGCAUAUCAACAUUUAACAAAAGAAAGAGUUUCAAACAAUCAUGAUUUAGAACAUUAAAAUUCAGCCCUAAAAAAAAUAAAAAAAAAAACAAAGAGAAAGAACCAAACUAAAGGAGCCCAAGUAAAAAUUCAAGUGCAUAAAUAAGUAAAUUAAAUAGUUAACCAUAUUAAGGAGAAAACCAUGUCACAUUAUGCAAAUUGUUUUUGUGUGCCCAAAUAUACAGUUCUGUUUCUUUAUAUUGCAUUAAAAGUCCAAUGAUAUCGAUAUACAACUGCAAAGGAAAUAGUAGAGAUAAAAUUUGAAGGAAAUUUACUCAUAAUUAUUUUGAUUAACACAUCCAAAUAUUAUGGAUCAACAAAGAAAUCAAUUUAAAGAAAACAAAACAUCAGCCUUUACGAGCAUAAAAUGAAAUAGGAAUAUAUCCAAAACCCUUGGACCUUUAACCCAUUGAGCUACAUAGGAGGAACCUUAUCUGACCCUACAUUUCACAUUUGACAGCCAUCAGUUUUUUAAACAAUUAUAAUUUUUUUUAUUUAUUUUACAUCCAUUAUUUAAUUCAAUACAAAUAAAAGAGCAAGAAAAAUAGGUUGAACAGAAAGAGAAGAGGGAAAGAUUUUGGGUGAGAGGCCUUGGAGAAGAUGAAACAAGAGUGCCGAUUUUUUUUUCUUGGCAUCCAAACACAUCUUGCAGAGGCAAAAAGUUGGAAAAACUGACCUGGGGUUGUCUUAUUUUCUAGGGAAAAUGGGUUUUUUUUUUCCAGAAAAUUUGCUUAUUUUUCUACAUUUUUGCUACUAUGUAAUGGACUCUUUUCCUUGUAGUUCUUUUUCUAAUCUUUGGAGCUUCAUUCACUUAUUUUUGUUUGAGAUUUCGCUGAUGGGUCAUUGUUUAUUUGUUGAAAUGCAGAGUAAUUAUAGAUAUUUUUGAAGGAUUUUCUUUGAUCUUGAGGUGAUUGGAAGAACGUUUUCUUGGAGUUUGUAGUAUUUUUUUUUACCUUUAGAUUUUCUAGCAUUUUCUUGAGAAAAUCGAGAUGGGUGUUGUUAAUGUGGUGUCAUUUUUGUUGCAGAGAUACAGAAAUGGAUAAGGAAGGGAAUAAUCAGAAAUGGUGUAGAGGUUUGGAACCCGACUUUCUAUUGAGGUGGGGAAACAGGAAAAGACUUAGAUGCGUGAAAGUCAAAGAUGGAAGAAAUAAAUCAGACUGUUUAGGUAGCAAGAAAAUCACCUCUCGUGUUGAUCGCUGUGUUAUCACUGCCGAGAAAGAGACUCCCUAUCCACAAACCCAUUGUCUGAAUAGAUAAUGAUGACCAUAGGUGGUGCAUGAAGAGAAGGUGUGGUGGAGCUAAUAUGGGCGGCGACAAGUGGCUGUCAACGGUGGGCGAUGAGAAUGGUGGCAGAAGGGGUCGCCGUAGUAGGAUCGUGGAUAUGGUGUGCAGCCGACUGUGGUUGGCGUAACCGAUUGUGGUUGGUCCAGCCGGCGAUGACGACGAGGGAAGGCAUGGUGAAGAUGGGAAGGUGAAAGAGUGAGAAAGGAAAAAAAAUGGAGAGAGGGAGAUGGGUAAGUGGCAUGGGUAUGGAGAGAGAACGGGAAAGAAAUAGGAAGGAGGAAAGAAGAAAAAUAGAGAAGGAAUGGAGAGUGGCGGUGGCAGAGAAGUGGGAAAGAAAAAUGUGAUCUCUUAGGGUUCUUUGAAAUGAAUGGUAGAGAUGAGAUUAAAAAAUAAACGGUUCAGAUUUCACCAACAUUAAUCUUAUCACACCAAAAUUUAAGUUCUUAUUCUAUUAGUUAACUUUAUGAGAAUCAAUUUAUGGAAUAUAUUUAUAACUUUUAUAAUGUCAAUUUACCAUAAUUAAUUUUCUUCUUUCCUAAUGUCUAAAUUUGUAUGAGUUAACUUAAAAAAUAAAAUUUUGAAACCUAAUAUUAUGCCCGACAAUUUAUAAAUCAAAAUUUCAAAUAUCUUAAUUAUUUUUAAAUCAAAUACAAGUUAAUUACUAAUUUAAAAAUAAUGAAAAAUAGUUUAUGAAAAAAACCAUAAUGUAGAAAAUUUUAUUUCACUAAAAUUAGUGAAUAAAAAAUGAUUUAUAAAAAUUUAUUUCAUUGCUAUUGAUAUAGACUAAAAAAAAAAUUAAUCAAUUUGAUAAAAAAAAAUGAAACUUAUAUUAACAUUACUUAAAAAAAAAAAAUUAAAUAAACAUUGACUUCCUUAAUCAAAAUUGAUUGUUGUCACUUCAAUUUAUAAUACUUAGUAAGUAAAUUAGAUAUACACAUAUCAAACAAAUUAUUAUCAUUAUUACUUUUAUUUAAGUACCUUGACAUAUGAACAUACUAACUAUACAUUGACUCAUAAAUUAUCUAUCAAGAUUCUAUCAUAUAAGUCAUGAAAGAAUUCAACAAAUUUUAUAUAUGUCAUUAUUGGUUUAAACAAGUUUUAUAUGUCAUAGUUGUUCAUUUAAAUAGGUAAUAUUGACACAUAUCACCUUAAGUCAAGAUAAUAUAUGUCAACAAUGACCUUUUUUCUAGUAGUGAUUCUAGAAAAUCCUACCUUCAAACCACCUCCUAAAGGCUCGUAAGAGAUAAACUAAUGCAUCUCUAUGGAUGGAGAUCACUUGCCUUACCAAGUGUUGGCCCAGGUGAUUUAAAGGCGUUUUAAGUUAACUAAAAAGAUAAAAACCAUUAACGUUCACACUUUCUCUUCAUUAAAAACUAAAACAACAAAAUUUCCAAUUUAUGCAUGUGGAAACUUACCCAGCUUUCUUCACUCCAAGAGACGAAGAGCCUAUCUUCUCAUCCUCUGAGGAAAAAUCCUUAGAGUUUGAUUGGUUAGAAAGAAAACUAACGAGAAAACAAAAAUAUAUAUGAAAAGCAGAGCAAGUGCUUUGUAUUUUACUUCCUUCCCAAAACUGUACAAAGGAUGCGUCUCUGGGAACAAGCUCCCGAGAGAUCUACCUCAUUUUCUAAAGAAAAUUACAAACUAUAUAUAAGAGGUUAUUCACCCCUUUUUCCAAACUUAAUAACUAAGGAAUCCUAUAAUUGGUAGGUUACAAGGAGAUUUUGGGGAUUUAGACAACAAAUAUCUAAAGCAAAAUAUCUCAAAAUAUCCCAAAAUGUCGGUUGCAAAUAUCUGGAAGCUUCAGGAGAACACCGCGGCACUGUGCAGAAAAAUAUCUCAAAAUGUCGGUCGGACAUAUCGGGAAGCUUCAGGAAAACAUCGCGGCACUGUGCAAAAUGGCUGCGAAACUCUCUGGGUAAGCGCUAUCAGAGGGUCCGGAUAUGUCUGACUGGGGAAGUUGAAACGCCUCAUCUCCCAUCCCACGUCAGGCACCGGAUGCGAAAUAUCCGGAGAAGGUGUGUGCCGGAUGUGAGACAUUCGGGUGGAAUGGCGGCGGAGCAGCUCCAUCCGGAUUCUCUAAGAGGAUAUGUGGCGCGCUCCCUCUAUCCGGACUCCCUCAUGGAGAAACACACGGCACUCGCGAUCAUCACACCCGGACGAUAGCAUAUCCUAUUCGGAUAUAUUGUCCGGAUGAAAAAGACAGCCGGCCACAUCUCACGCGGCACUCCGAUGGUGUGUCCGGACGCCCUGUGCCUUGCCAUGGAUUCCAAAGAACUCUCCUCAAUCUUGGAUUGCUUUGGUGAUCAAAAAGCUAUCAAAACACCAAAACUUAACACAAUUUGAUUAGAAUUGAUUGCAAGGGUCCUUAAUAUGUUAAUUGGGUUAAAAGGUGGUAACUACUACUCAAAAGUGUUUAAAAGAGUUAAUUACAAGCUAUGAAAUAACACUUUUUGAGUAGUAAUCAACGAGUUAUCAGGACAGAUCGGAUCCCUAGUUGUUAUACUGGGGCAUAUUUCCCUCAUUUAGCUGUAGAGAUGAUUGUUUUCUCACAGACCUGUUACAGUCCUCAUUACUCAACCGAGAUAUAUUUAUCUGCACUACUAGUCAUUGUUUCGAUGAUUCUUGUCGAGAGAGCCCUCAGCGAAGCACAACAUUUGAGUUUCGAUUGUCCCACUAUCCAUGACUCUUCAGUAGAUUGUUGUGUCGAGAUAGUGGUGGUUACCCUAAAGGACUAUUCUCUUGAGACUCCUUAGAGGAUCACCCAUUUGAGAUGACGAUGGAUUACCCCAGCAGAGUAUUUCGAGUUAAAGGAGUUCGACUUAUUGCGACACUUCAUCAAACAUUGUGAUAUAAUUGGAUGGGUUGGGAUACUACAUUUGUAGUCGAUUUGAUCAUUUCGAUUUGCUAGCGAACAUAUUUUGAGACUCAUGGAGUCUCUUUCAAACCCUUCCAGUGGAUUGAGAGUUGUGGCGGCAUGCUACAUUGGGGCAUAUUUCCUCCUCAUCAUAUUCUCAUAUUUUCAGUUUGGCGUUUAGAGCCACCAUGUCUUCUCAAUUGCGACGUUCAGAGUCGUCUCUCUCGACUUGACAUUCAUAGAUAUUGUUUCAGUUUGGUAUUCAGAGCCACUAUGUCUUUUCGAUUACGACGUUCAAAGUCAUCUUUCUCAGCUUGAUAUUCAUAGUUAUCAGUUUAGUUUGGCAUUCAGAGUCGUUGUUUUCGCUUGGCAUUCAUAACUAUUACUUUUAGUUUGGCAUUCAGAGCUACCGUCUCUUCACAGUUUGGCAUUCAGGAUCAUCAUAUCAUCUUUAGUUUGGCGUUCAAAACCACCAUCUCUUUUUAGUUUGGCAUUCAGAGCAGUAUUUUUCAUUUUGGCAUUUGAUGACACCAUCUUUCUUUAGUUUUGGCAUUCAAAGUCGUUGUUUUAGUUUGUCGUUCGGAGCCGUGGUUUUAGUUCAAUAUUCAUAGCCAUCAUACAUUUAUUUCUGUUUACCGUUUAGAGCCACAUUUUCAUUUCGGCAUUCAGAGCUACUUUUUCAGUUUGGCAUUUAGAGCCGUUGUUUCAUUUUGGCGUUCAGAGCCAUUAUUUUUUUUUAGUGCAGCAUUCAUAACCAUCAUACCUUUUUUUCGGUUGGCGUUCAGAGCCGCAUCUUCAUUUUGGCGUUCAGAGCCACAUCUUCAUCUUGGCGUUUAGAACCAUAUCUUCAGCUUGGCGUUCAGAGUCGUUGUUUGCCUUUAGUUCGACAUCUAGAUCCAUUUUUUCGUUUAGCAUUCAGACCCGUUGUUCAUUUUAGAUUAGCGUUCAGAGCCAUUAUUCAUUAUUGACAUUCAGAGCCACCACAUUGUUCCGUUUAAUGUUCAGAGUCGCGUCUUCAUUUUAACAUUCAGAGCCAUUGUUCAGUUUGGCGUUCAAAGCCACAUUUUUUUUCAUUUGACGUUGAGAGCCACAUCUUCAUUUCAGUAUUUAGAGCCAUUGUUUGUCUUCAGUUCAGCAUUCAGAGCCAUUAUUCAUUAUUGACAUUCAGAGCCACCACAUUGUUCCGUUUGGCGCUUAGAGUCGCGUCUUCAUUUUGGCAUUCAGUGUCACCAUUUUUUGUUUAGUUUUGGCGUUCAUAAUCAUUUUCAUACCCAUUCAAGCAUUCAAUGCCACCAUUUUUCUUUAGUUUCAACAUUCAGAGUCGUUCUGCAUACUCAUUCAGGCAUUCGAUACCACCAUCUUUCUUUAGUUUUGGCAUUCAGAGCCGUUGUGCAUACUCAUACAGGCACUUAGAGUCACCAUCUUUCUUUCUUUUGACGUUCAGAGUCAUUUCUCCUCAACUUUGUCAUUUAGAGUCAUAGUUCUUGAAAUUCAUAUCCACUAGCAGUGCACAUCUGACCUUCAGGGUUUUGCAUUCACCAUCAUUUUCCUCACCUUGUUACCUUGUGCUUAUCACCUAUUCACCAUGUUAUUCUAGAUUUCCCUUUCCACUGCACAUGACAUAGUCCUUUGAGUUCAUAACACAUAUUUCGGUCAUGUUGUUAGGCACCCUACACUUAGCAUUCUCAUAUGGUUCACAUAGGGCAGUCUCCUUGGGGCACACUCUUUCUUGUACUCCAAGGUGGUUCGACCGUUACUCAUCUUCGAUAUGGUUUUUCAAGUCACCUUUGGAGACAUCUUAGAAAGAGUCUAGAUCCUUAGUGUGGCUUCAGAGGCACUUUGAAAGAUCCAUUUUUUCUCUUAGGAUUAGAGUCUUUUUGUUCACCUGUUGGCCUGAGUGAGUUCGUGUUUCACUAGUGUCCCUUUGGGGGUCUCCUUUGUUCUUCAGUAGAGUUCACUUCAUUCCACUUACUAUUCACAAUUUCUUUUCACUUCAGUGUUCAUAUUCUUUACACUCGUGAGCUCUACCGAAGAGGGGCAUAUUUGUAGACCCCCAUUUGGGGCUCAUUUUCAUGCAACCCAUUUUUUGCCAGGUGCUAGGAUUGGAGGCGACCACAUGUCGCCUUGUGGUUAGCCAUCAGGGAAUCACAAUGGUGGAUUGAAGAAGCAAUAGGGUAGUGACAUGUGUCAAGGAAUAUCUGGUAGAGGAGCGUAUUCCAUUAGAAGGAGAAGGCUUAUUUGGUUGUUGAAGGUGAGAUAUUUUAGGCAGGACAUAGAGGGAUGGAUGUCAAGGUUUUUCUUAAGGAACAAGCGAGGGAAAAAAAGGACAGGGGGAGUUUUUGUUGGAGCUUAGGGAUAAAGUUUUCUCUAGUUAUGGCUUGACAAAGAAACCUACUGAGAUAGCUAAAACUGAGAAGCAGAGUUUUCUGGGCUGGUUCUUAGAAAGGAAAAGGAGCUCAAGGACAAUUAAAUCUGGUUCGAAGCGACACUCCAGGUAUGUUCAUUGUGAGUCAUGUAUUUUAUCAUUUUGGAUGCUAUUCUGUUGAAUGUUUUUGGGUCGUUUAUGCACUUUUGCCACUGAUUCACCCUUUGUUUCAUUAAUUUAGUUUGAAAAACCGGUGAGGAUUUGUAUCAUGUCCACUGUGGAAAAUCUCUAAUUGUUGGCUGCACUUUUCCUUUGAAUCGGUUUGUUUCUUUCUUUGUUUCCACUAGUGGGAGCCCAUUAAUCGAUCUUGAGAGGUGGUUUCAUUUGAUUUUUAUUUUGCAUGUUCGUUUUUUUUAGCUUUCACUGUUUUUCUUUCUCCAUUACUCAUUUUUUUGCUAAUUUUUCCCACUUUUUGGUAACGGUUUCACAAAUGUUUUAUAUGAGUUGAGAUUUUGGGAAGACAAAAAUGGGUAAGCUCUGUGUUAGAAGAAGCUCAAGGGAAAUUCCAAUGAGAAGAAUAGUACGCUGCGUUGUCUAUUAUUUCAACUAAGAUCUAAAUAGAUUGUAAAGUCAGCUGACUUUUUUAGUACUGAAAUUGGGAAUGCAUUGAUGAGAUGCUUGUUGUAGAAAUAAUGGACAUUCUUCUUAAUGUUGCCGUCUACACAUAAACUUAUUCUUUGAAGGGUGUCACUGUUUUGGCUUUGUUCACUGAGUAGAUCAUUGUGUUUCUUCAUUUGGGUUUUGUUUCUAGAUUGGAACCCUAGUCUUUGUUACUAUGAAGAAGCUUGUGAAGCUUAUUACCAUGGCUUCUCUGUUUCUGCAAAUGCUGCUUAUUUCCUUCUCUUUUGCUUUUUCCAGCCACGACUAUGACUAAUCUUUGACCAAGGCCAUUCUCUUCUUUGAAGCUCAAAGAUCUAGGUAUCUUCAUAGUAACCAGAGAAUGAAGUGGAGAGUUGAUUCUGGUUUACAUGAUGGAAAGGCCAGUGGGGUGGAUCUGGUGAGAAGAUAUUAUGAUGCAGGUGACAAUGUGAAGUUUGGCCUACCCAUCACAUUCACCAUUACAAUGAUGUCAUGGAUCAUAGUGGAGUAUGGGAAGCAAAUGAGUGCAAAUGGAGAGCUGGGUCAUGCCAUGGAAGCAGUGAAGUGAGGCAUUGACUACCUCAUUAAAGCUCACCCCUACUCUUAUGUCUUCUACGGAGAGGUGGGAGAUGGAAAUUCUGAUCAUUUCUAUUGGUAAAAGCCAGAGGGCAUGCCCAUAGCUAAUACCCAUCUCACUACAUCCUUUCAUCUUUCCAUACCUCCACCACUCAUUUCUCACUAACCUCUACCACCCAUUUCACUAAUCCCAUGUCCAUAUCCUCCUACACCAUUCAUACCCAUUUUCUAAUUCCACUAUCAAACCUAUUUCUCUCCCAACCUUCCACUUAUUUUACACCCACCGAACCUCUCAUACCCAUUUCUCACACCACUCAUGGCUCCAUCUAACACUAAUCCUUACACGCGUGGCCACCCUCAUUCUUCAACUUUGCUUAUCCAUGAAACCCAUCCAUCAAGCCUACCCAUCUAACCCAUUUCUCACACUACCCAUAACCCUAUCCAAAACCACUUAUAUCCAUCAUCUUUCAUGUCUGCCAUGUCUCGAUUUCAUUACCAAACCUAUCACCCCCACCCUCCAUCUAACCACACCCUUAAACCCACUUCUUUCUCUAAGUUAUUUUCUCAUAUCCAUUUAAAACGUAACCACCUUCAAUGGUCAUUACAUAAUCAUCCCACUGUAUCCAACCCAUGACCCGAUUUCUCUGUCAUCUUUUCCACUCCCCUAUUUGUGUGACAUGGACGACAUUUUCCAGCAUUGACAUAAAGGAAUGAUGGCACUUCAACUAGUGUGUUUAGUGUAACCCAAUCAUCUUUCCUAUUGCCUUCCACAACUGUAUUUGAUGCUCCAUCACCACCGGCUUUUGAAAAGUUUAAUGAUAGCUUUUGGAGCUACUUUUACUCUUGAUUUUGAUAGCUUGUCAUUGUCAUUUGGCACACCUUCGGUGUUUAGGCAACAACCUGAUUUUAGGAGUCUUGGGUCAUCUCCUACUCAAACAAAUCCUUUUAGAGGGAGGUUCGGAAGAGGAACCUUUUAAGGCGCACUACAGUAGAUUUCCAGCACUUGGACAGAGGAUUUGAUCAUAUGCAUGGCGAAGAUCCUUUACCAAAAUCCAAUUACAUGGGAACGGCUAGGCAUAAUGUUGAGCCAUUGAUUGAGAGGUGCCAAUAGAUAUGUUCAAUCUCAUAAUACAAGAUGUGGUUUUCCACCUUGCGGCUCUUCAAGACACAGCGCACCUGGCUACAGGAAUGGUCCAGCCAAUAAUGAAAUAAGAUAUGCUGGUUGUAGUCGUUGCAGUGAAGCCGAUCCUCGACAUGGAGACACUGCUGGUGCACCCUACAGAAACCCAAAUACCCCACCUACGUGCAUGAAUUUGGCCAUGUCAGAUGUCUCGUCUUAGAGAAGAUAGUCGCAUCCUAUGAACUCCUAUGUAAAUAUAAGAGUUUUGGGUUUUUGGAUACAUAUCCUCAUUACGACAAGCUAAAGCGUGAAUCUCAGUGUGCUUAUGGACCCUAUUGCUGCCCCUAUGUUGGACCAGAAUGCAGAGUUAUUAGUGACAUUCCUUGUUUGGCAACUCACUUAAAAGAUGAUUGAAACUGGGUCGAAGCUAAACACUGACAGCUAUGCAAGAACAUUGGGUUUCUUGAUUUUGGUGUCUUUAGCUCUCGUCUGUUCUGGUUGUCAGGUCUAUCCUUAGACAAUUUUCACGUCAAUACAAUGCUUGCUUUGAUAGGAGUGUUCUUCUUUUGAUAUUGUGCUCGAGAUCGGAGGAGCCACUACUUCGAUUUCACUAUCUGAAAUCAAUGGACCUAAGAUCAAUGUUCCCAAAAAUCAGUGUUGCAAUCCCUCCAAACCUUAGAAUAUGAUGCAAAGAUUAUUUUCGGGAUUGUUGUUCCUAUCAUCUGGAGGCUCAAAACCAAGGCAACUUUGAACGCAGCUGUGUCCUAUCAAGAUUCAUGUUCUAUAUAGAUGGUUUUGGGAAGUUGAUUUCUCAAGCUAGGUGUUGGAGGAUGUGAAAUCGAGUUUCUUGGAACACAAGACUAUGAUGGAUGUUUCGAUCAAUGACUCAGAGUAUCAUUCCAAUUAUCUGAGAAUGUUGCAGAUUGAUAUCUUGACGGGUAAAGGAAGAGUGGUUGCUUGUGUUGAUGUGAAUGAGAGGUGUUUCUUUCUGAAAUUAUUCGAUAGUGAAGAGGUUGCUAACGGAUUGGAAAAUCUGAAUAUGAAGAGUAAAAUAAGAUUCGGUGAACACUUUGGAAAGAUGAAGAUAGAGAGAUUGGAAUCUCAGGAAGAAAUCGAAGAAAAUUCUUCAAUUAAUUGAGAAGUUGCGUCAAGACGGUGAAAUUCAAAUGAUCAAGAAGAUGCAUCAAAACAACAUUGUAUUCAAAUAACAUGUGAUUAAGAGACAUGUAAGUGGCCGAACGCAAAAUUGAUAAAAAAAAGAAACAAAUUGUAUGUAAUGACCAAUAAGGUCUUUUUUGUCUCGGUUAAAAGACACGAAACCAGCUGUGAGAGCCACUACAAUUCAUUAGUGUAUGUAGAAGGGUCCUCUGGAAAAAAACUCAAUGGAAUGUUUUUCAUGAGCAGAUGGAGAGGACAAAGGCUGCCCAAAGACUUGCAAUACCACAUUCUCUUAGCAUUGGGAAGUCAAAUUACAUAACACAAUCUUUAACAGCAACUAGAGAAUGAGGCUCGCAUUUGAGAAAUUGAGGAAUGGUGGUACGACAAUGUAAGAUCUAUUAAAGAUAUUCAAGCCAAACUGUUAAAAGUGCAGGAGGCAUCAGCUAAGCGUGAGAGAAUCAUGGCCCAUGCUUUGGCUCAUAAGUGGUAGGUUGGAUCAAGGUGAUAGGCUGCCCCCUCUGUGUUUGAACUAGAUAAAAGCUGUUGGAAGUGGGAGCUAGUUGGAAUGAUGGAUGGUUGGUUGUCCAUGUGAUAACCGGAUUUUGGACAUAAAUUUGAAAUAUGGAAUGAUGAUUCUUGAAAAUAGGUUGGCUGUAGGAAAGAGAAGUUACAGGAGAACACACUUUUUGCAUGGCCACCUUUGGCAUGCAGCUCUAUUAGCAGCAUGGCUUUCUUUCACUUUUUUUAGUCUUUGAUUUUAAAAAUCAUUCCCCAAACCCUAGUUUUCAAAGUAGUUUUCCAAGUUCUAGUUUUCAAAUAAUUUCAAGUCUCCAAAUUCUUCAUCCUUAGAUAUUUUUUUUAGGGUCCCAAAAGUCCCGUUUUUAAUAAAAACUACUGUCAUUUUCUUCGGCAUGCAAUUUUCAUAAUUUCCAUGAUUUUUAAAAAUGUUUUAAAUAAACAUGAAUUUAAUUUUGGAAUUCCAAAUGAUGGAAUUUAUGAAAUUAAUUUACGCAAAAAUAAAUUGGGUAUUGGUGGGGAUCCAACAUCAGAGAAGCUUUAUUUAAAAAUAAAUUUGAGUGAAGUGUGGUGUGAUAUCCGAUGACUUCUUACUCUGUUUAGUGGCAUGUGUGACAUACAUUGUGUUCAUAUUUGCGCACCAACCCCAUUUCCUGAUAGUGCAUUGUCAUUUGCUGCCAAGGUACGCACUCGCUCUCACUCUGGUCAUUCUUUAUGUAUGUUUUGAUUUCCAUAUGUGUAUGAUCAUUUUGGGUAUCUAUGUUUAAUCAAUCCAUUGCCAUGAUUGCUUCAUUUUACUAGUAGAGGGGUGCUACGGUCUUUACUGUACCUUUCCAAUAAGUAACCUGACCCCCAAACUCAUAUUUGGUUUUUCAUGGACCACAUUUUCCAAACAAAGAGUCACACUUAGGGUUUUUUUUCUUAUUUUGUUUACCCUUUAAAAAUAAAACAAAAAUAAGUGGCGACUCCAAGUCAUUUUCUUAAUCAGUAAAUCAUUUUCAAAUAAAAAAUGAAUUCGCCAUUGAGUGGAAGCGCAUGAGCAGAAAUGUAGGGUCCACAACUUGUCUUGUGAGAAGAAACCUAAAUACGCCCACAACUUUAAGGCAGGAGCCAUGAAUGCCUUGGUAAGCUAUACAGAUUUGCAACGACAUAUGGACAGAUGCAUUGAUGAAUUGAAGUGUGUUUUAUGAUCAUCUUGAAUGAAUAGAUAAGGGUGUCAUGAAGAAUAAGCAAUGGUGGGAUUAUUCUUAAUGUGGACUGUGACAUGUACUCGAACAAUUCCGAAUUGGUGAAAGAUGCUUUGUGUUUCUUCAUGGAUGAAGAGACAAGCCAUGAGAUUACCUAUGUAUAGUUUCCACAAUGCUUCAACAACAUCACAAAGAAUGACUUAUAUGCUAGCUCCUUAAAUGUUAUCAUGGAGGUGGGCAUUUACCCAGAGCAUAAAUAAUUUUAAGUUUUAACCCAUUGAAAGAAUUAUAACACUAGCUACUCUUCUAUGUAAAAUUUCUAUGAUCAAGGUAGAGCUAACAGGUUUUGAUAGCAAUGGAGGGCCUUGCUAUAUUGGCACUGGGUGCUUUCACAAGAGAGAGACUCUUUGUGAGAAGAAGUAUGAUAUGGAAUGUGAGAGAGAGUAAACAACAAGAAACAAUGACGGAAAGAUAGAAGAAAGUGCAAGUGUACUAGAAAAAACAUGUAAAGUUCUUGCAAGUUGCAGCUAUGAAAAUAACACUCAGUAGGGAAAGGAGGUUUCUCUCUUUCUCUCUCUCUCUCACACACACACACACACUCCUUAAGUCACACACACAGAUAUGUAACCUCAUAUCUAUUCAUUUUCAGAUGGGCUUGAAGUAUGGUUGUCCAAUGGAAGAUGUCCUGACAGGGCUAUCAAUACAAUGCAGAGGUUGGAAAUCAAUCUAUUUCACUCCCGAAAGGAAAGUGUUCCUUGGCGUUGCACCAACCACACUACUGCAAUCACUGAUACCACAUAAAAGAUGGAGUGAAGGUGAUUUUUAGAUAUUCCUCUCAAGUUACUGUCCCUUCACAUAUGUGCAUAAAAUGAUUCCCUUUAAACUUCAAAUUUCCUACUGUAUCUUCUUGUUAUGGGCCCCAAACUGCUUGCCUAUUCUAUACUAUGUCGCCAUACCAUCGCUUUGUCUCCUCAAAGGUAUCUCAUUGUUUCCAAAGGUAUAAGCCUCAAGUUAUUAAACAGAUGCUACAUAAUUUGAUUGUUAAGAAUUUGACCAUCUUGUGCCUCAAAUUUCAAGCCUAUGGAUCCUACCUUUUGCAUAUGUCAUGAGCAGCAGCUGUGCAUACAGCUUGGGCGAGUUUAUUUGGUGUGGUGGUACUCUCCUAGGUUGGUGGAAUGAUCAAAGGAUGUGGGUGUUUAAGAGAACAACUUCCUACUUCUUUGGCUUUUCAGAAACCAUAUUGAAGCAGUUAGGAUUUUCUAGGUCUUCUUUUGUAGUCACUUCCAAGGUGGCAGAUGAAGAAGAAUCUAAGAGGUUUGAGCAAGAGGUCAUGGAGUUCGGUGCCCUUUCACCAAUGUUCACCAUUUUAGCCACGCUAGCUUUGCUCAACCUGUUCACUUUUGUUGGAGGAAUAAAGAUGAUGAUUAUUGAUAUGCAAGCUCAAGUUUUAGACUUUCUCUUAUUGCAGAUUCUUCUAUGUGGGGUUUUGGUUCUCAUGAACCUCCUAGUAUACCAUGGCCUCUUCUUCCGAAAGGACGUGACCAGAAUGCCCUGCUCUAUCACAUAUCAAUCAAUUGCCUUCGCUCUACUGGCUUGUUCACUAGCCUUAUAUUAGAACAUUAUGCAAAGCAACUUAAAUUUCUACUUAAAACUUUGCAUCAAGUAAUACUUUGCAGAUGUUUUUCUAUGAAUUCACUCUAUACCAAGUAAUAUAUUCUAGGAAAGGAACUUUCUAUUUUUCAUGGUAAGAAUAUGAUCAUUGCAUAACCUAUCUCUUUUAUACAACAUCUAGCUGAGAAACCUUUUUUAAAUUAAAGCUACCUAUUUCUCCAUUUGUGCAUGACGUUUGUUGGUUGUAACUUUGACAACUUGUUGGCAAGAAGGAAGUUCCAAACCCCCCCCCCCCCCCCCCUCUUUCCCUUUCAAAUCCAUAAUCGUACUAAUGGGGACAAAGACGGGAAAGAUAGAAAAAUGGGUAGGUUUCAGUGUUGUUUGAAGAAACUAAAGUGCUUAAAGCAAGCCUAUUGUCACGACUUACUCAAGUGACCCUACCUUGGGCUUAUAUAGGUGAAUGAAAAGCUUCCAAAACCUUGGAGUCAUCUACUCUAGUAAAAGAGUGUAUAAGGUUCUGGAAAGACCUAAAGAUGUCCACUCAUCUCUACACAAAGGUGGAAGACAAGGAAAACAUGUGGGAUGUUCUAAAGAGUUCUAAAUAAGCCUUGUAAAUACUUGUAAAUAGUCUUUGUAUAGAGGAUUCUAGAGAAUUCUAGGAUAGUAGGGAACCUUUGUGGGCUCUAGAGAGUUCUUAAGGUGCCUGUAAAUAAGUGAUGACCUCAUUUGGCCAAGGCACCACCCAAAAACUACUCAAGAACCUAACCAACCAAGCAAGUGAGCUUUCAAAGCCUUGUAAGCAUCCUUUGAGAGCAAUAAAACUUAUAUUAUUUAAGUGUUGCUUACGGUUCUCUUAGCUUUUAAGUCGUGUGCUAUCAUCCUUGUUGGCAUUAUAGUGACUCUACUUUUAAUCUUCAAUUGAGGUACCGUCUUUUUGAACCUUCUCUCCAAUUACCCUUUUAUUAAUUCAAUCUUGAAUCACUUGGCUUGGAGUGUUCAUCACUUGGGAUGAAGUGGUUCUGGGUUUGAAUGGAUUUAGGAUGCCAUAAAUGGAUUUGGGUAUGAUGUCAUUAAGUUAAGUGACUUAUUAUGGUUAGCUUAUGGGUUGUUGUCUUAGCAAGAACAGUGAUUCCAAAGCUAGUAGGAUUGUAUAGUGGAAAUCCAUCGAUAUUAUUGGUUUGCUUGACUCUAAAUUGAAGGGAAAUCUCUUUGUUUAUUAAUUUUCAUUGAUGUAAUGCGAAAUUGGAUUGUUGUGUACUGUCUGUUUGGUUCCUAAGAAAGUGUGGGAAAAUAAGGGAAAUAACAACUUUGAAGUUUGGUUUUUUCUUUUGUAGUCACUUAGUUACCAAGAAUGAAGAAGGUUAAAUGCAAGGUUCAAUUCUUUUAUUUUAUUUUGUUUUUUUUUCUCAUGCUUUCCUGGAAGCUAAACACUGGGGUAGGGUUUUAUUAUAGUUUUGUUGAGUGUGUGUUGAGCAAGAAAUAAAAGUUUGAUUAACAAACACCUGUCUUGCUUUCUUAUUAAUGAGAGUCCAGGUUGGAUAUGAGGAGGCUAAAAAAAUUCCUAAUUUCUUGUAUGAGUGAGAUGGUUGAAAAAACCUCUUCUACUUCUUUUGUUUUGAGACUUUUUUUUAUGUGUUCGCCCUUAUGGUACUUGUAAAAUUGAAGAAUAGAUGGACGUUUUCUCUUUGUAACUUUUGAUAUGUUUUUAUUAUUUAUGCCUAGAAAUUCAUGCACGAUGAGUAUCUUGUUAAUUGUUCUGAGGCCUAAAAUAAAAUAUGUGAUUUAGCAUCUUUAUCUCCGUCAUCUUCACUGAAAUGUUUCAUAGAUACCCUGUAAUUUCUUUCACACACUACACAUGUAUUUGAAAAAAUCUUCUAAGCCAUAUGCUAUUCAACUUCAAGAUGUCCUAUAUAUGUGUAAUGUCCAAUAGUACAUGUUGGCUUCUUGGAAUGAAAGCAUGAUCUUCAUAAAAAUCAAAAUUAAUUUUUACUCCUAAUGCUACCUAAUCUUAUUGGCUAGAAGUAUAAAUGGAUUGCAGUUGGAAUUUUAAACUACAUAAUUAGGAAUUAUAUUAUCUUAGAUAAACUCAUACUUGAAUUUUUUGUUUUUCUUUCAAGUAAUUAAGUGAUGUUUUUAUCAAAAUACCAUUCACUAGGGGUUCUAACUCUAAAGACAGUGAACACAACUUGAUACGUAGGUCAAUCUUUUCCCAACUAGACUUGUUUUACCUUAGGUGGUGACUUAGAGGAGCUUUGUUGAAUCUUAAGCUUUUGAUUUGUACUCCUUCCUUUCAUAGUAUUCAAGAUAUUAUUUUUUAGGGAAUUGAAGUCAUUACUAGGUUAUUCAGUUGAGACUUGUACAUCUCAAGAAAUUUAGUAUGACUCCUAUUUUGAGUUUGUCUAGACUUUUUAAAGUGUGUGCAAAGUAAGGUAGUAUUGGAAGAUGUUGUAUGGCUAGGGGUUUAUUCUUUACCUUUAACAAAAAUAGCUUUUUUUUUUUUUUUUCCACUAGUAAGAGUUUCGACUUUAUUAAUAUACUUCAAACCUCUUUUUUCACCAUGACUUUUGCAUUUAUCAAGAAUUUCAUUAAGCAUUUAUAUGGCUGUUCCCUGCAUUCCCUGGUAAACCAUCUUUUGUAGUACUAUACUUUCAUGAUCACUCUCAAUUAAGCAAUGUUCUAGCCCUUGGUAAUCAAGAAUUUCUUCUAGCUCUGCUUGAUUUACGUGUAUUUGGGCUCAACAAGCUGACCCUCAAGUGAUUUCAUACGGCAAUUAACGCAGUACCUUCACUAAGAAUACUGGUACUGAGUUUCCUUGGACCCUACCAUGGAUCUGGCCAGAAGUUAAGUUAUUCGGAAGCAUAAGACAUUGAGUUGUAAGGAAGUGGCAUGCAGCAGAUAAAACCAUGUAUGAACUUGUGCGUGGGCAUCCAGAAAUUUACAUUCUGUUUCUGCCAAUGCAUGGUAUUGAAGUUAGAUAUAUGUUGUGUACUCUCAUUGAACAAACCAAAGCUUAACUUCUAAUUUAAUUGCAGAGAAAUUCUUAACACAAGCUGCAGCCAGCAAACACCUAAGAAAGAGGGAAAACAAAAAUGCAAGAUACCAAUUACUAUGUUUAGUCACAUACACAAACACCAUACCCGAAAUAGCAGUAAAACAUACAUGCCGUGUCUGGCCCUAGCUAGAUGGAAGAAAGAAAAGAAACAGGACUUGGAGGUACUGGGAUGUCUACAGUACCUUCCAACAUUAGGAGAACCUUCUUCAUUGAUGGACGAAGCGAUGGAUCAUCCAGGAUGCACCAAAGACCAACUUUAACCAUCAUAUCCAAUUGUCUCCUGUCCACCUCUUCAUCACCCACUAGUUUACCAAGCUCACCAGCUUCGAAACAUUGGUAGACCCAUUCUUCAAGAAUGACUUCUUCGUCCGGGAGGCUCCAGUCUACAUUCCUCCGACAACAUAUGGUCUCCAACAACACAAUUCCAUAGCUGUAAACAUCUGCUUUAACCGACACUGGCUGUUUGCGAUGCCACUCAGGCGCAACAUAGCCCCUUGUUCCUCUGAUCCCGGUAGAGGUAUUGGUCUGGUCAUGCAUCAGCAGCUUUGCUAAUCCAAAGUCAGAAAUUUUUGCACACCUAUACUCAUCCAUGAGUAUGUUUUGUGGUUUAAUAUCACAAUGUAUGAUGCAUGUUUCGCACUCUUCAUGCAGAUAGAGAAUGCCUCUUGCUACAUUGAGGGCAAUUCCCAUUCUCUCACUCCAGCGAGGUUGUUUUCCAGGUGUGAAGAGCCAAUCUGCAAGUGAUCCAUUGCUCAUGUAUUCAUAUACCAAAAGCCUGUUUGGCCCGUCAAGGCAGUAGCCCAGCAAUCUGACGAGAUUCCUGUGGUGUGUUCUCCCAAUUACUUUUAAUUCAUUCUGAAAUUCUAUUUCCCCUUCAGCCAACACCUUCUCUAGUUUCUUGACUGCUACAAUCCUCUGGCCGUUUGAUGUGGCUCCCUUAUAAACAGUCCCAGAAGCCCCCUUACCAAUCUCUUCCAUAAAACCGUUGGUAACUUUCUCAAGUUCCAUGUAGGUAAAUGAUCGCAGAGCAACGUCUUCAGUCAAUUCAACAUUCACAGUCUCUGAGAUCUUCUUGUAUGCCCAUAGAUUAUUUCUACGAAUUAGAACUCCAGAAAUGGCCAAGAUAAUGAGUGCAAAAGAUGCUAAUGAAACACUGAUAACUAGGAUGUCUGUCCGGAGCUCUUGCUUGCUUCCUGAUUACUACUCAAAACAUGCUAUUUUGUAGCUUGUUAUUAGCUCUUUUAAGCACCCUUGAGUAGUAAUUAUUACCUUUUAACUCAAUUAGCAUGUUAGGGACCCUUGCAAUCGUUUCUAAUCAAAUUGUGUUAAGUUUUGGUGCUUUUUGAUAGCUUUAUGCUCACCAAAGCAAUUUAAGAAUGAGGGAGAGCUAUAUAUAAUUCAUGGAAAAGCUUUUGGAAGCUCAAAUUUAUGAAGAAACCAAGCUUUGGAGCCUCAUAAUCCUUUGCCUUAGUCGUUUAAAGUAUGCAAGGAAAGAACAAUGGAGAAGAGGAAAACAGGGUAAGGAAAACAGAGGACACAGCUGCAGUCUUCCUUCGCACUUUUGGAGCACUUUGCGAAGUCCAUUUUUUACAUUCUAUAUACCAUUUCAAAGCUCAGAAAGUCAAGAAUUCAACGAUUCAAACCAUGUACGAUUUGGAGCUGAAAUGAGGAAGAUAGGGCCUUCGGAAGACAACUGCAUCAAGUUGAGGGACAAUUUCGCACGAUGGAAAUCAAGGUGCGAAUUCCUCAGUCCAAAGUGUGGGAAUUUCGCACACCUCAAACCAAAAUGCGAAAUUGGAACUCCAACGUGCGAAAAUUGGAUAUUUUUGCCGACUCUUUUUCUUCUGAUAUUUUUGUGUCUAAAUUUCCAUUUUCUCCUUGUAUUCAGCUACUCAUGUAAUUCCUUAGCUAGGAAGUAUCCAAGGAAGGGUAAAAUUACCUUCCUAUAUAAAUUCUCUUGUAAACACUGAAAAAACACUCUCGGGGAACUUUCUCCAGGAGACCAACUAAUGUAAAUUCUACACUUAGUGAAAUACAGAGAUCUCUUUUGCUUUCUUUUUCUCUCUACUAUUUUCUAUUUUCUUGGAAGCCAAACAGCCUCUGAGGAUGUUUUCCCAGAGGAUGAGAGGCUAAACUUAUAGUUUCUUGGAGUAAAGGAAGCUAGGUGAAAAGUCCAGAUUAAAAGGUGGAACGCUUCCGUGCAUUAAAUUCAGGUAGUUGGAAUCCAUAAAUGGUUUCUAAAUUCAAAGUUUUGCUUUAAAUCCCUUAGAAUCACUUUGACUGGCCAAUACAUGGUAAGCUUCAGGUCUCUGUGGAUGCUUAUUGCUAGAUCCAUAUCAGUCCAUUAGUUAUCAUGUACGAGUCAGUGGAAAGUGAUUCAAGGUGAUAACCUAUAGUGUUUUAAACCAUUAAUGGACCUUGACUACCCUCUCUAUUGACUUUUUAUGGAUUAAAUCUUCAUUGUCAAACCUAUACCGGUUCGGGAAAUAACUAUAGGUUAAAUCCCCAAUGCGAGGAGAAAAAUCCGGAAUUUUCCACUUUGCAUCCUGAAUUUGAACCUAGCAACCUUUAGCUCCGGGAGACUUUCUUUCUUCUAUUUUUACUUAGUUCUAUGUGAGUUUAGUUUCAAUCACCACUUUCAAAACAAUUUUAUUUUCUUUUAAAUUUCAAGUUUGUGCUAAAGGAAAUCAUCAGAAUCAAUUUCUAAUUUAGAGUCUGUCACUGAUAGAGUGAAAACCCAUCCCUGAGUUCGACCCUAGAACUGCUAUACUAUAGUAGCUUUGCUACGCCAGUAUAAGGUCAUAGGAUUUAUAAAUAUUUUUGAUUAAAAGACCCGACUGGGCACGAAUCAAAUGGCGCCGUUGCCGGGGAUGGUGCCACAAUACAGUAAUGCAACCUUUUAGAGGCUACUUGUGAUUUCCAUCACAAGUUUGGUGAAUUCCUUUUUCACUAACUUCAUUUCCUUUCAUUUUUCCUUUUGUUAAGUUUAUUUUCGUUUUCUUCCUAACUUUAACCUUUUUUCUAGUUUUCUUUUGUUUUUGUUUUUGUUGUUUUUAUUAUUAUUACAGGUAUUGUAACUUGUGCAUGCCCUAUUGGAUUAGGGACCAAGAGGGAAGAUUAGUAAGGAUUGAGAAUCCUCAAGACACAGAGUUGGAUAUCUGUGUAAACAUCAUGGACCCUCCACCAGAGGAUCAGAAUUCUCAACAAGGUCAAGGGGGUAAUCCCAAUGCAUAUCUAUCCAUGAGGGAUAGAAUGCAUCCGCCAAGGAUGAGUGCACCCUCAUGCAUCCUACCCCCUCUUGAGCAGUUGGUUAUUAGGCCCCAUAUUGUGCCCCUCCUACCAAAUUUCCAUGGAAUGGAGAGUGAGAAUCCAUAUGCUCACAUCAAGGAGUUUGAGGAGGUGUGUAAUACCUUUAGAGAGGGAGGAGCUUCAAUAGACUUGAUGAGACUCAAGCUAUUCCCUUUCACUUUGAAGGACAAGGCAAAAAUAUGGCUUAAUUCUUUAAGGCCAAGGAGCAUAAGGAAUUGGGUUGAUCUUCAGGUGGAGUUUUUGAAAAAAAAUUUCCCCACCCAUAGGACCAAUGGGUUGAAGAGACAAAUCUCAAACUUUUCUGCAAAAGAAAAUGAGAAGUUCCAUGAGUGUUGGGAAAGGUAUAUGGAGGCCAUCAAUGCUUGCCCUCAUCAUGGUUUUGAUACAUGGCUCUUAGUGAGCUAUUUUUAUGAUGGAAUGUCUUCUUCCAUGAAGCAAAUUCUUGAAACCAUGUGUGGGGGAGAUUUUAUGAGUAAGAAUCCUGAAGAAGCCAUGGACUUUUUAAGUUAUGUGGCUGAGGUGUCAAGAGGCUGGGAUGAGCCCAAUUCAAGAGAGAAAGGAAAGUUUCCCUCUCAACAAACCCAAAAUCCAAAGGCUGGAAUGUACAUGUUGAGUGAAGACGUGGACAUGAAAGCUAAAGUGGCAACAUUAGCUAGGAGGUUAGAAGAACUUGAGUUGAAAAAGAUGCAUGAAGUCCAAGCCAUUUCCGAUACUCAAGUCCAUGUCAUGCCAUGCACCAUUUGCCAAUCAUGUGAUCAUGUGGUAGAUGAGUGCCCAACCAUGCCAACAGUGAGAGAAAUGUUAGGUGAUCAAGUAAAUGUUGUGGGGCAAUUUAGGCCCAACAACAGUGCAUCCUAUGGUAACACCUAUAAUUCAAGCUGGAGAAACCACCCAAACUUUUCUUGGAAACCAAGGCCACCUCCAUACCAACCACAAAGCCAAACCCAAGCACCUCAACAAACUUCUACAGUGGAGCAAGCCAUUGUGAACCUGAGUAAAGUCAUGGGUGACUUUGUGGGUGAACAAAAGGCAAUUAACUCCCAAUUGCAUCAAAAGAUUGAAAACGUUGAGAGUUCUCAAAUUAAGAGAAUGGAGGGGAUGCAAAAUGAUCUAUCUCAGAAGAUAGAUAAUAUUCAGUACUCCAUCUCUAGACUUACCAACCUCAACACAGUGAAUGAGAAGGGAAAGUUUCCCUCUCAACCAAGCCAAAAUCCCAAGGGUGUUCAUGAAGUUGAAACCCAAGAUGGUGAGUCUUCAAAUUUGAGAGAGGUCAAAGCUGUAAUCACUUUGAGGAGUGGGAAGGAGGUUGAUCAACCCUUGCCUAACGUGGGGCAUGAUGAAGAACUCAUGUCAAAGAGACCCGUGAUUAAAGAGAGCAAUAGCCAAGAGGAGAAGAGUGGGAAGAAAAUUGCAUCCAAAUCAAGCAUUGAAGAAGAACCAAGGAUAGUGAUUAAGGAGGAUAUGAUGAAGAAACAUAUGCCUCCCCCUUUUCCUCAAGCUUUACAUGGAAAGAAAGAAAUCAAGAAUUCAUCAGAAAUUCUUGAGGUUCUGAGACAAGUGAAGGUGAAUAUACCCUUACUUGAUAUGAUCAAGCAAGUUCCCACAUAUGCAAAGUUUCUAAAGGACUUGUGCACAGUCAAGAGAGGGUUAUAGGUGACAAAGAAUGCAUUCUUCACUGAGCAAGUGAGUGCUAUCAUUCAGAGUAAGUCCCCAGUUAAGUAUAAAGAUCCGGGAUGUCCCACCAUAUCAGUUAACAUUGGAGGGGCACAUGUGGAAAAAGCUUUACUAGACUUGGGGGCAAGUGUGAAUUUGCUCCCAUACUCUGUGUAUAAGCAACUGGGACUAGGAGGAUUGAAGCCCACAACCAUGACCCUCUCCUUAGCUGAUAGGUCAGUCAAAAUCCCAAGGGGGGUGAUAGAGGAUGUUCUAGUUCAAGUGGACAAAUUCUACUAUCCUGUGGAUUUUGUAGUGCUUGAUACUGAUUCCACUGUCAAGGAAGAAAAUUAUGUGCCAAUCAUCCUUGGGAGGCCUUUCCUAGUUACCUCCAAUGUUAUCAUUAAUUGUAGGAAUGGGGUGAUGCAGCUCACAUUUGGAAACAUGACAUUGGAAUUAAACAUAUUCCACCUCUGUAAGAGGCAUCUUCACCCUGAAGAGGAGGAAGGAUUUGAGGAGUUGUGCUUGAUCAACACUUUGGUUGAAGAGCACUGUGACAAGAAUUUAGAGGAGAGCUUGAAUGAAAGCCUGGAAGUGCUUGAAGAUGGGUUCCCUGAAUCCUCUGAUGUGCUAGCCAUUAUGUCUCCUUGGAGGAGACGGGAAGAGAUCUUACCACUGUUCAACCAGGAAGACUCACAAGGAGUUGCUGUGGAAGACCCUCCAAAGCUUAUUUUAAAGCCACUUCCUGUGGAUUUGAAGUAUGCAUACUUGGAGGAUGAUGAGAAAUGUCCAGUGGUGGUUUCCUCAACUCUCACUAGUGAUCAAGAGGAUAGUCUUUUAGGAGUCCUCAGAAAAUGUAAGAAAGCCAUUGGAUGGCAAAUUUCUGAUCUGAAAGGGAUUAGCCCUUUGGUCUGCACCCACCAUAUCUAUAUGGAAGAGGAUGCAAAACCAGUGAGGCAACCCCAGAGGAGACUGAAUCCUCACAUGCAAGAGGUGGUGAGGGGUGAAGUUCUUAAGCUACUUCAAGCUAGGAUCAUAUAUCCCAUUUCAGACAGCUUGUGGGUGAGUCCCACCCAAGUAGUCCCAAAGAAAUCUGGAAUUACUGUAAUCCAGAAUGAGAAAGGGGAGGAAGUCUCUACACGUCCUACCUCAGGAUGGAGGGUGUGUAUAGACUAUAGGAGGUUGAAUUCAGUGACUAGGAAGGACCAUUUUCCAUUGCCUUUCAUGGACCAAGUCCUUGAGAGAGUCUCAGGACAUCCUUUCUACUGUUUUCUAGAUGGUUAUUCAGGGUACUUCCAAAUAGAAAUUGAUUUGGAAGAUCAAGAAAAGACAACCUUCACUUGUCCUUUUGGUACUUUUGCAUAUAGGAGAAUGCCCUUUGGUCUAUGUAAUGCUCCUGCAACUUUCCAAAGAUGUAUGCUAAGCAUCUUCAAUGAUAUGGUGGAACGCAUCAUGGAAGUUUUCAUGGAUGACAUCACUGUAUAUGGAAGUUCUUAUGAGGAGUGUUUAUUGCAUUUAGAAGUUGUUCUCCACAGAUGUAUUGAGAAAGACCUAGUGCUAAAUUGGGAGAAGUGCCAUUUUAUGGUGCAAAAAGGAAUUGUCUUAGGACAUAUCAUCUCCAAAAAUGGCAUUGAGGUAGAUAAGGCAAAGGUGGAGCUAAUUGUUAAGUUGCCACCUCCCACAAAUGUUAAAGGAAUUAGACAAUUCCUAGGACAUGCCGGGUUCUAUAAGAGGUUCAUUAAAGAUUUCUCAAAAAUCUCAAAACCUCUUUGUGAACUCUUGGUAAAGGAUGCCAAGUUUGUGUGGGAUGAGAAGUGUCAGAGGAGUUUUGAAGAAUUGAAACAAUUCCUCACAACUGCACCAAUAGUGAGAGCCCCAAAUUGGAAAUUACCUUUUGAGGUAAUGUGUGAUUCAAGUGAUCUUGCUAUGGGGGCUGUUUUGGGGCAAAGAGAAGAUGGAAAGCCCUAUGUGAUUUAUUAUGCAAGCAAAACUUUGAAUGAGGCUCAAAGGAACUACACAACUACUGAGAAGGAGUUGUUGGCAGUAGUUUUUGCCUUGGAUAAGUUUCGUGCUUAUUUGGUAGGGUCCUCUAUAGUGGUGUUCACUGACCAUUCUGCUUUGAAAUACUUGCUAACCAAGCAAGAUGCCAAGGCAAGAUUGAUAAGAUGGAUUCUUUUGCUCCAAGAAUUCAAUCUCCAAAUCAGGGAUAAAAAGGGGGUAGAAAAUGUGGUAGCUGACCACUUGUCCAGACUUGUGAUCGCACAUGACUCACAUGGUCUGCCUAUCAAUGAUGACUUCCCUGAGGAGUCUCUCAUGUCAAUAGAGGUAGCUCCAUGGUAUUCUCACAUUGCAAACUUUUUGGUUACUGGAGAAGUACCAAGUGAGUGGAGUGCCCAAGAUAAGAGGCAUUUCUUUGCCAAGAUCCAUGCCUAUUAUUGGGAGGAGCCUUUUCUCUUUAAAUAUUGUGCAGAUCAAAUCAUAAGGAAAUGUGUUCCUGAGCAAGAGCAAUCAGAAAUUCUUUCCCAUUGCCAUGAUAGUGCAUGUGGAGGUCAUUUUGCCUCCCAGAAAACAGCUAUGAAAGUGAUCCAAUCAGGCUUCUGGUGGCCCUCUCUUUUCAAGGAUGCCCACUCUAUGUGCAAGGGAUGUGAUCGGUGUCAAAGGCUUGGUAAGCUAACACGCCGAAAUAUGAUGCCCUUGAACCCCAUUCUAAUAGUGGAUAUCUUUGAUGUUUGGGGGAUAGACUUCAUGGGACCAUUUCCAAUGCCGUUUGGACAUUCCUACAUUUUGGUGGGAGUGGAUUAUGUCUCUAAGUGGGUAGAAGCAAUCCCAUGUAGGAGCAAUGAUCAUAAAGUGGUUCUUAAAUUCCUUAAGGACAACAUCUUUGCAAGAUUUGGAGUGCCAAAGGCCAUUAUCAGUGAUGGAGGAACCCACUUUUGCAAUAAACCUUUUGAGACUCUUCUAGCCAAGUAUGGGGUUAAGCACAAGGUAGCUACACCUUAUCACCCUCAAACAAGUGGUCAAGUUGAGUUAGUCAACCGUGAGAUCAAGAAUAUAUUGAUGAAGGUGGUGAAUGUGAAUAGAAAGGAUUGGUCUAUUAAGCUCCUGGAUUCCUUAUGGGCUUAUAGGACCGCUUACAAGACCAUUCUUGGAAUGUCUCCUUAUCGCCUUGUUUAUGGCAAAGCGUGUCAUCUUCCAGUGGAGAUUGAAUAUAAAGCAUGGUGGGCAAUCAAAAAGCUCAACAUGGAUUUGACAAGAGCCGGGUUAAAGAGAUGUUUGGAUUUGAAUGAAUUGGAGGAAAUGAGGAAUGAUGCAUACCUCAAUUCAAAAAUUGCCAAAGCAAGAUUGAAAAAAUGGCAUGAUCAAUUGGUAAAUCAGAAGAAUUUGACCAAGGGACAAAGAGUUUUGCUUUAUGAUUCUAAACUUCAUCUUUUUCCAGGAAAAUUGAAAUCCAGGUGGACGGGUCCUUUCAUAAUUCAUGAAGUGCAUCCCAACGGAGUGGUGGAAGUAUUCAAUCCCACAGGCAAUCAAACCUUCAAAGUCAAUGGCCAUCGUCUCAAGCCAUUCAUAGAGCCUUACAGUACAGACAAGGAGGAGAUCAACCUCCUUGAACCACAGCAACUCUGAGGGAAAGCAGGGUCUCACUAUAUAAGUCCAUGUAUCAUUUGAUUCGUGCCCAGUCGGGUCUUUUAAUCAAAAAUAUUUAUAAAUCCUAUGACCUUAUACUGGCGUAGCAAAGCUACUAUAGUAUAGCAGUUCUAGGGUUGAACUCAGGGAUGGGUUUUCACUCUAUCAGUGACAGACUCUAAAUUAGAAAUUGAUUUUGAUGAUUUCCUUUAGCACAAACUUGAAAUUUAAAAGAAAAUAAAAUUGUUUUGAAAGUGGUGAUUAAAACUAAACUCACAUAGAACUAAGUAAAAAUAGAAGAAAGAAAGUCUCCCGGAGCUAAAGGUUGCUAGGUUCAAAUUCAGGAUGCAAAGUGGAAAAUUCUGGAUUUUUCUCCUCGCAUUGGGGAUUUAACCUAUAGUUAUUUCCCGAACCGGUAUAGGUUUGACAAUGAAGAUUUAAUCCAUAAAAAGUCAAUAGAGAGGGUAGUCAAGGUCCAUUAAUGGUUUAAAACACUAUGGGUUAUCACCUUGAAUCACUUUCCACUGGCUCGUACAUGAUAACUAAUGGACUGAUAUGGAUCUAGCAAUAAGCAUCCACAGAGACCUGAAGCUUACCAUGUAUUGGCCAGUCAAAGUGAUUCUAAGGGAUUUAAAGCAAAACUUUGAAUUUAGAAACCAUUUAUGGAUUCCAACUACCUGAAUUUAAUGCACGGAAACGUUCCACCUUUUAAUCUGGACUUUUCACCUAGCUUCCUUUACUCCAAGAAACUAUAAGUUUAGCCUCUCAUCCUCUGGGAAAACAUCCUCAGAGGCUGUUUGGCUUCCAAGAAAAUAGAAAAUAGUAGAGAGAAAAAGAAAGCAAAAGAGAUCUCUGUAUUUCACUAAGUGUAGAAUUUACAUUAGUUGGUCUCCUGGAGAAAGUUUCCCGAGAGUGUUUUUUCAGUGUUUACAAGAGAAUUUAUAUAGGAAGGUAAUUUUACCCUUCCUUGGAUACUUCCUAGCUAAGGAAUUACAUGAGUAGCUGAAUACAAGGAGAAAAUGGAAAUUUAGACACAAAAAUAUCAGAAGAAAAAGAGUCGGCAAAAAUAUCCAAUUUUCGCACGUUGGAGUUCCAAUUUCGCACUUUGGUUUGAGGUGUGCGAAAUUCCCACACUUUGGACUGAGGAAUUCGCACCUUGAUUUCCAUCGUGCGAAAUUGUCCCUCAGCUUGAUACAGUUGUCUUCCGAAGGCCCUAUCUUCCUCAUUUCAGCUCCAAAUCGUACAUGGUUUGAAUCGUUGGAUUCUUGACUUUCUGAGCUUUGAAAUGGUAUAUAGAAUGUAAAAAAUGGACUUUGGGAAGUGCUCCAAAAGUGCAAAGGAAGACUGCAGCUGUGUCCUCUGUUUUCCUUACCCUGUUUUCCUCUUCUCCAUUGUUCUUUCCUUACAUACUUUAAACGACUAAGGCAAAGGAUUAUGAGGCUCCAAAGCUUGGUUUCUUCAUAAAUUUGAGCUUCCAAAAGCUUUGCCAUGAAUUAUAUAUAGCUCUCCCUCAUUCUUAAAUUGCUUUGGUGAGCAUAAAGCUAUCAAAAAGCACCAAAACUUAACACAAUUUGAUUAGAAACGAUUGCAAGGGUCCCUAACAUGCUAAUUGAGUUAAAAGGUAAUAAUUACUACUCAAGGGUGCUUAAAAGAGCUAAUAACAAGCUACAAAAUAGCAUGUUUUGAGUAGUAAUCACUCCCCCCAACCGACAUAUUGCUAGUCCCUUAGCAAUGAAGGAGAGAAAAACUAAGCAAACAUAAUAAUAUACAUAAAAGAGGUCAUGCAAAUCAUUCCAAAAAAUAAUUGAGUGGCAUGACUGAUAUCAAAACACAUCUCACAUGGUGAACUAAAGAUAUGAAGAUUCAAAAUACAAUAGGAGAUGUCAAAACUAAAACUUAAACAAAAAGUACAAAGAGUGGAGAUUAUGCAAUUAAGUAUCAAAAGAAUCUCUACUCUCAAGGUUCCAAAUCAAACUCUUCCAUAAUGAGCUAAGUGUUAAUGAGAUUAGCUUCUGGAUACAGUAUGUACAACUAUCCUCUCCCUCCAACCUAAGCUUUUCUCGAACAUUGGCAAAAUUAACUAACUCUUAAUAGGUUAGGAACGCACCUUGUUUCACAAUUCUUUUUACUCACUAAACUUAACCAAUUCACCUAUGUAGCAAGCAGAGGAUCGAUGACUCCCUACCAAUCAAGGUUUAGGGCAUCAGGUUUUAAAGGCUUUCGCCACCCCUUCGGAUCAUGCUUAGGUUUCAAGGAAAGAAUAGAAGCUUAUCCUUUUUUUUUUUUUUUUUUUUUUCAAAGACUCAUUGGUCUUUAUGAGGUGUCCCAACACUAUUAAAGAGAGGUUAAGUAAUGAACCAAGUCAAAAUUUUCCUAAGCUUAGAAGGUGAUAAAGUUUCACAUCAUAUAUCCGGGAUCUAAUGUGCACAAUGUGUGUAAAGCUUGAAAUGGAAGAAAUAAGUUUGAAAUCAAAGAGGGCUUCAAUAGAUUAUUAACUUUGAAAGCAUAAAACAAACUCUAAGACUUAAAUAAUUAAGUUAAAACUUGACUUAUCCUAUUUUAUUUUUGAGAAAUUAUCUUUAACAACCAUAGAGAAUGAUUCAAAAAACUUUUAGAAAUUUUAAAAAUUAAGCAAAAAUCAACUAAAUAACUUAGCAUUAGUACAAAACUUCCUUUCUCAACUCUUCCUUGUGGGUAAACUUCUGUGGAACCCAUCUUCACAAAGAGUAUGUUUGAAUCACCUAGCGAUCUUCUCCCAAAUCGCAAAGGAAAUCGUUGCUUUUUGCAACUUCCAUCUUUAAACAGGGCAGCUUCACAGUUACAAUCCUCCAAGCAGGCUUGUUCACAAUCUUCUUGGGUUGGUAUUGAUAGAGUGGAGUAGGAAGCAUCUUCCCACCAGGUGUUCUCCAAUGUUGACAUGGUGUAUUUGGUACUUCCAUCCUUGCUUUUGCAAAUUUCUUGUUGGAAAUUUCUGAUGCAGCCUGAACUCCAGUUGCUUGCUACAACAAAAUCAAAUCCAGGAAGACACCUACAGUCAGGCCUGUCAUCAAGCAGAACACAAAACCCAUUAACCCCGCAUAGACCCUUAGGAGCACACUUGUCGUUUAAAGACCUCCAUAAAAUCGACCAGCUGCCGUUCUGACCCGAAUCAUGUGAGUACAGUUUGAAGAUCCCAUCCGGAUCUAUUCUCAGAAGAUAGAGGUUUUCAUUGUCAUAACCUCCAUCUGUUAUAUUCUUUAUAUUGGAACCAUUAGUGUUGAGCAAGUAAAGAUGACCUCCACCAUCAAGAUGUAGGGUCACAUUAUCUCCUACUCCACCUGUCUCUGAUGCAUAAUAAGCAUAUGUUGGCGCGUCUGGAGUUUUCACCGGGUAUUGCACAAGGUUCCCAUCAUUUUGCAUCUUCAGGCGAAACAUUCCAGUUGAGGGGUUAGUUUCCGACACACUAGAAAACAGCUCUUUCCCUGCCAAGAGACGUUGACCUAGUAAAAGGGUAUCAGUUGGGAGAUCAAAACUCUGCCAUACCAUGUCCCCAUCAGAACUAUAGAGCACGAAAUUUCCCGAAUCCAGCAUGGAAGCAAAAGAAGCUGAAGUAGAAUUGGCAAUCUCCUUUUGCUGACCUUGCGUUUGCAACCUGAGCCUGCCCUCACUAGUAAAGUGCAAGGCAGCGGUGCUGGGGACUGGGGGAUCAUCUCGGUUGGCUGUCCACACUACAGUUUUCUGGGGAAUUCCGUUAAGAAAAAUUCCUAGAUAAUAGCCAUCACCCUGCUUGUAGAAUCCAAAGGCAUACAGGCGGUUGGGUGACAGCCAAAAGGAGUUGGAAGUGGGUGUUAGAGAAGAACCUCGACUUAUAUUAGAACCUCUUUGUUGGGCUGCUGCUGCAACACAAAAUACAGAGAGAAGAAGAAACAGUAAAGUAGUUGAAGCCAUUAGAGAUCAGCUUUUUCGCCCUUUCCCUACAACAGUCGAGGUAAAGAAGAAAUGAGAAGAAUAGAUGAGUCGAAGUCACUAUCAAAGUCAAAGUAUGCAAAGAAAAGUCUUUGGAACGAAGCGCAUUAGCGUGGUGUGGCUCUCUGGUAAGUCCAGUCCUCAUUUUCUUUGCCCUGGAAGAACAACUGUUGGAGAUUAUACUAGAUUUCACAGAUCUGAAACGUUGGAUCUUCUUGAUCUUCCCCAGAAAGCUAUCUUCUGAAAUGGUGGUCUAACCCUAUUUCCCAGAAUGAGUGGGCUGUUGAUUUGGUGAAUAAAAAGAAUGAUGUAACAACUAGAUUAAAGAACAAUAAUUAAUCCUCCCUCCCUCUUGUCUUUUUCAUUUUAUUUAUUUAUUUUAUAUUUUAUAUUUGAAUGUAAACCAAACUUUUAUAAGGAAAGGGCAAAGGAGUGACGUCUUUAAUUCUAAUUUGACACGGCUUACCUAUAUUAUUUCUAAUUUGAUUCAUUGUUACGGCAGCCAUUUUCCAAGAGCUGCAUAUUUGGUUCAGAAACUCUGUGACAGUGACACUAAUGAUGAUAUAAAAUUAUAUAUUUUUUUAAGUCUAGUUUAACUCAGCAGCACAUAAGAUAGUGAUACUAAUAAUAUAUAAAGUUAAGCCUAACUCUAUCAGAUGAGUUCUUUAUAUAUAUUCACGAUUUACUAACAAAAAAAAUCAAUUUGACAUUGAUUUACAUAUUUUAUCUGAAUUUCAUUAGGCAAUAGUAAGAUAAAAAUAAAAUUUACACUUGAAUUUUCUUAAAAAAAUUGAACCAAUGUCAUGAUGACUAAGGACCACAUCAUAUGACCGGGAAGAAGGGUUUGAAGUUUUGACUUCUUAUGAGAGUAUUGAAUAGAUUUUGAAGUUACUUCUUGAAUUUUGAAAAUUUAUUUUUUAAGAAUUUUUUAUCUUAAUAUAAAUGAAAAUAAAAUUAGAUUGCUUUGAAGUGUUGGAGAUUAUACUAGAUUUCUCUGUCUUUUCUGUUUCCGCCCUUUCCCUACGACAGUCGAGGUAAUAAGUAAAUAAGGGCUGGAUUGCGCGUCUAGGAGAAAUGAAAAGGAUAGAUGAGUCAAAGUCAAAGUAUGCAAAGGAAAGUUUUUGGUGCCGAACGCCUUAGCCUGGUAAGUCGUUUCCUCAUUUUCUUUGCCGUGGAAUACAUUAAACUGCAUGUAAUUCGGUUCAUUCAUCUGGGCAUCAAACUGAAGAACAACCGUUGGAGAUUAUAAUAGAUUUCACAAAUCUGAAAUGUUGCUAUCUUCUGAAAUGGUGGCCUAACCCUAUUCCCCAGAAUGAGUGGGCUGUUGAUUUGGUGAAUAAAAAUAAUGAUGUAACAACUAGAUUCGAUAAGAAUAAUUCAUUCUCUCUCUCUCUCUCUCUCUUUUGCAUUUUAUUUAUUUAUUUAUUAUUUUUUAUAUUUUAUUUUUAAAUGUAAGCCAAACUUUGAUAAGGAAAGGACAAAGGAUUGAGGUCUUUAAUUCUAAUUUGACUCGGCUUACCUAUGUUAUUUUUAAUUUGAUUAAUUAUUACAGGCAGCCAUUUUCCAAGACCUGCGUAUUUGGUUUAGAAACUCUCUGACAGUGGCACUAAUAAUGAUAUAAAAUUAUGUUUCUUUAAAUCUAGUUUAACUCAAACAGCACAUAAGGUAGUGAUACUAAUAAUAAUAUAAAGUUAAGCCUAAUUCUAUCAUAUGAGUUCUUUACAUAUAUAUUCACAAUUUAGUGACAAAAAUUCAAUUUGAAAUUAGUUUGCAUAUUUUAUUUGAAUUUCGUUCCAUAUUAGUCAACUAAAAAAAUUAUACUAGAAUUUUUAAAAAAAAUUUGAGAUAAAUGCCAUUUGAACCAAUGUCAUGAUGACUAAGGACAGCAUCAUGUGACGAUGAAGAAGGGUUGGAAAUUUUGACUUCUUAUGAGAAUAUUGAAUAGAUUUCGAAGUCAUUCCUUGAAUUUUAGAAAUUUAUUUUUUAAGAAUUUUCCAUCCUAAUUUAAAUGGAAAGAAAACUAUAUUGACUUCAAGUGUUUCUAGAAAUUGAAAUGACUUGAUUAUUCAAUUUUAAAAUAUAUAGAGAGAGAGAGUAUGUUAAAAAUAGUUUCUUUUAUCUUUUAUAACAAUUCUUUUUUUCCUUAUUGUGCUUGUUUAUCAGUGAAAUAUUUUAUUUUAUUUCUAUUAGUAAAUAAUUUGGACAAUUCAUAGAUUGAACAUUUGUAUAACAAUUUUUUUUCCCUUAUUGUACUUAUUUAUCGGUUAAAUAUUUUAUUUUGUUUUUAUUAAUAAAUAAUUUAUACAUACAUUGAACAUUUGUGAAUCAUUUGGUUUUUUUAUUACAUACUCCUUUUGUUUUUAAAUUUUAGCAUUUAGAUUCAUAUACUUCUCUCAAUUCAAAUAUUACAGUAAGAUUUAUUUUUCUUUAAGUAGUAUGGAUGAUCUUUAAUUGAUAAGCGUGUUUUAUUUUUUAUUUUUCCACAUUAUCUUAGAAGUGUAUUUUUGAAUGAUUAUAUAAAUGAAUAUAUAUUAAACAACCAUCUAAUUUGUUAGUAAUGAUUUUUUAAAUUCAUAUUUCUUAUCGUCCGACAUGAUAUAAUUAAAUUUAUAUCACAAAUUAUAUCAUACAUAUAUCAAUUUUUUCAACAAAUCAAUUUUAAAAUAUCUAUUGUAUUUCUAAUUUUAUUUUUAAGAGUUUUUUCUUAUAUUUUUAUGAUUUUUGAUCAAUUUUUUAUUCAUCUAUAUUUUACGUUAAAAUAUUCUUUGAUAUAUCCGUAAAACCGAGUUACUGAUAUAUUUGUUGAAACUAAUAUUUUCGUCAUUGGGUUAAAGCAAGCUCCAAGAAUUUUGUUUAAAGGAUUGGACAAUUUUAUUUUAGAAAAUUAUAUUUCAAAAUAGGAAAAGUAAAUACAACAUUAUUUGCUAAAGUAAAGGACGAUGCUAAAUUUAUUAUGUAAAUAUAGUUUACAAUUUCAUAUAUAGAUGUAUUAGUGAAUAAGUUGAUUAAGGUUUUUCAAAGUAUAUAUAUAAUGAAUUUGAAAGUCCAUGAGAUUUGGGCCCGUACAUGGAUAAAUGAAGCAAUGACUUCAUUAUGCCUAGUAAAGGCAAUGGAUGUAUUUGCACAUCCUAAUUAGGUUUGAUGGAUGAACUCAAACAAACAAUAAAAUAAAUAAAAUAAAAUAAAUCUUUAUGAAACAAACAAAUCAUAUGAUAAUCUUAUUCAACAAAUUUAAGAUACCAUUAAGUUCAUUAAACUCAACUAGGAUGUGCAAGGUGGGUUAAAAGUUGUUAAUGCAAUUAGAAAAAUUAUAAAUAUAAUAAUUAAAAAUCUCUAAUAAAUUUAAAAUAAUUAAGGAAGUAAAAAAAAUAAUCAACUAGCAUAAUUAAUUUACUAAUGAUUGGUAAAUAAUAAUAACUUCUUCCUUGUAAUUAUAGAAAUCAGAGUAAUAAUUUGAAUUGCUUCUUACAGAGUGUAGUUAGAUAUGAUGACAUACACAUUUAAGCAAUAGAAUUAAGUGAAAUUACAUUAAAAUAAAGACAAAUAACACUUGUAAAAAUGUUAAUUAUCCAAAACAUGGGAGAAUGACUUUUGAAUUACCAUUUAGCAUUGUGUAGAGAUGGUAAAUUAUGGUAAAUAUAAGAGUAAGAGUUAAAUAAUAUUAAAAUAAGUAUUUUAAUUCGAUUAAAAAGGAUUUAUCACAAAACAUGGAGAUAAAACAAUGAUUAAAAACAUAUUUUCAAAAAAAAGUUAAUAUAGAAUAAGAAUGUAACAUUAAAUUGUAAUAGCCUAAUUUGAAAAAAAAGAAAAAAACACAAUUUGAGCAUAUUUCUCCCAAUUUUUAUAGCUAGUUAUAUUCUCCUUAAAUUAUAAAUUUCAAUAAUUCCAAAUAUUGAACAUCUAACCUUAAUUCAAGUGAUUAAAUAUAACUAGGAAAUAAAUGAGAAUAUUUAGUUAAUUUAAAGAAAGUAAUUUUAGGGGACAAUUGACAUGUAGAGGUGCAUAGAGAUUUUAAGAGUAUUAUUGUUAUUCUUAUAUUAGUUAACGACAUUUUUGGCACCCUAUAAAGAUAAGAAGAGCACAGUAGCAAAUUCAUAAGCACUCAAAAAGUAUACAAGGCUAAAUUGGAGGGAAAAAAUUGCAAUUUCUUCUAUUCUUCAUUUUUAACUUUUCUCUCUUUUGUCAAUAUUGGUGGUGAGACUUCCAAAGGGUGUACGAAGAGAGCAAGGGUUAAAAGAAAUGUAGAGAAAACAUAGUUGUUUUUCCCCUUAAUUUGGUUGAGAUAAUGUUUCUAGAAGACUAGGAUAUUGCAUUUAAUAAAAUUUUAUAAUUUUUAACCAUUUUCUUUUACUUUACCAAUAAUUUGAUUGCCUUUAAAGUAAAUUGUUAACAUACAAAUUGCUUUUAAUGUCCAAAUAUAUAUGCCUACUUGUGAGUAUUCUUGUUACUUAUAAUAAUGGCACAAUGAAAAGGCUAUUGCCCCCUCAAAUUAUGAGCUUUUUGAUAGCCUAGAAAAUGAGAGAAAAAAUAUUGGAUUCCAAGUCUUAAUUCAUAUAUAUUUAUUGAAAGUGUUUGAGAAUGAACUCAUAUAGUGUUGUUACUCAAGGAGAUUUUGACUAUGCCUUUUCAAUCCACAGUGGAUGAGCCUGAGUUAUUGCAACAUAUGUAGGACCCAAAUCGAAGGUCAAUCAUCUCCAAUGCAAUAGAUUUGAGUUGCUAUAGAGAUAACUUUAUGAAAAUAAGAAAAUUCUCAUGAAGAGGAAUAUCCUAUUUUUGUUAUUUUGGGCAACUAGUGUUCUUCACAUUUUUAGGAUUGUUUGAAAAGAUAUUAAGACCCUAAAUUAUUUUUAUAAAUAGUAGACUCGAUAACAAUUGUACCAUCUAAGUUAUGUUAAUUUGGAAAAUGUUAGCCCCAUAAUAAAAUUUUUGAACAAAUUGGGAAACAUCAGCGAGAGGUUAGCCAAGAGACAGUUUUGGACUAAUCAUGUUUCUCAAAAUUCUGGAAUUUUUUGGAAAGAUAUUAUAUGAAACUAAGUUUUGGUUAAUCUAUUAUUUUAAUGACAAUAAAACAAAAAAAUUGAAUCUAAUGUUUUACAUUUGAGUGUGAUUGGCAAAAAUAUUUCCUUGGAUCUAUGAAGAAAAAGAUACAUAAAGUAGAAGUAGAUAUAUUCACGGAGAAUCAAGAAAAAGUAUAUUGAGUCUAUCUUUAGGAUGUUUAUGUAAGAUUGUGGAUACAUUAGGUUAGGAUUGCAUAUCAUUUAUUUAAAGCACCAAAAAUCAUUCAAUUGGACUCAAGCUUUCAUUAAAUAUUUUCAAAAUUGGAUGAAGUGUCUUUCUAAAUAAAAACCUCAUUUGAUUAAUGUAAAUCAUGCUUUAAAAUCUUUUCAAAAAGUUAAGGAGUUCAUAAGUCGCUUCCCUCAUAAUUUUGUACUUACACUUGAGUAUCUUUUAAAAAAUCUCAAAAUUCAAGGGAACUAGUCAAUCUCUAUGUUAAUUGAUCCAAGGUGGACUUAGAUAAAAAUGGCCUAGAAGAUAGUAUCCAUCAGUUCAGGCUUAAAACUCGACAAGUUUAGCAAAUGAUCAAUCUUGAUGCUCCAUCGAUUGAUGCUUUGUGCUUUAACGGUUCAAUGCAAUCUUUUUUUUUUUUCCAAUGAAUAGUAAUCAAUGGAUUGUAAAGUUAAUCAGUCAAACUUAACUAUGCUUAAUGGCUAGUUUAGGCCUCCAACUCCUACUUAAAAGUUCCAUACUUCAUGUAUUGUAUAAAGGAGACUUUUGAAAUAUCUUCAAGUCUUUUAGAGUAUUUUGAGUACACUUUGAGCCAAAAUUUUGCAUAUCCAUAUUUACAUCCUUUAUCCUAGUUUCCUUGUAUUCCUUGAGCUAAACUUGUAAAACAAGAAUUUGUAUUGAGUAAUUCAUUUCUUGUCAUCCUUGUGAGGGAAGAAUCCAAGUGAGAUAUAUCACUUAGUGAUUCCCAAGUGUGUAGUAUCACUUAAAGAAUUGUUCAAGAGUAUGACAUCUCUCGAGAUUUGUAGAUGGCCCCCUGGUAUUGAGAAUCCAAGUAUAGAAGGCUAGAAUGUUUGGUUUGGAAGCUUUGGUAUAGAGAAACAUGAAGCUUAGGAUUGAAGUGAGAAGAGAGUGACAUAAGUUGGGAUGGGGCCAAACGACUAUAAAUCAUUGUUUGCAAUUUUUCUUUCAUUCUCUCUUCACAUUUCAAUGUCUUAUUAGUGGUUAUGUUUGUCUCUUGCAUUCAUAUUGUCAAAAUUUAUAAAAAUUGAUCGUUACCCUUCUUGGGUGAUUGUUAGACUAAUAUAAACCUAAAAUAGUAGUACUCUAAUUAUUUUUAUAAAAUAUUAAACUCUUUAAGGAAUAACCAUCUAAGUUUUAUCUCAUUUGGAUCAUGAUAACCCUAGUACAAAAAUUUGGGAUAGAUUGGUGAAUAUUAGGGAGAUUCAACAAAUUAAGAUAGUUUUGAACAACUUGUGUUUCUCAAAAUUUUGGAAUGUUUCAAUUAAGGAUCUUGAUCGAUAGUUAAUUUUAUAUGUUAUACCUAAAAAACAAAAAGGAGAAUAAAGAUUCAAUUUUGAAUAUGUUUGCAUAGGAAAAGAAUUUGGUAAAUAUCAAUAGGUUUUUAUUAUUAUGUGUUAAGAUAGUUUUGGAUUUUGGUAAUUCUGUAUUAUUUGAGUUUGUUAUGGUUUAUUACUUAUUUGUAUAUUUUUUUUAACUCAUUAUAGUGUAGAUGUAGAGAGUUGUAUAAUUUUUGGAGCUCAUUUGAUUAGUGAGAAAAAUCAAGAAAUUGAGUGGUAUUUUAGAACCAUUAAUCAAGUUGAGGCUUAGUAGUCUUUUGGUAAACAUUUGACUUUGUUAUUAAUCUUCAAUAUCUAGACUCCUAAAUGGGCUCAUUGGCUUGAGUCCUAAUCGAAGUGGACUUUAUUUUCAUAUAUUCUUAUUUUUAGAAAUGUUGUAUAUUUCUAUUUAAGGUGAUGUCUAGGUAAGAAUAGGUUCAUAGGUAUUUGGAUAUAGGUCUUAAAAGUAAGACAUGAUAUUACAAAGUUAGAUUUGAGUUUCCACUAUUCUAUCCAUCAAUUACAUUGAGAUUUAUUUGAGCAUUCAAGCUUGUUUGACUUGCAUUAUAGAUGACAUCUACACUAGGAGUUGUACUUAAGAUCCAAGCUAUAGGUUCCUUACAAGUUGAUGAGUUGGUUACAAUUGGUUGAUAGACUUAGACAAACCAUUUGAGGUUAUAGUAUACUAAUUGAAAUGAUGACUUGUCUUGGUCGUCCUUCGAGUUUAAGCUUAAGAUCACUUAGGUUCCUUUAUAAGCUUAAGUCACUUGGGCACUUUUUAGGUUAGAUUUCACUUAGAUGUUUUUCUAAGAUAUGCCACUUAGAUAGUUUUUUAGGUUAGAUUCACUUGGGCACUUUUAACCCACUUUAGUCCACUUAGAAGCAUUUUAAGAUUAAGUUCCACUUAGGUGUUAUUUUAGGCUUUUAGUUCACUUAGGUUUAAUCUUGAACUUGAUUGCAUGAUCUUAGGGUAAAGCGAGUAUUUGAACUUGAUUUUGAUGUUUAAGGUCGAAUCUAAUUUUUCCUUGUUGCAUGAAUUGAUAUUCUAAUUUCCUUAUACAUGCAUGUGAGUGGUUACUUUUUUUUAAUUUAUUUUCGAUUAAAUGAUUUUGACUUUGAUUUUUUCCUUUUUGCAUGAGAUUUGAUGCAAAUUCUGGAAAGGAAAAAAGGCUCCCCCAAUGGCAAUGGAAGAGAUCUCCCGGGUUGCAUACGUAUGGGAAUUAGCAUGUUGCCAUGGAAAGGGACGCCCAAUCCACUUGCCAUAUAAAAAGGUACACACGAAUUGCAAAUAAGGAAGCCAUGGAUUCUCUAGGAUAGGAACACGCAGCAAUUUGGAAGAAAGGGUUGCAAAUCCCAUAAAGAAAAAAUCCAUGACAUCUUUAAGAAAUUAGGAGAACCACUCAUAAGGAUGAGAUGGGGCAGCAGGAUAUGGACCAAGAGAGAGCACCAAUGCGUCUUGAGGACAAGAAGGCGGCCAUAUAAAAUUCAAAAUGGGGCGGCCACAAGAGAAGGAACCAACUGUCAUGUCCACGAGAGAAGGAUGCAUGGUCCACCUUCGAUGAGGAUUCAUACAACUGCAUAGAAGUGGAAAGGGCCUAGUGUAUAAAAUCAAUAUAGUCACACAUGGAUUAAAUGAGCCCUCUACUUUCAUAGAGAAAAAACGGCCAGCGCACCAAGAGGAGGGAUUUCCACUUUCCAUUAACAAACACAUGUCUAUAAAUAAAAGGAUUCCACGGAUUCUCUCCAUGAGUAUGUUUACGUUGAGGGGAUGCACAGUCCGCAAUGAAGACAGCCUGCAUGCACAAGGGGAUCUUGACACGGGAUGCAAUUUUUAAGAGAAAAAGUGAGCUGCACCAUGGGGGGAAACGCAUGCAGCCUACAUAAAUAAGAUGUAGGCUGCACCAUAAAAGGGAACAAGAACACCACGACCUACACCUUUGAAAGUGAGUAACACGCAUACAUAGAAAGGUGGCAACGCACCAUAAGGCACAUGCCAUUGGAAAAAAUACCACAACCACGGCUCCGUAUCCUUGGAGACAACCAGCCCACACACAGUCCACAUGUAAUGUCGAAAAAGGUAAGUAAAGUUUUUGUUUAGUUUUAGUUUUUGAUUCAUUUAUAUUAAUUCGAACUGUUUGAAUUUUGUUUUUGUUUUAGUUUGAUUCAUUGUUUUAGAUUGAAAAGCUUGAAGUUCAUUUAGUUUUAGUUUCGUUUCAUUAUAUUUGAUUGAAAAGCUUAGAUUUUUGUUUAAUCUAGUUUUGAUUUCUUUUAUCUUAGUUUGAAAAGUUAGUCUUUGUUUUGUUUUUAUUUUGAUUUAUUAUGAUAAUUUGAAAAGUUAAAAUUUUGUUUAUUUUAGUUUUUAUUUAUCAUGUUAGUUUUAAAAGUCAAAACUUUGCUUUGAUUUUUAGUAGUUAGUUUGAAAAGUUAUAAUCUUGUUUUGUUUAGUUUUGAUUCAUUACUUUAGUUUAAAAAGCUAGGAUUUUGUUUAAUUAGGUCUUGAUUCAUUAAUGUUAUAUUAAAAAGUUAAAAAAUUUUAAAUUUAGUUUUGAUUCAUUUAUUUUAGUUUCAAAAGAUAGAAUUUUGUUCAACUUUAAUGUUGAUUCGUUAUUUUGAUCGAAAAUUAGAACUAUGUCUAAUUAGUUUUGAUUCAUCUUAUCUAGUUUAGGUACUUUUGUAAUUUCUAGUUUACUAGUUUAAUUAAUCCCACGUGUUAAAGUUUGUGUUUUUAAAUUCGUUCUGGUUUUUUUUAUUAUUAUUAUUUUAAUUCUUUAGCAUAAUUGAUCCCGUGUAAUAAAUCUCAUUUAAAAAAAAAAUUGAUUUGAUAUAGUUUCAAUUCAUUUUUAUUUAGUUUAGGUGUUUCUAUAAUAUUAGUUUAUUAGUCUAAUUGAUCCUAUGUGAUUAAAUCUAUGUUUUUUUUCUUAAUUUGUAAGUCUUUUUUAUUCAUCCUUUUUAGUUCAUAAGUUUCUAGAAUUUAAUUUGUUUAGUGUAAUUGGUUCUAUGUCAUUAUUUUUGUGUUUUAAACUUGCUAAUUUUAAUUCUUGGUAGAUCUACUUUUAGUUUUUAGUUUGUGUUCUCCAAAAUUUUAGCUAACUAGUCUAAUUGGUCUUAAGUUGUAUGAUUCAUGUUUUAAGUAUAUUAAUUUUCAUUCUUAGUUGAUAUUAGUUCAGUUAAUGUGCAUUAGAAUUCCAUGUACUCGUGUUACUAUAUUCAUAUUAUUAUAUUCUCAAUUUAUGUGUUUGAUUGAUUUUUGUUAUUUCUUGAUUGAUAUUUUGUUAGUUUCAUUUGACCUAAAGUCGUUUAGUUUACGACUUUGAUGUUUGUUUAUUAAAUUUGUUUUUCAGAAGCCAUCAGAAAAUAAUGAAGACUGGCCUUUACCCUCACCAUUAUUAGUCUUGGUUGAUUACUAAAUAUUCCACUUAGUAAGUUUGGUUUUCUUUUGUUUUGUUAGGUGUUUUGAUUUCUAUGUGUUGUUGUUUGAAAAUAUAACUUUUCCUUUUUAUAAAGAAAACUUUUUCUCAAAAGAUCCUUUUGAAAAUAUAUUUCAAACAACUCAUCUAGGUCCUUAUGGUCAAAAUCUUUUUUCUUAAAAAGUAUGCAAAUGGAUUUAAUUCGGUUUGCAUUCUCUUCUUUGUUUUAAAAAAUUUUGGUUGAGUGGAAUAUGAAUCCAAACUCCUGAUCUCAAAUAAAUGGGAUAAUUCUUGACUUUGAUGAGUUUACAAGUACUCAUAUGAGAUUGGGAAUGCAUGGACUAAAUUUAUGUAUGUUAAUCGGAGGUUUGGUGAGACCCAUACAUAAACUUUCUUUUUUUCUUUUUCUUUUUUUCUAAACCUUUUUAUUGUCAGCUUGUUUGGCUUACUAUGUCUAUGAAUUAAAAAAUUUAUUUGACUUACUUUGGAUUCUUCUAAAAAUUUUCUUCUUAUUGUAUGAUAUUGUGGACUUCUUGAACUUUGUUUUAGAAUUGUGUUGGAGUUAAAAAGCCUCUAAAAAAUAUAUGGAGUUGUGAACUCAUCUUCUAGUGUGUUCAAUAUUCACUCAGUUCUGGACAGUGAACUAUUUUUGUGCUUUUAAAUUAUUGGAUGCCUUUGCAAAAUUAUUUUGAUAUUUUUCCUUGAUUCUAGCCUUCUUGAAGUUGAUUUUAGACACAAAAUAUUACAAACUACUUUCCCAAUUGAGAGAUAUACUUUUUUCUCUUGAUACACCCACAACACUAUCCUGAUUUUAGAUAGAGGGUAUGCUUGCUUGAAUUUAAAAUUGAUCCAUGUGUAUACUUGCGUUGCCAUAAUUUUUCUUGUAAAUUUUAAAUUCUGAGUAUAUUGUAUGAUUUUUUUUUCAUGAUUUUAUCAUACCUCUGUCUGGAUUGGUUAAAAAAAUGUGUUUCUGCAUGUCUUGAAUUUAUGUUAUGUUCUGGACCUUUUGGAUGUCUUUUGUAAAUUGGGAUUAAUUGGAACUUUAAUAAAUUUCUUGGCCACUUGGGUGAUAAUAUGGACAUGUAGGAAAGGUUCCAUGAUUUUUUGUGCAAUUAAAUUCUCAUUGUAGAUAUUUUUUUAGGAUUUGGUUUGUGAUAGCUUCUAUUCUAACUACAUGUUGGAAAUUCUAUAUAACACUUACUUUGUUAUUUAAUCUAGAGUUAAUUAACAUCUCAUGACUUGAUUUCAUCUUUUGUAUUGUGUUAUAGAUAUAAUGAGAAUGUUGCCUAAUUUUCUCCAUGAUGAAAUAUUACUCCUAGGUAUUUAUUUAGGAUUUUUCUAUUGAAACCGACUGUUUUGACCACUUGUUGCAUGCUUUGUUUUAGUCCUUAAUUUUGGUAUUUUUGACUCUCAUGUUCAUUGGUUUAACUUUACCAAUGGGUUGUAUGCUUGUCCUAUGUAAUAGUUGACAUUUCUUUAAACUCCUAAACUAAUUUUUGAUAAUGUGUGAGAACUUGCUAUGUGAUUGUAUGCAUGAAAUAUACAUUCUUGAGUUUAGAUUUUUCUUAAUGUUCAAUCUCAUUAAGUUCUUUUCAUCUCAUUUAAGUUGCAUAUAUGUCAUUUAUAUUAGGAUUUAGUAUCAUAUUUAUUUUUUAUUAUAAUUGUUUGAUCCCUUUUGGCUUUAUGCAAGCGCACUGUAAGUCUUGAAGUGUUAUUCAAGUACGUUCCUUGCAUCCUUUACCUCUUUAGCUAUGUAAAUAUGCAUACUUUGUGUGAGAACAACCUCAUAUGAUAUUGCUUUGUCAUAUUCUAGUUAGUGUUUGAUUACUUGAAUGAGAUAGAAUGCAUGUUGUAUCUUGUAUUAUAUUGUCAAACUAACUUUAAUGUUUUCAUGAAAGUGCUUUGAGUUAUAGCUAAGGUAUGCAAUCCUCUCGUCCUAUGUGCUUAUUUUCUUUGGUAUGAUUGUUUUAGUAACAUGUUGUUAGGCUUUAGACAUAAUCACUUUUGCUAUUUUUGGUAUCCUUGAUUUAUUAAUCAAUUAUCAUGUUUGCCUCAACCUAGUCAAUAGAGACUUGUUUUCAAGGCUUAGAAGUAUGUUACAUUUAUGGUACUUUCUCAAUAGGUAACCUAACCUCCAUACUUAGACACAGGUUUUCAAAGAUGCGUUUUUCCAAAAAUAUGGAGUCACUCUCAAGGUAUUUAUUUCUUAUUUUAUUUUUUUUCUUAAAAAUAAAAAUAAAAAUAAGUGUCAACUCCAAUUUUAUAAAAAUCAAAUUUUCACUAAGAAAGCGAGUCCCGUUGUCGUGUAGGGACACACGAGAAAAAUACGGGUCCACAUCCCAACAACAAUAUAUAUACUAUGCUUCAACAAUGUAUAAGGAUAUCAAAUUUUGUUUCUUACUCAACCAAGCCAUGAGACAAUCACAAAUGAAAAAAAACAAGCACCUGAAAUGUUUUUCUUAUCUUCUACAUUUCCAACCCAAUUAGCAUCAAAAUAUCCAGCAAUAGUAGGAGAAGAAUCAUAAGGAUACCAUAGUCCAUAGUCUAAAGUCCCACUAAUAUAACAUUUAAUCCUUUUAACUGAAGUUAAGCGACUUUUUGGGGUUUGCUUGGUACCUAGCACAAGCUCCAACACUAAAGGAUAUGCCUAGACGACUCACAUUAAGGUAUAAGAAACUUCCUACCAUGCUUCUAUAGAGCUUUUGCUCUACAUUUUUUCUAGAUGUGUCCUUGCUAAGCUUGGUGGUAGUGCUCAUAGAUGUCCUAGAGUGCUUUGUAGAUUCAAGACCAAAUUUCUUUACUAACUCCCUAGCAUAUUUAGACAAUGAAAGAAAGAUGUCAUCUUUUAGUUGUCUAAUUUGUAAUCCUAGGAAGCAAUUUAGUUCACUUACCAUACUCAUCUCAAAUUUAGAUUUCAUUUCUUUAACAAAGCUAAGGGCAAGGUUACUAGAGAUGGCUCCAAAAACAAUAUCAUUAACAUAAAUUUGGGUCACUAAUAACUCAAAUUUAGACCUAUGGAUAAAUAAAGUUCUAUCAACUCCCCCUCUCUCAAAAUCUUUCUCAAAAGAUAAGCAGUAAACCUCUCAUACCAAGUUCUAGGAGCUUGUUAAUUUUAAACAAUAGAAGUCUUUUUUUAACCUAUAAACAUGAUUAGGGAAUUUUGGAUCCUCGAAACCCUUAGGUUGCUCAACAUAAACUUCUACAUUUAGAAACAUACUCUUAACAUCCAUUUGGAAACGUUUCAUCCUCAAGAAACAUGCAAGCUAGAAGUAUUCUAAUUGACUCUAACCAAGAAACAUGAGCAAAAGUUUUCUCAAAAUCAGUCCCCUCUAUUUGAGAGUAUCGUUGGGCUACUAGCCUAGCUUUUUUUCUCAUAAUGACCCCAUUUUCAUCUUAUUUAUUCUUAAAUAUCCAUUUAGUACCCAUCACAUGCUUAUCUUUAGGCCUAGGGAUUAAGUACCACACAUCAUUCCUUAUGAAUUGAUUUAGUUAUUCCUAUAGUGUGGUAGUCCAAGAUUCAUCUUCCAAGGCUUCCUCCACAUUCUCAAACUCCAAUUGGGAGGUAUAACAUAUAAAGCUUAUCUAAAGCUUAUCUAAUUUAGUCUUGAUUGUCUCCUUGUAACCAUGGAUUCAUCUAAGUUGCCUUUAACAUUUGAUAUAGGGUAAUUCUUAGGUAUUCUUAAUUUAGGUUUAUAAUUUCAUCAAAUUUAUCAACUUGAAGUGCAUUCUUAUCCUUGUUGGGCUCUAUUGUUUCUUCAUGAUGGUUUUCUAGGCUAUCCUCAUUUUCAGAGUUAUCCCCAUUUGAUUCCAGGGUAAAAUUUUCAUUGUCAAUUAUAUCCUUAUCAUACCCAGUGUCAUUAAUGACCACAUUUAAAGAUUUCUAGAUAACUUGUGAAUUUGAUUAUAAACCUUAUAGGCUUUACCCUUAUUGGAAUCCCUAGAAAAAAAAUACCUAAAUUGGAUUUUGAAUCGAAUUUGCCUAGGUUUUCUCCAUUCCUGAGUAUGUAACACUCAUUGCCAAAUGUCCUAAAGUACUUAAGGUUAGGUUUUCUCCCAAUCCAUAAUUUAUAAGAGGUCUACUUUGUUCAUGGCCUAAGAAACUAUUGGCAAUGUAACAUGCAAUAUCUAAUCGCUUUAGCCCAAAAUUGCAUGGAUGUAUCGUCUGUGUGUAGCAUGACUCUAGCCAUUUCUUGAAUGACUCUAUUUUUCCUUUCAAUAACUUCAUUCUACUAAGGAGUUCUAGGAUAUGAGUACUCAUGUUUAAUUCCCUUUGAAUCACAAAAGAGAUCAACGUCAAUAUUGUCAAAUUCUCUUCCCUUAUCACUCCUAAUUCUUACAAUUGGACGACCUAUUUCAACCUAAAUUCUAGUUCAUAAAGGGUUCAAGUGUUCAAAGGCCUCGGAUUUUUGCCUAAAGAAACACGUGAAGGAAUACCUGUAAAAACCAUCAACUAUAACUAGGACAUAUCUUUUCCUACCUCUAUUUUCAGUAUGCAUAAGACCCAUAAGAUCCAUAUGAAGAAGGUCUAAAGGUCUAGUGUGUUGAUUUCUUGAAUUCUUUUGUAUGUACAUUUCACUUGUUUACCUUUCAUGCACUCACCACAAAUAGGUUUGAGCUAGCCACAUUAACUCAUCAAUUCCUCUAACUCUAUCAUUAUUCACUAUGUGGACAAGAUCCCUAUAAUUUAUGUGACCUAACCUUCUGUGCCAAAGUUCAAUUAUAUCAAGUUUUGCCCUACUGCACACUAGAGAUGUUUUAGAGUUAGGUUUAUUGCAUAACAAUUAUCAACUGUUCUAUGCCUUGUGAAAAUGACUUCUCCAUUUACUGGUAGCUCUUAAACUUUUUUGGAAUUACUAGAUAGUUGCUCAUAGGAUGCUAAAAAUAUUUAAGAAAUAUUGGUAAGUGAAACCCCAAAAGGGGUUGUAACCCAAGUACAUGGGAAGUGUGUCAGUAGCAUCAAUAGAAGGAAACAGGAAAAAAAACACCCUAGGGUAACAGGAUAAUUACAAAGAAAAGUUAAAAUUCAAGAAAGACAUCCGUCCAUCCCCCAAGAACUCAACCAUCUAUAUUAAUAGAUUGCAACAAAAACUCCUUUUACUUCUUGUCUGGAAUCUCACUUCCUGAAAAAUCUGGAAAUUCUGGUACAGGAUGGUUUGACAUUUUGAAUAGGAGUGAAUUCCAUUUUUAAAAUUUUUGGGUUAUCUGUAUGUUAUUUACUUAUUAUUUUUCUUUUUGGAUUUCAUUAUUGCAUAGGGGAAUUUUGUCCAAACAAUGUUUUGAGGCUAUCCCGACUUUUAAAAGUAUGAUAGAUCAGAUGUGACAUGACUUGGAGAGAUGGCACUUGAAAUUAAUUAGAGCAUUGUUGGAAAGCAAGGGAAUUUGAGGUGGUAGCAAAAGUGGGCUUGAAGGUUUUAACUAUGGGGUUGGAGGAAAAGUUGAAUAAAAGUAGUAGAAUAAAAAGCAAUUUGCAAGGGUGUAGGAUAUGACCCUUUUGGAAUGUAACAGUGAGUUAUUUUUCAUGAAGCCAACCCAAAUACUUGGGACCAAACUUUCUAUUAUUAGGAUGAUGACUGUUAUUGAGAUUGACAAAUUUACAUUUUUGUGAAGAGAAUAAUAAAAACAAGAAUUGGCUUAUAAUUGAUGGGAUUGGAGGAAAAAAUUAUUGCAUGCACAUUGCUUUGAAAAGUUUGAGUAAAUAUAUUUUCAUUCUCUAUUCAAUAGUUCUGAAAACCCAUGGUUGUUUAGAAUGCCUUUUUUUCUACUUUGUUUUGGAUGCAUGUCCUUAGAAAAGCUACUUCUCAAGAUUGGUUAGAAGCUUUACCUAUUUCCAAGUUAGUCUUUUAUAACUUGAAUGGUUUGAUAGGUGCAUGAUACUGAAUCAUUUGUUUGCACUAAGGGGUGCUUUCCUAUUUUGAUUAUAGAAUGUUAUCGGGAUAUAUAUAUAUAUAUAUAUAUAUGUUAUAGGUAAAUUUUUGUGCCUAUUUUGCCCCAAUCUCCCAUAAACACCCCCAUCUCUUUACCACUUGAGUCAGGCCUCAAGGGUAGAAUGUUAUUAGGAUAUAUUCCUUGUCAUUUUUCUUUCCUCUUUUUUCUUUUUCUUUUUUAUUUUUUUUUAUUUUUUAUAUCCUUCCUCAGCAUAGUUUGUUUAUUUAAAAAGUAAUGUUCUCCAUGCUGGUAAAUUUUACAGAGUUCAUUUUUUCUCCGUUAACAGAUUAUAGGAGUGAAAAGAAGACAGAUGUCAAUUAGUUCUGGUUCUAAAUCAAGGGAUAAGGUUGUGAUUGUGGAGGAGGUAACUUUACAGGGUGUUUUUGUGCUUUGGACAAAGUUUCCAAGUGCCAUUGAUGUAGAAAGGAAACCUGUGAUGUCCAUCCAUUAGCAUGACACAGGAGUUCUUGUUUCUUAUCUCAUUGCAGCCAAAUUGAGGCUGAUGUUGUGGAGUAUUAAUCUGUUUUACCAGCAUUUGAUAUACCCUACUGAUUCUCAGGAGAUUAUAACUUGUAUUGUUCGUCAUACAUAGUGACUAAAAUUAUGAAUCCAACGGUUAAUUCCAGUCAUUUUUGGAUUUAUAUUUAUAAUCGAAUGGGUUAUAAUUCGCUAUACCGAGAGUGUGUUACUCUUUCAUCAGACGGUCUUAUUUCUUCCUCACUUCUACAUUUAUACUUACGGAUAUUUUUGUAAGUCUGCCCUACAUUCUAUAUGGCUGCUCCCUGCAUUCCCUAGUAAACCAUCUUUUGUAGUACUAAACUUUCAUGACUCCCAAUUAAGCAUGCUCGCGCACUUGGUAAUCAAGAAUUUCUUUUAUUUCUGCUUGAUUUACAUGUAUUUGUGUUCAACAAGCUAAGACCUUCACUAAGAAAACUGGUAUUGAGUGUCCUCGGACCGAGCCAUGGAUCUGGCCAGAUGUUAAGUUAUUAGGAGGCAUAAGAUAUUGAGUUGUAAGGAAUUGACAUGCAACAGAUAAAACCAUGUGUGAACUUGUGCAUGAGCAUCCAGAAAUUUGCAUUCUGUUUCUGACCAUGCAUGGUAUUGAAGUUAGAUACAUGUUGUGUACUCUCAUUGAACAAACCACAGCUUUACUUUUAACGUAAUUGCGGAGAAAUUCUAAACACAAGCUGAAGCCAGCAAGCACCUAAGGAGGGAAAACAAAAGUGCAAGAUACCAAUUACUAUGUUUAGUCACAUACACAAACACCAUACCCUGAAAUAGUAGUAAAACAAACAUGCAUUGUCCGACUCUAGAUGGAAGAAAGAAAAGAACCAGGACUUGGAGGUACUGGGAUGUCUACAGUACCUCCCAACAUCAUGAGGACCUUCUUCAUUGAUGGACGAAGCGAUGGCUCGUCCAGGAUGCACCAAAGACCAACUUUAACCAUCCUAUCCAAUUGUCUCCUGUCCACCUCUUCAUCGCCCACUAGUUUACCAAGCUGACCAGCUUCGAAACAUUGGUAGACCCAUUCUUCAAGAAUGACUUCUUCUUCCGGGAGGCUCCAGUCUACAUUCCUCCGACAACAUAUGGUCUCCAACAACACAAUUCCAUAGCUGUAAACAUCUGCUUUAACCGACACUGGCUGUUUGCGAUGCCACUCAGGAGCAACAUAGCCCCUUGUUCCUCUGAUCCCGGUAGAUGUAUUGGUCUGGUCAUGCAUCAGCAGCUUUGCUAAUCCAAAGUCAGAAAUUUUUGCACACCUAUACUCAUCCAUGAGUAUGUUUUGCGGUUUAAUAUCACAAAUGUAUUAUCUGUGUCUCACACUCUUCAUGCAGAUAGAGAAUGCCUCUUGCUACGUUGAGAGCAAUUCCCAUUCUCUCAAUCCAGCGAGGUUGUUUUCCAGGUGUGAAGAGCAAAUCUGCAAGUGAUCCAUUGCUCAUGUAUUGAUAUACCAAAAGCUUGUUUUGACCGUCAAGGCAGUAACCUAGCAAUCUGACGAGAUUCCUGUGGUGUGUUCUCCCAAUUACUUUUAAUUCAUUUUGAAAUUCUCUUUGCCCUUCAGCCAACUCCUUCGCUAGUUUCUUGACUGCUACAAUCCUCCGGCCGUUUGAUAUGGCUCCCUUAUAAACAGUCCCAGAAGCUCCCUUACCAAUCUCUUCCUUAAAACCGUCGGUAACCUUCUCAAGUUCCAUGUAGGUAAAUGAUCGCAGAGCAACGUCUUCAGUCAAUCCAACAUUCCCAGUCUCUGAGAUCUUCUUGUAUGCCCAUAGAUUCUUUCUACGAAUUAGAACUCCAGAUAUGGCCAAGAUAAUGAGUGCAAAAGAUGCUAAUGAAACACUGAUAACUAGGAUGUCCGUCCGGAGCUCUUUCUUGCUUCCAUGUGGAGAAACUUCUGGGGAACCCAUCUUCACAAAGAGUAUGUUUGAAUCACCUAGCGAUCUUCUCCCAAAUCGCAAAGGAAGUCGUUGUUUUUUGCAACUUCCAUCCUCAAACAGGGCAGCUUCACAGUUACAGUCCUCCAAGCAGGCUUGUUCACAAUCUUCUUGGGUUGGUACUGAUAGAUUGGAGUAGGAAGCCUCUUCCCACCUGGUGUUCUCCAAUGUUGACAUGGUGUAUUUGGUUCUUCCAUCAUUGCUUUUGCAAAUUUCUUCUUUGAAAUUUCUUAUGCAGCCCGAACUCCAGUUGCUUUCCACAACAAAAUAAAAUCCAGGAAGACACUUACAGUCAGGCCUCUCAUCAAGCAGAAUACAAAACCCAUUAACCCCGCAUAGACCCUUAGGAGCACACUUGUCGUUUGAAGACCUCCAUAAAAUUGACCAGCUGCCGUUCUGACCCGAAUCAUGUGAGUACAGUUUGAAGAUCCCAUCCGGAUCGAUUUUCAGAAGAUGGAGGUUUUCAUUGUCAUAACCUCCAUCUGUUAUAUUCAAUAUAUUGGAGCCAUUAGUAUUGAGCAAGUAAAGAUGACCUCCACCAUCAAGAAGUAGGGUCACAUUAUCUCCUACUCCACCUGUCUCUGAUGUAUAAUAAGCAUAUGUUGGCGCGUCUGGAGUUUUCACCGGGUAUUGCACAAGGUUCCCAUUAUUUUGCAUCUUCAGGCGAAACAUUCCAGUUGAGGGGUUAGUUUCCGACACACUAGAAAACAGCUCUUUCCCUGCCGAGAGACGUUGACCUGGUAAAAGGGUAUCAGUUUGGAGAUCAAAACUCUGCCAUACGAUGUCCCCAUCAGAAUUGUAGAGCACGAAAUUUCCCGAAUCCAGCAUGGAAGCAGAAGAAGCUGAAGCAGAAUUGGCAAUCUCCUUUUGCUGACCCUGCGUUUGCAACCUGAGCCUGCCUUCACUAGUAAAGUGCAAGGUAGCGGUGCUGGGGACUGGGGGAUCAUCUCGGUUGGCUGUCCACACUACAGUUUUCUGGGGAAUUCCGAUGAGAAAAAUUCCUAGAUAAUAGCCAUUACCCUGCUUGUAGAAUCCAAAGGCAUAUAGGCGGUUGGGUGACAGCCAAAAGGAGUUGGAAGUGGGUGUUAGAGAAGAACCUCGACUUAUAUUAGAACCUCUUUGCUGGGCUACUGCUGCAACACAAAAUGCAGAGAGAAGAAGAAACAGUAAAGUAGUUGAAGCCAUUAGAGAUAAGCUUUCUCUAUCUUUUCUGUUUCGGCCCUUUCCCUACAACAGUCGAGGUAACAAGUAAAUAAGGGCAGGAUUGCGCGUAUAGGAGAAAUGAGGAGCAGAUGUGUCAAAGACUUUGGUCUAUUUUGGAUGGAAAAGUAUGCAAAGAAAAGUCUUUAGUUCCAAAAGCAUGAGCGUGGGGUAAGCCCUUUCCUCAUUUUCUUUGUCUUGGAGUAGAUGACACUGCAUGUAAUGUGGUUAAUUCAUGUGGGCCAUCAAACUGAAGAACAACUGUUGGAGCUCAUACUAGAUUUCACAAAUCUGAAGAUCUUCCCCAGAAAGCUUUCUUCUCAAAUGGUGGCCUAACCCUAUUUCCCAGAAUGAGUGUGGGCUGUUGAUUUGGUGAAUAAAAAGAAUGAUGUAACAACUAGAUUAAAGAACAAUAAUUAAUCCUCCCUCCCUCUUGUCUUUUUCAUUUUAUUUAUUUAUUUUAUAUUUUAUAUUUGAAUGUAAGCCAAACUUUGAUAAGGAAAGGGCAAAGGAGUGAGGUCUUUAAUUCUAAUUUGACACGGCUUACCUAUAUUAUUUCUAAUUUGAUUCAUUAUUACGGCAGCCAUUUUCCAAGAGCUGCAUAUUUGGUUUAGAAGCUCUAUGACCGUGACACUAAUAAUGAUAUAAAAUUAUAUUUCUUUAAAUCUAGUGUAACUCAACAGCACAUAAGAGAGUGAUACUAAUAAUAAUAUAAAGUUGAGCCUAACUCUAUCAGAUGAGUUCUUUAUAUAUAUUCACAAUUUAGUGACAAAAAUUAAAUUUGACAUUGAUUUACAUAUUUUAUCCGAAUUUCGUUACGUAUUAGUGAGCUAAAAAAAAUUAAACUAGAAUUUCCUUAAAAAAAUUGAGAUAAAUGCCCUUUGAACCAAUGUCAUGAUGACUAAGGACCGCAUCAUAUGACGAGGAAGAAGGGUUUGAAGUUUUGACUUCUUAUGAAAAUAUUGAAUAGAUUUUGAGAUCAUUUCUUGAAUUUUAGAAAAUUAGUUUUUGAGAAUUUUCCACCUUAAUUUAAAUGGAAAGAAAAUUAGAUGGACUUCAAGUGUUUCUAGAAGUUGAAAUGACUCGAUACAUAUUCAAUUUUAAAAUAUAUAUACAUACAUACACACGUACAUAUAUAUAUAUAUACAUAUAUAUAUAUAUAUAUUCCUCGUUCGGUUUAUUUAUCACUUAAAUAUUUUAUUUUAUUUCAAUUAAUAAAUAUUUUGUACAACUCAUAGAUUGAACAUUUGUGAAUCAUUUGAUAUUUUAUAUUUUAUUUUUUUAUUGAAUCCUUCAGUUUUUUAGUUUUAGCAUUAGAUUCAUAUACUUCUCUUAAUUCAAAUAAUAUAGUAAGAUUUAUUUUUCUUUAAGUAGUAUGGACGAUCUUUAAUUGAUAAGCAUAUUCUGAUUUUUUUUUUCACAUUACUUUAGAAGUGUAUUUUUGAAUGAUUAUAUAAAUGAAUAUAUAUAUAUAUAUAUAUAUAUAUAUAGAUAUGUUAAACAACCAUCUUAUUUUUUUAGUAAUGAUUUUUUAAUUAGUUUUUUAAAUUCAUAUUUUUUAUCGACCAACAUGAUAUAAGUAUGCCUAGUAAAGGCAAUGGAUGUACUUGCACAUCCUAAUUAGAUGGAUGAACUCAAACAAACAAAUGAAAAAAUAAAAAUUAAAAACUUAAAAAUAAAAAUAAAAAGUAAAAAAUAAAAAAAUCUUUUUCAACCAAACGAAUCAUAUGAGAAUCUUAUUCAAUAUACUUAAGAUGAAAGAUGCAAAUACCAAUAAAUUCAUUCAUUAAACUUAAGUAGGAUAUGCAAGGUGAUCCCAUUAACUCUACUAGGCAUAAUGGGCUCAUCAUUUGAUUUUAUCAUUGGUAGACCCAAUAUUAUAUUUAAUAGUGUUUGUGUGCUAGAUUUCAUGUAACAUCCUAGAUUUUAAGUAGGAUUUUUUUUUCAAUUUUUGAUUAAAAGUUGUUAAUGCAAUUUAAAAAAUUAUAAAUAUAAUAAUUAAAAAUCCCUAAUAAUUUUAAAAUAAUUAAGGAAGUAAAAAAAAAUAAUGAACUAGCAUGAUUGAUUUACAACAAUGAUAGGCAAAUAACAAUAACAACUUUUGCCCAAUGAAAAAAAUCAUAGUAAUAAUUUGAAUUGCUUAUAUAUAAAUAAAGUUGGUUAAUAAGAUGUAGUUAGAUAUGAUGAUAUAGACAUUUAAUCAAUAGAACUUAGUGAUAUUUUUUUUUACAACAUUGAAAUAAAAUCAAAUAACAUUUGUAAAAAAUGUUAAUUAUCCAAAACAUGUGGAAAUGACUUUUGAAUUACUAUUUGGCAUUAAGUAGAGAUGGUAAAUUAUGGCAAACAUAAGAGUAAGAGUUAAAUAAUAUUAAAAUAAGUAUUUUAAUUAAAUUAGCAAGGAUUUGUAACAAAACAUGGAGAUAAAGCAAUAACCAAAAACAUAUUUUAAAGAAAAGUUAAUAUUGAAUAUAAGUAUAACAUUAAAUUGUAAUGACCUAAUUGUUUUUUUAACAAAAACAAUUUGGGGAAAUUUCUCCAAAUUUUUAUAGCAAGUUAUAUUCUCCUUAAAUCAUAAAUUUCUUAAAUUCAAAAUAUUCAACACCUAUAAUUAAUUCAAGUGAUUAAAAAUAACUAGGAAAUAAAUGAGAAUAGUUAGUUAAUUUAAAGAAAGUAAUUUUAGGGGACACUUGACACGUAGAGAGGAGUACAGAGAUUUUAAGAGUAUUAUUAUUAUUCUUUCAUUAGCUAGUGACACUUUUGGCACCCUAUAAAGAUAAGGAGAGAUCAGUAGUAAAUUUACAAGGCACUCAAAAAGUAUACAAUGUUAAAUUGGAGGGAAAAAUUGCAAUUUCUUCUAUUCUUCUAUUUCAACUUCUCUCUCUCUUCUUAAUUUUGGUGAUAAGACUUCUAAAGGGUGUACGAAGAGAGCAAGGGUUAAAAGAUAUGUAGAGAAAACUUUCUUCCGCUAUGUGAGUAAUCUUACGAUUAAGAAAAUCGUUUCCAUUUUUAAAAAAUCAGAUAUAAUUUCCAUUUACAACAUAGUUUUUUUCCCCCUAAAUUUGGUUGAGAUAAUGCAGUUAAUAAAAUUUUAUAAUUUUUAACCAUUUUCUUUUAGUUUACCAAUAAUUUGGUUGCCUUUAAAGUAAAGGAAAACGUUAACAUACAGAAUGUUUUUAAUGUCCAAAUAUAUAUGCCUACUCGUGAGUAUUCUCAUUACUUAUAAUAGUGGCACAAUGAAAAGGCUACAACCUUUUUUUUGCCCCCUCAAAUUAUGAGCUUUUUGAUAGCCUAGAAAAUGAGAAUAAAAAUAUUGGAUUCCAAGUCUUUAUUCAUAUAUAUUUAUUGAAAGUGUUUGAGAAGGAACUCGUAUGGUGUUCUUAACUCAAGGAGAUUUUGACUUGAGUUAUUGCAACAUUUGCAGGACCCAAAUCGAAGGUCAAUAAUCUCUAAUGCAAUAGAUUUGAGUUGCUAUGAAGAUAACUUUAUGAAAAGAAGAAAAUUCUCGUGAAGAGGAAUAUCCUAUUUUUGUUAUUUUGAGCAAGCAGUGUUCUUCACUUUUUUAGGAUUUUUUGAAAAGAUAUUAAGACCCCAAAUUAUUUUUAUAAAUAGUAGACUCGGUAACAAGUUGUACCAACUAAGUUUUGUUAAUUUGGAAAAUAUCAGUCCCAUAGUAAAAAAUUUUAAUAAAUUAGGAAACAUCCGUGACAGGUUAGCCAAGACAAUUUUGGACUAAUCAUGUUUCUCAAAUUCUGAAAUUUUUUAGAAAGAUAUUAUAUGACACUAAGGUUUGGUUAGUUUAUUAUUUUAAUGAUAACAAAAAAAUUGAAUCUAAUGUUUUACAUUUGAGUGUGAUAGACAAAGAUAUCUCCUUGGAGCUAUCAAGAAAAAGAUACAUAAAGUAAAAGUAGAAAUAUUAGGGAGAAUCAAGAAAAGGUAUAUCAAGUCCAUCUUUAGGAUGUUUAUGUAAGAUGGUGGGUACAUUAGGUUAGGAUUGUAUAUCAUCUAUUUAAAGCACCAAAAAUCAUUCAAUUGGACUCAAGCUUUCAUUAAAUAUUUUCAAAAUUGGAUGAAGUAUCUUUCUAAAAAAAAACCUCAUUUGAUUAAUGCAAUUCAUGUUUUAAAAUCUUUUCAAAAAGUUAAGGAGUUCAUAAGCCGCUUCCCUCAUAAUUUUGCACUUAAACUUGAGUGUCUUUUAAAAAAUCUCAAAAUUCAAGGGAACUAGCCAAUCUCUAUGUCAAUUGAUCCAAGGUGGACUUAGAUAAAAAUGGCUUAGAGGAUAGUAGCCAUCAAUUAAGGCUUAAACCUCAACUAGUUGAGCAAAUGGUCAAACUUGAUGCUCCAUCAAUUGAUGCUUGUGCUUUAAUGGUUCAGUGCAAUCCUUUUUUUUUAUUUCAAAUGAAAAGCAAUUGAUGGAUUGAAAAGUUAAUCAAUCAAACCUAACUGUGCUUAAUGACUAGUUCAGGCCUCCAACUCCUAUUUAAAAGUUGCAUGUGUCAUGUAUUGUAUAGAGGAGAUUUCUGAAUCAUUGUUGAAAUACUUUUUGGGUCUUUUAGAGUAUUUUGAGUGCACUUUGAGCCAAAAUUUUGUAUAUUCAUUUAUUACAUCCUUUAUCCUAGUUUCCUUGUAUUCCUUGAGCUAAAAUUGUAAAACAAGAAUUUGUAUUGAGCAAUUCAUUUCUUGGUAAUCCUUGUGAGGGAAAAAUCCAAGUGAGAGAGAUCACUUAGCAAUUCCCAAGUGUGAAGUAUCACUUAAAGAAUUGUUCAAGAGUAUGACACCUCUCAAUGUUUGUAGAUGGUCCCUUGGUAUUGAGAAUCUAAGUAUAGAAGGCUUGGUAUUGAGAAUCUAAGUAUAGAAGGCUAGAAUGUUUGGUUUGGAAGCUUUGGUAUAGAGAAACAUGAAGCUUAGGAUUGAAGUAAGAGAACAGUGACCUAAGUUGGGAUGGGGCCAAAUGACUAUAAAUCAUUGUUUGCAAUUUUUCUUCCAUUCUAUCUUCACAUUUCAACAUCUUAUUAUUGGUUAUGUUUGUCUCUUGCAUUCAUAUUGUCAAAAUUUGUAAAAAUUGACCGUUACCCUUCCUAGGUAAUUGUUAGACUAAUAUAAACCUAACACUGUAAUACUCCUAAUUAUUUUUUAUAAAAUAUUAAACUCUUUAAGGAAUAACCAUCUAAGUUUUAUCUCAUUUGGAUCAUGAUAACCCAAGUAAAAAUAUGGGAUAGAUUGAUGAAUAUUAGGGAGAUUCAACAAAUUAUGAUAGUUUUGAACAACUAGUGUUUCUCAAAAUUUUGGAAUGUUUCAAUUAAGGAUCUUGAUUGAUAGUUAAUUUUAUAUGCUAUACCUAAAAAAACAAAAAACAAAAAAGGGAUGAAGAUUCAAUUUUGAAUAUGUUUCCAUAGGAGAAGAAUUUGGUAAAUAUCAGUAGGUAUUUAUUAUUAUGUGUUAAGAUAGUUUUGGACUUUGGUAAUUUUUGUAUAAUUUGAGUUUGUUAUGGUUUAUUAAUUAUUUGUAUAAUUUUUUUAACUCGUUAUAGAGUAGAUGUAGAAAGUUGUAUAAUUUUUUGAGCUCAUUUGUUUAGUGAGAAAAAUCAAGAAAUUGAGUGGUAUUUUAGAACCAUUAAUCAAGUUGAGGCUUAGUAGUCUUUUGGUAAACAUUUAAAUUUGCUAUUAAUCUUCAAUAACUUUAAUGAAUUCAAUUUCGGUAACAGGAUAAUUACAAAGAUCCAUCCCCCAAGAACUCAACCAUCCAUAUUAACAAACUGGAAAAAAAAACUCCUUUUACCUCCUGUCCAGAAUCUCACUUCCUGAAAAUUCUGAAAAUUCUGGUACAGGGGUUUUACAUUUUGAAUAGGAGUGAAUUCCAUUUUUUUUAAUUAUUGUGUUAUUAGUAUGUUAUUUAUUUAUUAUUUUUCUUUUUGGAUUUCAUUAUUGCAUAAGGGAAUUUUGUCCAAUUAAAAGUAUGAUAGAUCAGAUGUGACAUGACUUGGAGAGAUGGCACUUGAAAUUAAUUAGAGCAUUGUUGGAAGCCAAAGCAAGGGAAUUUGAGGUGGUAGCAAAAGUGGGCUUGAAGGUUUUAACUAUGGGGUUGGAGGAAAAGUUGAAUAAAAGUAGUAGAAUAAAAAGCAAUUUGCAAGGAUGUAGGAUAUGACCCUUUUGGAAUGUAACAGUGAGUUAUUUUUCAUGAAGCCAACCCAAAUACUUGGGACCAAACUUUCUAUUAUUAGGAUGAUGACUGUUAUUGAGAUUUGACAAAUUUACAUUUUUGUGAAGAGAAUAAUAAAAACAAGAAUUGGCUUAUUAUUGAUGGGAUUGGAGGAAGAAAUUACUACAUGCACAUUGCUUUGAAAAGUUUGUAUAAAUAUAUUUUCAUUCUCCACUCAAUACUUCCGAAAUCCCAUGGUUGUUUAGAAUGGCCUUUUUUUUUUAUUUGUUUUGGAUACAUGUCCUUAGACGAGCUAUUUCCCAAGAUUGGUUAGAAGCUUUAUUUACCUAUUUCCAAGUUUUACUUUUAUAGCUUGAAUGGUUUGAUAGGUCCAUGAUACCGAAUCAUUUGUUUGCAUUAUGGGGAUAGAUAUAUAUAUAUUGAUAGGUAAAUUUUUGUGUCCAUUGGGACUUGCACCAAUUUCCCAUAAACACUCCCCAUGCCUUUAUCACUUCAGUCUGCCUCAAGCGUAGAAUGUUAUUAGGAUAUAUUCCUUGUCUUUUUUUUUUUUUUUUCUUGUCAUCUUUUCUUUAAGUUUCUUUUUUGAAAAAAAUGUAGGUUUUUCUUUGGUGGUGGUACCCAGUAGAUUAGGUUGAUACACCAAACUCUUAUGGUGAUUGCUUCACAGGUGUAAAUAGAUAGCACCUUCACAAUUGUUCCUUUAUUCUUCCUCACAACAUAGCUAGAUACAUUCCUAUGAAUAUAGUAAGAUGUACGUUCAUAUGCUGAAAAGGAAGUGUGGAGUACAUCAAUUGUUACCUAAGAUUUUUUCUUGGUUUUCUUGUCCAAAAAUUUUGUUUAUUUUACAUGUUUUGCGUUCUCUUUUGGUUGGAUUAAUUGCUUUUCUCUUUGUUCUUUUCCUUCCCCAGCAUGGUUCUUUGAUUUAAAAAGUAAUGGUCUCCAUGCUGAUAAAUUUUACGCAGUUCAUUUUUCUCUCUAUUAACAGGUUAUAGGAGUGAAAAGAAGGGAGGUGUCUAUUAGUUCCGUUCUAAAUCGAGGGAUAAGGUUAUGAUUGUGGAGGAGGUAGCUUCACAAGGUGUUUUUGAUGCUUUGGAAAAAGUUUCCAAACGCCAUUGAUGUAGAAAGGAGACCUGUGAUUUCCAUCCAUUAGCAUGACAGAUGUGUUCUUGUUUCUUGUCUCAUUGCAGCCAAAACGGAUGCUGGUGUUGUGGAGUGUUAAUCUGCUUUGCGUGUAUUUGAUAUACCCUACUGAUUCUCAGGAGACUAUAACUUGUAUUGUUUGUCAUACAUAGUGACUAAAAUUGUGAAUCCAACUGUUAAUUGCAGUCAUUUUUGGAUUUAUGUUUAUAAAUAAAUAGUUUAUAAUUCGCUAUACCAAGAGUGUGUUGCUCUUUCAUCAGAGGGUCUUAUUUCGUCAUCACUUCUACAUGUGUGCUUCAGGUUAUUUUUGUAAGUCUGCCCUACAUUCUAUAUGGCUGUUCUCUGCAUUCCGUAAUAAAACAUCUUUUGUAGUACUAAACUUUCAUGAUGACUCUCAAUUAAGCAUGUUCUCGUACUUGGUAAUCAAGAAUUUCUUCUAGUUCUGCUUGAUUCACGUGUAUUUGUGCUCAACAAGCUAAGACCCUCGAGUGAUCUCAUGCGGCAAUUAACGCGGUACCUUCACUAAGAAAACUGGCAUUGAGUUUCCUUGGACCCGGUCAUGGAUCUUGCCAGAUGUUAAGUUAUUAGGAUGCAUAAGAUAUUGAGUUGUAAGUAAGUGGCUUGCAUCAGAUAAAACCAUGUGUGAAUUUGUGCAUGAGCAUCCAGAAAUUUACAUUCUGUUUCUGACCAUGCAUGGUAUUGAAGUUAGAUAUGUGUUGUGACCUCUCAUUGACAAACCAAAGCUUUAUAUUUAAUUUUAUUACAGAGAAAUUCUUAACAAAGCCUGCAGCCUGUAAGCACCUAAGAAAGUGGGAAAACAACAAUGCAAGAUACCAAUUACUAUGUUUAAUCACAUACACAAACACCAUACCCUAAAAUAGUAGUAAAACAUACAUGCAUUGUCCGACUCUAGAUGGAAGAAAGAAAAGAACCAGGACUUGGGGGUACUGGGAUGUCUACAGUACCUUCCAAUAUCAGGAGAACCUUAUUCAUUGAUGGACGAAGCGAUGGCUCGUCCAGGAUGCACCAAAGACCAACUUUAACCAUCCUCUCCAAUUGUCUCUUGUCCACCUCUUCAUCGCCCACUAGUUUACCGAGCUCCCCAGCUUCUAAACAAUGGUAGACCCACUCUUCAAGAAUCGCUUCUUCUUCCGGGAGGCUCCAGUCUACAUUCCUCCGACAGCAUAUGGUCUCCAACAACACAAUUCCAUAGCUGUAUACAUCCGCUUUAACUGUCACUGCCAGUUUGCGAUGCCACUCAGGCGCAACAUAGCCCCUUGUUCCUCUGAUCCCGGUAAAGGUAUUGGUCUGGUCAUGCAUCAGCAGCUUUGCUAAUCCAAAGUCAGAAAUUUUUGCACAUCUAUACUCAUCCAUGAGUAUGUUUUGUGGUUUAAUAUCACAAUGUAUGAUCUGUGUCUCAC